GGCAAUUGCCACCAGAUAGAAGUCAUGGCUCUAAAUAGAUAAAUAGUUUCCUUUUACUCCAAUUUUCUCUUCAACAAAUGCCCACCAAGCAGGAAAGGCACGUGGCAGGUAUAAGUUAACACUUUUCAAGAAGGGCGGAACCGAAAAACUUCAGUCACAAAAGCCAACAUGCAUUGCUUCUCACACCGAUGUCUGCAGCUUCGGAGAGUAGAGGUCCACCCACAGGAGCAACACGAGCAUAACCACCACAAAAUCUUGAACAGUCAUUCUGAAUCAGAGAUUUCAUCUUCAUCCUCGUCCAGUAUGUAGACCAGGGCCCGCUUUCUUGCAGCUAAAACACAAGGCACACCUCUACUUGCUGUCGCCAUAAAAACGUGAACUUGAUUUCAUUCCAACGUUCCUUGAAUAUAUGGCCAUAACUAACGUGAUGUUUAGAUACCUUUGUUGGGUAAAAGCAAAAGUACAGCACAUGCAUUAUGCUAAAACACAGGCAGGAAGCAAACCUUGGUGCCUAAGGAGGCUAUGGUAUACAUGUAAACUAUGAAUGCUCUACAGUAUCUUGCUAUACUAGAUACCAUGAUAGUAUCUAUCAUCAUGAACAUGUACAGGUUCUCAGUCUGUAACUAGACUGCGGUGAACCUACCAUAAGAAGAUUAUUCUCUGCACUUGUGUGGCCUCUAAAGAUUCACCUUUUUUGCACUUUGACCUCUCAAUUGAUUUAAAUUUAGGGGAAAACCUGAUACUUUAGUAUAUUACUUCUUCAACUGGAAAAAAUGUUCUUUGGAGCAUAAGUUUGCACUUCUUCAAACUGUGGGAACAAAAAUGAAGUGGUCCAUUAAAGAGACAUAAUGUACUUAUGCCAGUCAUAUUUAAACUUAGAGUAGGCUGUUAAGUGAAAAUGUAGUAAGGAGCAUGGACAGGAUUAAUUCAGUCCACUACCUAGUCAACAAGAUGGAAUUGUUGCUAACACUCGCAAGUUUAUCAAGCAUUGAUACACAAAGGAAAUAGAAUGGGCAACAAUAAGUUUCCAAACAUCCAAAAAUGCAGAUGGACAUGGUAAGAAGCUCAAGGAAAAAAAAUUCAGGACUAUAAAAUUGAUGUCAUGACAAUGAUUUAAUCCUUAGCUCAGUUGUAUGAUGGUGUCAAAAAUUCUUACCACUAACUGAGAAGGGAGGAACAACAGUAUGGGGAAUGCUGCGAAUCUUCUCAUUCUCCACAUCUAGGUGUAAUAUAGAGUCCUACAUGCGUAGUUUCACUGUGUCAAUGUUUCAGGAGUGAGAAUAAGAUAACCAAGCAAAAAAUGAUCUCACAAAAUAGAAGCGAAAAUGNNNNNNNNNNNNNNNNNNNNNNNNNNNNNNNNNNNNNNNNNNNNNNNNNNNNNNNNNNNNNNNNNNNNNNNNNNNNNNNNNNNNNNNNNNNNNNNNNNNNNNNNNNNNNNNNNNNNNNNNNNNNNNNNNNNNNNNNNNNNNNNNNNNNNNNNNNNNNNNNNNNNNNNNNNNNNNNNNNNNNNNNNNNNNNNNNNNNNNNNNNNNNNNNNNNNNNNNNNNNNNNNNNNNNNNNNNNNNNNNNNNNNNNNNNNNNNNNNNNNNNNNNNNNAAAUUCCUAAAUUCUAGUGUUUUGAAACCGGACAAGUGGUUCAACAGUCAAACUGGUAGAAUUGUGUUCUACCAGUUUAAUGGGUUUAACAUAUGCAUGUGAUAGAAUACUCCACAUAUAUUAGAUUACACGUGUUCAGAUUAAUAGAUGCCUGGGUGAGUCGGCAGAGCCUCAUUGAGCACAAAUGACAGCAUUCAAGUUCUCAAGAACAUCAUUUAAUUUUCUAAUAGAUUAAACCAAUAAGGUCAAUGGAUAAUAAUGCACCACCAAAUUGAAGCAAGAAGACACUGGAGUGAAUGGUUGGUACGCUUGGUAGUUACAAGAGGUUGGAGUUCCAAACCCCAACCCAACUCCAACACUCUUCCUUUAAACUUUUUGAAUGCCCAGAACUGGUCCAAACUAGUUGACAGGAUUGUGGGUCAACAGUUGACAGUUACGCCUGAUAACAAUCGGGUCAAUACCACCAGUUCUUGACCACUACUGUGUCUGCUGUGAAACCAUACUGGACAGGUCUGGUUCCUGAUCCAACCAGAGCCGAUUCUUAAAACACUGAAAGAACAGGAGUCGACUGAAAAGCAAUUUUCUUUUUGCCAUCAAUGUUUUAAAUAGUGAACUGACGCGUAUCAGAACAAACAGCGUCCUAUACUUACCACGAGUACGAAAUCAAUAUGCAAGCUUAGGAUCCAAGAGUUACCUUUAAUUGGUACAACUCCCAGUUAUUUGCCCAAGUGGUUCCUGAAAUGUGCACAAAUGGAAGGUCACUGGCCUGCAAGAUCAUCAUCCAGGCAUCUCCCAAAUUUUCACCAGUAUCAUUCAUCUUAUUUAGCAACAUAACAAUUUGAUGGUCCUAUUUCAAAAUAAAAUAUAUUAGCCACAUCCACAAAUUCUUAAAGCAAUAUAUGCCAGGCUUUUACCUUAUAUAGAGCCAAAUCCACACAAUGGUAACCAGAAGGGAUGCACAGCAAGAUUGCUUCCAAAGGUCUUCCCUGCUUCACAUUGCUUGAAUCAUUCAUAGAUCCCCUCACUACAGCUAUACAGUUUGUAACAUCUAAAAAAGACUCGUCAGGUAACUGGAAGGAAAUAUAGUCUGUAAACCCAACUUCAUGAGUCAGAUUAGAUGAAGCAAAUUCAGAGGCAUCCUGCAAACCAUAUGAAGAAAUGAUUAGCAUGAAAAAGCAGUUGUACUCUGCCCAUGCAGAUCUCCGGAUAAAAUUGUAGAUUCAGAUUAAGGGUAAAUACCUCAUAGGAGGACAGUGAAAUUGGAAUGUAUUGAGUGGAUGCUGAAACUGAUGUAAGAGGGAAUAGAGGCAAUAAAUUCUUACAACAUAUCUUUUUUGAAAUGGUAGAAAAAGGCAUCUGGGCAGCUUCCUUGAAACUGUAAAAAUUUAAAUUUAUUUUCUAAUCAGUAAACAUGAGAUAUGGCAUUAUCACACACAAUAAUCAUAAACUAAUCAGAAAGCCCAAUCCAAUAAGAUCACCCAGCUUAAGUUUCCAUGUACAUUGUCAAGUAAUCAACCUGAGAUUGAAUACGAAACACUAGAUUAUUAGGUAGAGGGUAAGUAAAAAACCAUUGUUGAGUACAACCUUCAGAAGACAACCCUCACCCCCGAAGGUUUCCUUUUUUUCCUUCUCUCAUUAUAGUCUCAAGGUUCUGGCCACUCAGACAAGGAAAUAUAAAAUAUAGCUACAAUUUUAUUGUAACAGGAAUUUGGAUAGAAAGAUCUACUGACAAAUGACAUUAUCAAGAUACCUGAAUUAGCCAAAUGAGAAAUGAAUAUUUCAGCUCAAUUAAACGAUGAGUUGGGCGAAACCAAAGCACGAGGUUUUAAGUGAAGGAUUGCAAUGUUUACGUAAACCAUUUUGGAGCCGUACCAUCAUACUCAAACCUCUGUUAUGCAUACAAAGAGAUCGAGAAUUUCAUAUUUGGUACACUUGUCAGCAAUGAGGACCAGACUUGGAGGAGGGAAAAAAUCAAUCACUUCAAAUGACAGAUGACAGCAAUGAUUUAUCCCAGAGUUCAUAUAUUCCCCACUGAGGUAGCAUGCGGAAAAACACUAGUGAAUGGAAAAUCUAGAUAUAGCAUAAAUACAAAGAAUCGACAAUGAAAGAGCAACAAGACACAUUCAAGUAAGAACUUCCAUGCAUGAACAAGAUUCUAUUAAAUUUCAUUCAAUUCUUUUGCUGAUACCUGUGUUCCAUCUGUUGAAACUCCUUUGCAAGUGUCCUUCGCAAAUAUUUGCUUUCCCUAAAUCCUCCAAAUUGUACUAAUUCUUUGACUCUCUUCAUUGUUUCUCUGAAACAAUAAUGUGUAAAACAUCUUAUUGACCUGACAUCAAACAUCAAGGCAGACAAGCGCAUGAAACUACAUUUGAUUUUCAAAAGACUUUCCAGUCCAAUGAGAAACGACAAUCAACCCGUCAAUUUCAAUCCUCGUUACCCUGUCAUUAGCAACAUAUGCUGGACCAAGAAUGACCACAGUCGAAGCCCAGCAAAGCACCCUAACUUGAGUCAACCUCAUCUCUUGUGCUCUUAGAAGUAUUUAGGAGGACGGUAGCAAGAUGACUUAAAAUGAAGAACUAACCCUCAAACCAGGAGUCAUUUACAAUUUCAAUAUUCUGAGUUUAGCAACUAAUUUGGUCGCAUUGCAAAAAGGCAUGAAUGAGCCACUAGAGUGCAUGAAAAGAAUACUAGGCCUGACAGGAUACCGCUCUGACAUUUAAAGCAUGACCAAGGUCCAUUACGCCAUGAUAUUUUAAUCCUCUGGCACACAAAUGGAUAGCACAAGCGUGACCAAGGGCCACCAAAAUUUGCUGCUAGAGUACAUGAAGGCAAUACUAAGCUGUCAACACUUCACAGUAUUCAAGCCAUUGCCUCACCAAAUUUCAGCUACAAUGAAUGAAGAGAUGGCCCACACUUGGAAUUAGAAGGUUAUGUCAAAUUAUGAAUCCAGUCAUCAUGUCUGAAUGAUACAUAUGAUUCCAUAACUAGGGCCAGGCAAUAACAUUUUCUUAUUAGAUGAAUGAAAUUCAUUACGAACACCAAGUAGGAGCAAAACUUCAGAUGAUGCACAAGAGAAGAAAUUUAUUAAUUCAAUGGGUAGCCAUUCUAUCAAAAAUAAUGACAUAUCACAUCUCAGCCCAAGUAAAGUUAAUUUCGACUGAAAUGAGGGAAAAUAAUUAACUUUCAGGGAGUAUACAAGCCAUUUCUACUGGAAGCUUUCUGUACAUGGCAAUGCCAAACAGUCCACUUGGUGACUCCAUCAGGUAUGAACACAUAUUAACUAAAGAUUCAGGUGUUCUGUGUGCCAUAUUGUAAAUGACUUAGAAUUAGGAACUGGACAAGUUGGAGGAAAUCACUUACAAAUCAAUGUCAAUUUCUUCAUCAGCCUCGGAUAGAUCCAGAAGCUGCAUAACAGGAUCUUGAUCAUACAGAAACUUCAAGAACACGACAAGAAGUUCACUGUCAAAAUUCAUAAGAGUAAAUAGGGAUUCACCAUAAGGACUGAACCUGAUAGACAAAAGUUAGACAAACCUAUUGUAUGUUAAAAGUUGAUCACUUGGCUCUGACAUAAGUUGCUUUAUACAUUUCAGAAGCCAGCUGAAGAAAUUUGCAAACUGAAAGAGACACAAAACCAAAACCAAAAGCUUCAGCAACAUGCACAUUAUCAACCAAUAAAAAAUGCUUACACCGCUGGCUCAAGAAUUUAGGAUCCUACCAAUAUUCAGAGCUUGUCUAGAUUUCAGUGGUCACACUGGCAAUAUUUUCAUUUUAAAACAAGAAAGAACGGAUGUCUCCAGCGUAGCAUGUGCGAAAUUGAAAAGGUAUCAACAAACCCUAAGUUGUCAAGGUGCCGUAAAGCAAAGAUAAAAAAGUCAUGCAAUUUCUCUUUGGUCCUUCAAAUACACAAUGAUAUAUAUCAACAAAUAACGUGAUAUUGUCAGUAUUUCAUCAUGAUCUUAAAAGGUGCGAGAUGAAACUUUGUUAAACAGGUUCAAGUCAUGUGCAAAUGCCCAGCUACAAUAUCUUCUUCAAAAUCUCAACGAAACGCUUGUAUUUCAAAUAUUAAAUGCUAUUCAGCUUAGAAUAAUAUGUCAUUCUGAGCACACAAGAUCUUGUGUCUUAUAUCCACAAGUAGUUCAACUCCAUGUUUAAACUUUAGGAAUUUAGUAUGACUAAAGACAUGCACGAUGAGAGACGGGCAAGAUUUUGGAAAAGAGUAGCAAACAGAAGGUAUCAAGAAACAUAGAGAAAUCAUAACAAAGAUUGUAACAGGCUACCUGCUGCACAACAGAUGAGAGCACCCUUAUGAAUCGCUCAACCUGUACAAGCAGCAUUCCAGCCUUUUCUACUGCAUUGUCCACCAGUGUCUCAUCCAAACCAAUACCCAGGUAACGAGAGCGCCAUCUUGAAAGACCCCUGAGCUCACCCAUUCUAAAGCCAAUAAUUUCUACAGCAGGCUGCUAGGUAAAUAACAAUACGUCAAUUAGUUAACCCCACAAGUCAAAUAUCCUCUCUAAUCAAGGAAACUGACACACUCAUGAGGGAUAAAGAUAGCAGCGAACAUAUAAGUUAAAUGCUGAACAGCAAUAGGAACCAUCAAUGUUAAAAUUUUAUGAAAGAAAAUGUUUCACACAGCAAAUAGCCAUUACAAGCCAUCCUUAUCUUUCAACUGCAAACUCUGUUUGAAUUACAUGGCACACGCUAGAUUUUUUGACAAAUAAAAUUUAUCUUGGAAAAAUCAUUAAGAAAAUGAAGCCUAGUCUGCUAUCCAAUUCAUGCAAGCAGGCUGGAAGUUUGGAAUGUUCAUGUGAAAUGAUCAAGUCCCGGAAAAUGGAGCCUAGUCUGCCAUCCAAUUCAUGCAAGCAGGCUGGAAGUUUGGAAUGUUCGUGUGAAAUGAUCAGUCUGCCCAAAUGGCUGUGUGGUGUGUGAGGGGAAAAGAAGAAAAGAGAAAGGGGCGGGGGGAAGAGAGAGGGGGAGGAGGGAUGCCAUUUUAUUGUGAUAGUUGUGGGUUAUAAACACAAAGCUGAAAGGAAUUGCUAAUGUUUUUAAGGAGACAAAGGCCCAACCCUUGUGCUGUUAGCUUGGGCAAGGGUAACUUCUUUACAACAUUCAAAUAUCAAACAACAUCUCUAUCCCAUAGCUUACACUUUUUGAUUAGUUAGCUUUGGUCCUACAAAUUUUUACGUCGAAUUAGAGUAGGAGGUUUUAGGUUUAAAAUUCACCUUGCUACCUAAUUACCUCCCGAAUUAUCAAAUUUCUAUUCUUCAAUCUAAGGCCAAGUCUUAGCCUACGUGAGAGGGGAAGCAUUAUAACAAUUAAGUAGUGAACCACAUCUUUAAUUGACAGGUAAUCUUUUAGAUGACUUGGCAAUUGUUCCACAAAAUUCUACACUGUCAUGAAUGCACAUUUUAAAUAAACAACAGCAGAAAGAAGCCCCAAAGCACUGAUUGACAGACCAUGGAGUUAAAGAAAGUUCACAAACUUUCAAAAGAAAAAAAUAGGCAGGUUUCUAAAAAUGAGGAAAGUUAUAUAGGAGCUGUAAAGGAUAUUUGGAUAACCACCAUAUUUUUUUGGCAUUGUGGUGGCGGUUCUUUAGACAGUAAGUCCUUUUUUGAAUUAUCUUAGAUAAAUACAAGCUUAUAGGUGGUAAUUUGUAUAGAAGAGGAACCCCAUUAUGCUCUUUAAUAGACUUACAUAUCAAUAAAGUAAAAAGAAGAGAGUCUAUAACCUUAAAAGAAACUAACAAGAAACAUGAUUUCUCACCAUAGUAAUAAUCAACAAAAAUGUGCAGUGUGUACAAGAGAGUCCUGAACCCAGGAGAAGCAAGGAACUCAUCUAAUUAGCAACCGCCCUAUAGUGUGCAUGUGCAAGUGCAGACACCUGCGCAAGCACAUGAUUGCAGGCACGUGCUAGGGCAAUGCACAUGUUUACAACACACACAAAAUUGCCCACAUGUAUGGAGAGAGAUCUGGCAGAGAAGAUAUUGGCAAUAUCUUUUCUUAUAGAUGAUAAAGGAUUUUAUUUGAAGAAAAAGUUCUAGCGUAUCGGUAUACAAGGAUAAAACAAUAGAAAAACAAACAAAAAUAAAACAUCAGAAGACUAUAUGAAAUCAGAACAUGAUGCCCAAAGCUGGUUAAAAGGUACACCACAAAAAUUACCAAAGUUUUCAAACCCUACUAUUUUGUUGCUUUCCUUCCAAAGGCACCACAUGCGAUAAAGGUGUGGCGCUACAAGACUUCUUAGAAAUUGAUCCUCCCUUAUAGGCAUUCCAACAACUGAAAAGCUAGAUGGCAUGUCUAGGCAAGGAAAUGAUCAUUUGGGAUAUUGAGUUUGUAAAACAAGCCCAAGAUUGGGAGUUUUUGCCAUCUCUUUUUAUGUAUUAUAUUAUUCCAAGAAUUCUGUUGCCUCUGAGGAUGCUUUUUGUUGAACGAUGAAAGAGAUGGAAUCUUUCCAGUAAGGUCUCACUACAAGCUGCUCGAUAGGGAGGAAGUUGGUGGUAUAACAGACUUUCCUUAAAAAGCGAUUUGGAAAGUGAGGGUUCUGAUUAGAGUUUGGAAAGUGAGGGCACUUACUAGAGUUUAUCUAUUUGCCUGGGAAGCAACUUGGGAAUGAAUCCUCACUUUAGAUAACCUACAACGAAGAGGCAAAUACUGGUUAAUAGGUGUUUCCUCUGCAAGGAGGCAGAAUCCGUGCAGCAUCUCCUUCUUCACUGUGCAUGGACAAGAAUGGUUUGGACAGUUUCCUAUGCUUGCACCGAAUUAUCUUUGGGUUAUUGGAGCUUUUAUGGAGCAAGAACUCUGGGAUUGGCAGGGCAUUCGUUUACAGUGCCACAAGAAAAGAAGGAUUAACCCAAUUCCUCUCUCUGUUUUUAGGCUCAUUUGGAAGGAGCUGAACAAGAGAGCUUUUGAUGGAGAGAAAUCUUCCGUUUGUUGAAAUUUGGCUUAAAGUCGUACACUUUUGGUGUAGUGGAGACUGUAUAUGGAUGUAAAUUUGGCUUAAAGUCGUACAACCAUCAUCCACAUAGCAUGUUUUUAUUGAGUGCAAAAACACUCCAUUAACUUACAGUUGCGGUUCCUUUUAUGAGUAAGAUUACCGUGAAGGGUGCCUCGACAACCUCAAGUCAAGAUCUAAAAUGUUCAAGAGAAACUUUGGAUCCAAAGAGAUACCGACACAAUCCUAAAACAGAGCAAUACUAUGGAUACAAAGACUAGCAUACAAAACUCAUUUGAAGUGGUAAAAUCCAAGCAUUUAGGUAAGCAUUUACAGACAUCUAAUACAAAUCUAUUUCACAUGUGAGUUAGUAAACCAUUUUCAUUUACUAGGACAUAACAUCUUUAGCAUUACCCUGCCAAAAAACAGUGCUUAGUUAAAAAGAAUGGCAACCUACUUGGAAAAAUAGUUGGUAAAAAAAUAUAAACUAAUGAAUUCCCACAUCUACGUACAUGAACGAAUUGUUGUGGACAGAGGCUGUCAUAACCAAGGUUAAGCAUCACAUAUAAGCUCAACGUUGGCUCAAUUCACCAUCAUCUGAGCACCCGCCAGUUAAUUUAUCUGCUCAUUUUCUUCUGAUAACUGAGUUUUCAUUCUCAAUUUUAGCUUGUCAACAGUAAUAACAUAAGCAAGCAGAAUUUCACUUACUACAUCGAGUCCAAGGAGUGGAAUUGGUAGUAUAAAUAAGUCUUAACUUCUCCUAGGCUCAAAUAGUGCUAUUAGUAGGUAAAAAGAAAUGAAUAUGAUUCAUUGAUACAAAGAUUGACUCUUGCAAUUAUGAGGGAUAUAUAUUAAGAUCAAAGUGGGCAAUAAAGUUUUUCCUUUUGAAACAGGGAACAUAUCUCUAUACCUGUUAAUUAGAAUGUAAAUGCAUAAAAAUUUCCAUACCCAUACCUCCAUUUACAGUAUUUUGAAAGCCCAAACUUAGAUCAAGUCCAAAUUCAAACCAAUGAUUAUGACCUAUAAUUUCUAUUAUACGCUUAUAGUAGAGAUUGCCAACUUGUUAGAUCAGAAUCAAAAUCAGAUUUUACCUCACCCUUUUCCAGCCACUCAAUGUUAGUAAUCCAUAUCAUUGCAUAUGAUAGGUUCGUAUAAGAAUUCAACGUCAGGAUGUUUGAAAGAUAUGGCAUGUCUCAAAAUGUGUGAAGCAUAACUUACCAUAACAAAUUCCUACAUCUAUCUGAUCCCCAUCCAAUACUGUUCUGUGCAAUGCUUAAAACUCAAUGAUUUAUCAGAGAGAAAGGCUAAAUGCAAAGGUAAUAACAUGCACCUGCAGAUGAUUGAGGACAACCAGCUGAAGUUCUUUUCCAGCACCACAGACAACUUUUGAUACACGCUUCAUACCCUACAAUUGAACAAACUAGCAGACUAAGAUUAUAAAAACCAACCAAAAAGUACAGAAGUCCUAUAGCAACACCGGAACUUAAAAAAACCAGCCGUACCACUUCACCCAGAGAAUUAACAAGAAACUGAUGGACUGCAGGACUGGUCCUAGCACCACCUAGAAGACUCAAAAAUUCCUCCUGAGGAGAAGAGUCAAGACCUAGAUAAGCAAACAAGAUUAGUUCAAUGAAGAACAAUGAAAAGCCAUCUACUGCUUUGUAUUAACAGGAUCACUAACCAUGAUCAUUAAUAAGGCUUGUUAACAAAUCAAACUUCUCAUGAAAUAUGUUCAUGGCAUCAGCCCACUGCUUGUGCAUGACCGAUAAUGAUGUCCGGAUGACAUGAAGUAAAUCUUCGAUGUUGGAAGCCUGUUGAGCAACUUGAUGAAGUUCAUUUUUACUGCAGACAAGAAGAGAUUGAGAAUCUAAGGAGGCAUUCGGCAGAUAAAGAUUCUCAGAUAUCUGUUCUCAUUUUAUAUAAGAAUGUAAACAGUCCAGAAAAUAUGUUUGGUAACACUUCGAAAACAGUUGAUGAAAGGAAAACUAUUAUAAAAACCAAAAUUAAAAAAUGAAGACAACUUUUCAGCAUUCACAUUCCACAUGCAAACAUGGAGAUUUGAAAAAACUAAGCCUGAAUUCUUAUUGUGGUGGAACACGAGCAAAUUCUCACAAUUCUCAUCCCUUACAACAUACAACAUUUUCACUCAACAAGUUUUCUGUGAAAAAACAUUGAAAACAGUUUCCAUAAAUGAAAACAAAAAAUGUUAUCAAAAACUUGGCAGGCCUCUAAUUGUAGAGAACAAAAAUGUUGUGUGAAUCAUGAGACAAUGUUCAAAAUUUUGCAAGAGUAACUCCUGCAACUUUGUCCCACCACUUUCAACAUCUAAACUACAUUGAUUUCUAGAGGUUUCUACAGAAAGAUGGUAUGAUACUUGAAGGUCAGGUGAAAACCUUAACAAGCAUGAAUAAAAUCAUUCAGGCCACGAAGUAUGAGGCAUCAUGUAGUUCAGCUUACAGUGACUCUUGAAAGUCAACUUGGGCAUUUAAAAUUAUCAGAAGGAAAGUUCUUCUAUCAUGCAAAGUGUAGAGUUAAUUCCAAGAAAAAUGCCUCAAAAUUGCUCCAUGUGUUACAGUUUCAUUUUAAGGUUGAUGAUAAUAUCCUGAAUUAAUGAGUUUUACUUUCCAUAAAACCAAACAAAAUUGAUACCUCUGAAACAUAUAUCGGUGCACAUGAACAAUUUUAAUAUAAUUGUAAUGCAGAGUCCAAUUACUACUGCACAAACUUUAAAAAAAAAAAAAACAGUUUCACCUAAAAUUUGAAUAACACUAAAUGCUAGUGCAAUUUUACCUCUUUUGGAAUAUUGAAGUAUCAAACACUAAGCAAUGAAAGCCAUGCAUACUAUCUCCAACUGUUUGACCCCCUCUUGAUUCAACAAUGUCUUCAACAAGUUCUCCUGAGCAUGCAACCCUCAAAUGACGAAGAUCCUUGGAUAAAGCCACCUAAUGAUAACAAUUACAUGCCAGUUAGCUUGCUCUGGUGCAACAUCGAACAUGAUAUCUGGAAUAAUCCAAUCAUAGGAAUAAACUUACAGCAGGUACAUUUGAAGUUUAGCAAACAGCUUCAGCAUCUUACGUCUAUCUAAAUAUUAUCCAAGCUGUUUGUCAUUUUCUGUGUCAGGCUGUUUGACAUUUCUAUAGAAACAUGUUUAGUUACCACUGAGCCUUUACUCAAUAGUUUAUCAAAUUCCAAUAAUGUGUCCCUGAGAAGACAAUGUAUCUGAUGACUAUAACUUAAAUGUCACAAAGUGAAUGAAAUUCUUUGCUGGUCCCCAAAGCACUUUGGGCAAGAAACUAUGCACAAUUCACAGUAAUUUUUGCUUCAAUUAGUCUAGGUUCUUUUGUUAAGUUUAGCUUGAUCACCAAUCGUUCAAAAAGUGUCUUGUAAGGAUUACUUUGUGUUUUUCUUUUCCUAAUGCAUGGGAAAAACUAAAGAAAAGACAAUUUACCAUAUCGUGAAGUUAAAAUUUAUCAGAAGACUAAUUAGGAAGGAAAAUAAAAUUAGUCAGAGCAGAGCAAAAAGGCCUACUAUCAUUAACCCAUUAGUUGAAGAAACACGGAGGCUCUUGAGAGGCAACUAUGUUAGUUAGUGUACCUUCCUCACGGACGCAUUUAGAAGUCGGCAAACGGUGUCUCUGUCCUUGGUUGUCGUAGGAAUAUCACAUUCAUGUAUAUUCUGGUGAAAUUCCCAUGCAUUAUGGCAAUCACACAGCAAGAAGCAAUAAGCGACUGAUUAUCAAACUGAAAAUAGCGAACUCAAUAUAACAAAGCAGCUAUACAAAGUCGAAACAGAGAGUUAAAAAAGCUUCCAAACUAAAAUAACUAGUGGAGAGUGGAACUGCACUAUUGCUACAAGGUCAACUUAAAGAUCAACCAAGCACCAUAACAUUCAUUUUUAGGUAAGCUCAAUUAUGGAACUAGAAAACAGAGAGAAGCAACAAGUUAAGCCAAAAAUGUGAACUUCAUGGGCAACAGCACAAGUGCAGUAGAGGUACUGAUUUGACUUUUCUGAAGGCCUUUAAAAGCCCUUACCUCAACACCAGACUACAGAAUAUCUAAAUCACAUUGCAACUUGGAAGGCCUUAAAUUAGCAGUUCUACAUUGUGGUUCCACAGAAACUUAGUAUUCCUGCCACUGGCAUCUUUUCAAAUAAAAAUUUAAAAAAAGACAACCCAGAAGCUCAACAUUGAACUAAAUGAGCUACGUCAAUUUUCAUAACAAGUGAUAGGCAGUGGGCCCUAGGAAGUACAUUUGGGAGUCCCAACAAGGAAUUGUAACUAUAAGGACUGGCUCCAUGUAACCAAAGAGACAACUGGUAGGAACUUAAAUGAUACUAAUUAGAACAAUUCUUUAGCACGCAUUUCUACACUAAUCAAAUGUCUGUUGAGAAGUUCAUCAUGUUUUCACGUUGAAACAGUACUAAACCCAAACAUGCAGGAAAGUUCAGAGCACCCAAAUUUCUAAGUCUUCUAACAGCUGCACACCCACAGAGAGAACUAUCUACACACAAGCAUACACACUCAUAGAACACUUUCCCCAACUGACGGUCGUAUAGUUUCUCAAAAUCUCCCUAAAAAAGAGCAGAAACUAAAGAGUCAAAAACAAAAGCAGAAAGUCUGCACAGCAGGCUAACCCAGACAGACACCAAAUUCUCCUUUAGGUGCUUCAACUGCAGUAUAGGUAGAAGGAGCACUCAGGGCAAACAACAAAAGCAUUGGAUAAUUGUGCUGUAUCAAUCAUCUCUGAAGUGACCAAUAGAAGUGAAAUCUAGAACUUUUACAAGAAUAACUUCACCUAGUAUAGUUGUUUAAUUAACCGGCCCAUUACUUUCAGGCAAUACUGAUUUCUGCCCUCAGAUCCAUUUAUUAAGAAAGACUGCCCUAUGGAAGCGAGAAAGGAAAGAAGUAGUCAUUGACUGAAUAUGAGACUAUACUGCUAAAUAUUUGAUCUGAACAGACAGGAGGCUUACAACAUUUCCGAUUGGAAAGACACCAAAUAUACUGAAGCACAAAACCCCAUCUUUAUCUCCACUGCAAAGGAUAUUGAAACGUUGCUUUGAAGAAUUUGAGAGCUCUAUGAAUGAAUCUUGACCAUCAUCAGUUAAACCAGUUUCUCCAGAUACUAGUCCAGGCAUGCGAGGAACUCUUGGAGCUGGAGGGAAGAAACAAGUAGUGCGAUCUUCAAAUGCUAAAGAGUUGCCAGAAGUGUCCUAUUAAAAAAUGGAUAAUCAUCUUUCCAAUCGGAAAAAAAGAAGAAGAAAAAGAUAAAUAUAACAAGAGAUUAAAGUUAAGGAAUCAACAAUCAUCAAAUCAACAACUCACAGCCAACACCAAACAUAAGUUUUAACCUUCCCUAAACCCAUAUUGAAGCUGUUGAAUAAGAUUCUAAUUUUCAAAAAAGAAAUAUUUUAGUAAACCAGACUAAAAUAACUACUUAACUGCAGACAAAGCAUUAGAUAGAACGUGAAAGGUAUGAACAAUAAAAUAAUGUCUGUCAAGAGUCAACAUCAAGAAGUAAGAUGAAUUUUUUUAAGUUGAAAGAUGCAUACUCUAUUCACUUGGGCAUCCUCCUCCCACUUGAGACACACCACAGCUGCCGCAUGGGACUUCAAGCUUCUUAACAGUUUUCCAUUCUGCUUAAUAUUUAUACCAAGUUAGAAACAAAUAUACCACAGUACGUAUAACUGCUGCAAGCACUAGCAUAUAAAAAGCAGCACAAUGCAUAUCCACGGUUCCAUAAAGACAGCUAGAUUGCUAAGAUAACAUUCAUAUGUAAAAGUAAGUUCUUCAGCACAAAACAUAAUCCAUGAAGUGGAUAAUGAUUAGUAAAUUGGUAGACAUCUUAAAGAAACUUUUUGGCAGCAGCAUCAGACAAGUUCUGAGCAAUUGUACCCAUGACCAAACAGCUAGCUUAAUGACAUAACCGGUGAUCUAGGAGCUUUUCCACCCACAAGCAUAAUUGAGGCACAUACAAAUUCUAUCAUUUAGGAAUCCCCCGAACUAUUACCUUCCUAAUAUGACUGAACUGGACAUAUGUCACUUUAAAUAAUAGAAAGAAACCAUUAAACUGAUGGAAAUGAGUGUCAUGGAUGACUGCUUCUAUAUGCUGUCUCGGUCAAGUUUGGAUUGGAAUGAACCAUUCAAUCUAAUUAGUUAAAUGGGUAUAUAUAUGAUACAAGAUAUCAUCUAAAUCGAGGACUUUGUAAGUUUACGUUAUUCUUUUUAAAAAUUAUAUGACAUUGAUGAAGAUAUGCAUAUUGCAUGUAUUGUACAAGUUAUAAAUGCUGUGUCGGUCAUGUUUGGAUUGGAAUGAACCAUUCACUUUAAUUAGUAAAAGACCUAUUUAACAAAGGGGACAUGUUCAAAAAGAGUGUUCUAAAAAGAUCUGUUAAGCUUUUCAUGCUCAGGUUGACCUACCUAGCAGUCCACUGUUAAUUUGACAUUGGCAGACAGGACCCGUAAACAUGAAUUGCCAUCUCUAUUAGCAGCUAUAUGUUUGUUGAGCAAGCUUGCUGUUUGCAAAGCAUCAUGCAGCUUUUGAGCAAUUCAGAAUCUUUCCCAAGAGAGAUUACAGAAGAACACAUUCUGAUGAUAUGGAAUUGUUGCAGGAAGAUUCCUAGUUGAGAAGCUGUGAGGGUAAUGUUAAAGUAAUAAUAAAGAAAACUUACUUCAACAUCAUGCAGUGAAACUGUACCAUCUUCUAGUCCCAGGGCAACAACUUUGCCAUCAGGACGCCAGCAUAAUGAUGUUAUACAUCUACCUGGAGUACAUUAGGAUAGUUAAGAUAAUCCAGUACAACAACAUACAAUGGAAUGUGCAAAGAAAAGUGAUUUCAUAAACAACAACAACAACCAUUAAAAAAAAUAAAAAAUAAAAAGAGAGAGAGAGGAUGAAUAAUUUGUUCACCACAAAAUUAAUAGACAAAGAGGAAAGACAGAGAACACACAUAAACCGAGAAAAUGAUAACCAUAAUCUGGCAAGUGAGGCAAACAUCAUAACAGUACAUAUUAUAUCCAAGAGGGAUAUCGGUAGCUUAACAUGUGAUUUCUUUGGGCUAUUGGAUCAUCUAAAGCUAGGGAAUCUAUAUCUUUUUGGCAGCCUUCAAGCCAUUAUCUCAAUCCAAAAACAAAUCUUAUUGCUCAGCUUUGGAACCUCAAGGUGGAGUGGAUCCAUGAAAGCAUACUUCAAGCAAGGAUCACAAGCGUACAAGUAUCUACAACUUAACAUCUCAACAGAAAACACUCAAGGAUUGGUUCAAGAAGCACUCAACAACAUGUUUUUCAUAUCCAAAAGGCAAUAUGAUGCGAGAAGCAUUCAGAUUUUUCUGGAGAAAAUAUACCGCUUAUCUAAAUUUUUCAAGUGAGAACAGAUUAUAAAAACUACCAAGGCUAGGCAUCUAAUCUCAAGCUCUUACAAAUUCGAAUUACCAAAUAAAGUCAUAUAAGAACUUAACAUACUUGGAUGCAGCUCCCCCUACCCUCCUAGUCUCUUUGCUUUCUCCAACUCCUCCCUCCAUGUAUACAUGUAUGCAGCAUAGCUUGAGAUAUAUCCUAUNNNNNNNNNNNNNNNNNNNNNNNNNNNNNNNNNNNNNNNNNNNNNNNNNNNNNNNNNNNNNNNNNNNNNNNNNNNNNNNNNNNNNNNNNNNNNNNNNNNNNNNNNNNNNNNNNNNNCCAAGUGGGCAUCAAGCAUUCUACAUCUGACAAUAACUAGUCUAUCUAGCUUAAACGACAUCCGCUCCCAAUUCGAGUCCUUUAUCUUCAUGAACACUUUGGUGUACUGAAAAGGGCAACAAGAUAGCAAUAUAGCAGUAGGCUACACUUCCGGUUGGUCUAGAUGAUUGUCAGUUAUGUUAUGGAAACCUCCCAAGGCACCAAUCUUGUCUAGAAGUUUAUAGGAAUCUAUAGCGCGUGUAAAUAAAAAUCCCUUCAUUCAACUAGUAUCAGCUUCGGAUUCUUUAUUUGCAACUAUGUCGUCUCCAAAUUUUCCCUCCCAUUAUCAUCAUUCACUCUUCAUUUUUGUGAAAAACACCAACUCAUUAGUUUGACAUCAUGUUCUCGUUUAGAAUUUCAAGCACUUCAUCUCUAUAAACACCAACUCUCCAUCGAAGCAAUUUGAACUCGAUUGGCAACUGAAGCAGCUUAUUUAGGAAAAAGCAUCAUAGCACAUUUAAGGAAAAGCAAAGGAGGAAUAAGGCCAAUGACACAAAGGGCGCACACCAAGCCAUCGUUGAAGAAACGAACACACUGAAUAACAAAAAAGGAGAAAUUUCUCGAGCCGAAGCAAUUACCAGGAGAGAUUGUCCACAGCCUCUGCCAAUUGAAGCGAUGAAGCACCACCUUCGAGUCCUCCGUGACCAUCGCUAGCAAAUCCUUCUCCGGAUUCCACUCCGCCAUCUUCACCUGCCAAUCGGAAGAAACCGAGCAAAAUCCUCACAAAACCGAAUGGGAAAACAAUCGAAUCGACCCGCCCAUUAUCAGGUCGCGAAAGAAGGCGGACCGGAGCCGAACCUGAGAAGCCAGAGGUUUGUCGAACUGUAGCUGAAAGGGAAGCACGUGCCGCGACCCUUCGUCAGUCUCCAUAGCUGAAAAAGCUACGGAAGCAGCCGAAAACGCAGCCACCAGCUUCUGGGGCAAGCCGCGAGGGAGCGUACGGAAGCGGCGGUGGCGGCAAAUGCGAACAGAAAUGGAGAGCUAGUGGUGGAGGGUGGAACCGGAAACCCUAGAAGAAAGCCUGAAGAGGGAGAGAGUAACGAAGUGCAGUGGAAGCUUGAGAAUUUUGCAGAGAAAGAUGGCGGAAGAGGAAGAACAGGCGGGAGAGAGAGGAUUUGAUAACGGGCCGAGCCGGGCCGGUUUGGGCGAUAAUCAGGCUUAACAAGUGGCCCUUCGAUACACAAGCAGAGCCUUAAGGUCCGUUCGUUUCACGGAAAAUGGGUCAUUUUCGGAAAAUAUUUUCCUAAAAGUCAUUUUCUAGGAAAAUAACAAUAUUUCCUAAUAUUCGGCUAAAAUCUGAAAAUAUUUCAAAAAAUAUUUUUCAGUGUUCGAUAAGGAAAAUAUUUUCUGCUCGCCAGAUUGGCGAGCACGAGCAUCAAGCUCAAGGCUUGCCAGAUCAAUGAGCGUAAGUUUGAAAUCGACAAGCUUGAGGUUCACCUAGUCUAAUGACUAACCAAGAAAAAAAAAUAAGAAACAAAGAAAAGAAAAAGAAAAAGGAAAUUAAAAAUAAUUAGAAUAUAAAAAAAUAAGAAGAAGAAAGGGGAGGAGGAAGUGAGAAUUUGUCGAGUUGUGAGAUAAGAGAAAUCAAGUGAAGAAAAUAUUUUUUGCUUUUAACAUUUUCCCUAAAGAAUUCAUUUUUCGUGAAACGAAUGCUGGAAAAUCCGAAAAAUAUUUUCCCGAACAUUAUUUUCGGCGAAACGAGGGGAGCCUUAGAGAAUGUAUCUUUGUAGGAGCUAGUUUGCUUUAGGCGCUCAUUACACCAUUAUGUUCCAAAAAUAGUUUCUGAAACAGAACUAGAUUUUUCUAUUUCUAUUUCUAGAGAGUUUCUAGCAAAAAUAACCGUUUGAUAACGACACAAAAUUUUUUCUUUUNNNNNNNNNNNNNNNNNNNNNNNNNNNNNNNNNNNNNNNNNNNNNNNNNNNNNNNNNNNNNNNNNNNNNNNNNNNNNNNNNNNNNNNNNNNNNNNNNNNNNNNNNNNNNNNNNNNNNNNNNNNNNNNNNNNNNNNNNNNNNNNNNNNNNNNNNNNNNNNNNNNNNNNNNNNNNNNNNNNNNNNNNNNNNNNNNNNNNNNNNNNNNNNNNNNNNNNNNNNNNNNNNNNNNNNNNNNNNNNNNNNNNNNNNNNNNNNNNNNNNNNNNNNNNNNNNNNNNNNNNNNNNNNNNNNNNNNNNNNNNNNNNNNNNNNNNNNNNNNNNNNNNNNNNNNNNNNNNNNNNNNNNNNNNNNNNNNNNNNNNNNNNNNNNNNNNNNNNNNNNNNNNNNNNNNNNNNNNNNNNNNNNNNNNNNNNNNNNNNNNNNNNNNNNNNNNNNNNNNNNNNNNNNNNNNNNNNNNNNNNNNNNNNNNNNNNNNNNNNNNNNNNNNNNNNNNNNNNNNNNNNNNNNNNNNNNNNNNNNNNNNNNNNNNNNNNNNNNNNNNNNNNNNNNNNNNNNNNNNNNNNNNNNNNNNNNNNNNNNNNNNNNNNNNNNNNNNNNNNNNNNNNNNNNNNNNNNNNNNNNNNNNNNNNNNNNNNNNNNNNNNNNNNNNNNNNNNNNNNNNNNNNNNNNNNNNNNNNNNNNNNNNNNNNNNNNNNNNNNNNNNNNNNNNNNNNNNNNNNNNNNNNNNNNNNNNNNNNNNNNNNNNNNNNNNNNNNNNNNNNNNNNNNNNNNNNNNNNNNNNNNNNNNNNNNNNNNNNNNNNNNNNNNNNNNNNNNNNNNNNNNNNNNNNNNNNNNNNNNNNNNNNNNNNNNNNNNNNNNNNNNNNNNNNNNNNNNNNNNNNNNNNNNNNNNNNNNNNNNNNNNNNNNNNNNNNNNNNNNNNNNNNNNNNNNNNNNNNNNNNNNNNNNNNNNNNNNNNNNNNNNNNNNNNNNNNNNNNNNNNNNNNNNNNNNNNNNNNNNNNNNNNNNNNNNNNNNNNNNNNNNNNNNNNNNNNNNNNNNNNNNNNNNNNNNNNNNNNNNNNNNNNNNNNNNNNNNNNNNNNNNNNNNNNNNNNNNNNNNNNNNNNNNNNNNNNNNNNNNNNNNNNNNNNNNNNNNNNNNNNNNNNNNNNNNNNNNNNNNNNNNNNNNNNNNNNNNNNNNNNNNNNNNNNNNNNNNNNNNNNNNNNNNNNNNNNNNNNNNNNNNNNNNNNNNNNNNNNNNNNNNNNNNNNNNNNNNNNNNNNNNNNNNNNNNNNNNNNNNNNNNNNNNNNNNNNNNNNNNNNNNNNNNNNNNNNNNNNNNNNNNNNNNNNNNNNNNNNNNNNNNNNNNNNNNNNNNNNNNNNNNNNNNNNNNNNNNNNNNNNNNNNNNNNNNNNNNNNNNNNNNNNNNNNNNNNNNNNNNNNNNNNNNNNNNNNNNNNNNNNNNNNNNNNNNNNNNNNNNNNNNNNNNNNNNNNNNNNNNNNNNNNNNNNNNNNNNNNNNNNNNNNNNNNNNNNNNNNNNNNNNNNNNNNNNNNNNNNNNNNNNNNNNNNNNNNNNNNNNNNNNNNNNNNNNNNNNNNNNNNNNNNNNNNNNNNNNNNNNNNNNNNNNNNNNNNNNNNNNNNNNNNNNNNNNNNNNNNNNNNNNNNNNNNNNNNNNNNNNNNNNNNNNNNNNNNNNNNNNNNNNNNNNNNNNNNNNNNNNNNNNNNNNNNNNNNNNNNNNNNNNNNNNNNNNNNNNNNNNNNNNNNNNNNNNNNNNNNNNNNNNNNNNNNNNNNNNNNNNNNNNNNNNNNNNNNNNNNNNNNNNNNNNNNNNNNNNNNNNNNNNNNNNNNNNNNNNNNNNNNNNNNNNNNNNNNNNNNNNNNNNNNNNNNNNNNNNNNNNNNNNNNNNNNNNNNNNNNNNNNNNNNNNNNNNNNNNNNNNNNNNNNNNNNNNNNNNNNNNNNNNNNNNNNNNNNNNNNNNNNNNNNNNNNNNNNNNNNNNNNNNNNNNNNNNNNNNNNNNNNNNNNNNNNNNNNNNNNNNNNNNNNNNNNNNNNNNNNNNNNNNNNNNNNNNNNNNNNNNNNNNNNNNNNNNNNNNNNNGAUACGAUUACUAUCUUGAUGCAUAUGAUCAAACACGAAGCUAUUCCGUCUUUAAGAGUUUCUCCUUUAGAUUGACAAUAAAUCCUAGAGAACGAAUGAUAAAAUUAAACAUUUUUAGAUUCUUGUAUAUCUGUACAUCAUUAAGUAUUUUGGCUAUAUGAUACUCUUUUCAAUAAUAUGAAACAUAAUCUCAUAAUCUUAAAUGUACCAUUUAAUUGCAAAUUUCAAAUCUCUCAUAUUGGAAGAUAGUAUUUGUUCUUUAAUGCCACCUUGUCUAUGACAUCCCAAAUUUCUGAUUCUGUUUUCAAUUAAAUGAGACGGACUUUUCAUCGACGCGCUUAUAGUUCAAUUCUCCGAGCUGAUCACUCACGAGAUAACUAGUCUAUCAGGGGAAGCCGUUAAGGAAUUUAAAUGCAAUAGGCUUGAGAAUCUGACCAUGAACCGACUACUCGACCGUAUAAAUCUGCAAGGAUCAUUACGACACUGUCAGAAUCGAACAGAGAUCAGUAAUAGGUCGAUUCGACUGAGAUAUGUAAUUAGAGUGUGGGUGAUUCCACCUGAUUUCAAUAUCCUCGUCGACCGGCACUGAACUGAUUAUUCUGUCGUUUUGGGUACCCUAUGUCCGUAUUUGAAACCUUGAGAUUUUCACGACAAUCGGGAGUCGCUAAUGUGUCGAAGAUUUAUGUCGUGGAUUGAAACUAAUCAACCACGGUCAAUUGCAUUGAAAAUUUCCUAAAAGCUACCCGGUAGAUUAGGACGCGCUCAAAUCGCGCCAGAUUGAAAUUAACCGUGAUUUUAAACCCGGAUUCAGAAAUUGAAAGUUCUGGCAUGUCACAAUUCAUUUUUGAAACGUCGACUCAUCUUCAGAAGAUUUUUUCUACAAACCGAGAUUUUUGGCGGAAAAGCAAAGUAAGGCCGUUUUUGUUCGGGAUUGUCAGAGAGCCGUUUUUAAUCGAAUCUUCGGGAUGCAAGUUGGAUCAUUUGACGGGGAAAUGUCAUGAGAAGGCCGAGGACACAUGGGUUGAUUUAAUUGAGCUUCAAUUGGAUGGAAUUAAUUGGCAAUUGAAUGAAUUAAGUGAACAAAUGUUCAAAAUUCGAAAUCUCCUUGGCACACUACAUUUUGGACCUAUUAACUAGCUUGUAGGGAAGCUAGAGGAGAGAGAGAGAGGCUAAAAGGUGGGCCGGCCAUGGUGGGGACAAGGAGAGAGAGAGAGAUUGACAAGUGUUGAAGCUAGAAGAGCUCUUGGGGGCCCCUUGCUUCAGCUGAAGCUUCUCCUUCCUUGAAUCCCUCGUGCGGCAGCUUUCUCCAUGGUUGAGGAAGGGAAAAAGCUUGAGAAACCAGUGGAGAGCGACCAGCAGCCGUCCGAAGCCCCGCGAGCCCGCCGGAGCAGCUAGCUUGCUCGUCGCGUCCAGUCCCGUGCAACCGCGAGUCCAGCCGCUGCUUCGCCUUCGUCCCGCGUCCUCUGGCCGUCCAGCUCGUCGUUCGACAGCCACAGCACUGCCUGGGAGCCGCCCGAAGCUUCCUCUUUUCCGUCUGACCUCCCCAUCGCCGUCGCUCGCCCGUGGAAGCCAACCGGAACCAGCUGCAGUCGUCGCGCUCUCCAGUUCGUCCAGCAGCUGCUCUGCUUGUGUCCGCUCGUUCAGGCCGUCGUUCAGCCACGCCUGGCCACCGUCGGAGCCAGUAGGGUCGCCGGAACCUCCGCCUGCACCGCCUGAAGCCGCUGCUGUUCCUCCUCUGCCGUUUCCAGCAAAUCAGGCCACCCGAACAGCUCUUCUCCAGCAAGAUCAGUAGCCGAAGACAGCAAGAAGUUCCAGACUUCGAGGCACGUUUUCAGUGUCUUCCCGGCCUCCGUUGGUGUCGCCGCUUUGGGGUUUAUCGACCGCAUUGGCGUCGUGGUCGCUGUGAACUCACCGGCGUGCAAAACCGGUGAGUUUAUCCUCUAAACCUUACUUAGCAAGUUAAUCAUGCUUAAGGGGUGUUUAGAUUAGUCUAAUUAGGUUUAGGUGGUUAGAUUUGAUUAUUUUAAUGUAAAUUAGAUUAUUUGUAUGAUUAGUUUAAGGGACGUUUAAUUAGGGCUAAAAGUAUGUUUAAAUUAGUGUAAUCUAAUUUAAGCCCUAAUUGAUUAUUUUUUUAAUUAAAUAAUUAUUUCGAAUUUUUAAAUAUUAUUUUAUUAUUUUAUAUUAUUAUAAUAUAUUAUUUAAUUAUUUAAUUUUCGGAAUUAAAUUUAAUUAUUUAAUAAUUUCGAAAAUUUUGCCAGGAUGGCCGUUUGUUAGAAUUUCGCGCUGAUCGCAGCAGUGCGGUCGGUUUGUGCUAAUUGUAUGUUUAAAUUGAGAAAUUGAGUGAUUGAUGAUUAUGGUGAAUAAUUCCAAAAGUGUGGAAUUGUGUGAAAUUGAUGAAGUUGUAAUAUUUAACUUGAAAAUACCCGGUGUUAGCUUCUAGCACCGUGAUUGGUUUGUAUGGCCAGUUUGAAUCGAUUGGAUUGAUUGAUUUAUUUAAUUGAGGUAUGGAUUGGGUUAUUGUUGAAUUGAUAACUUUGGCGAGCAGUUAUGAUAUGCAUAUACAUUGAAUAUUGAGGCAGCUUCUUGUGAGCUAUAGUAUACUAUAUUGAAUAUUGAGGCAGCUUCUGGUGAGCUAUAGUAUACUAUAUUGAAUAUUGAGGCAGCUUCUGGUGAGCUAUAGUAUACAAUAUUGAAUAUUGCGGCAGCUUCUGGUGAGCUAUAGUAUACUAUAUGAAUAUUGCGGCAGCUUCUGGCGAGCUAUUAUAUUAUCUAUCAGUUACAGCUUUGGAAAGCAUAUGUCUCAUUAACGACUGGUUUGAUAGACGGUAUGGAAAGAUAGAUAAUGAGAUUGAAUUGAAUCAUUGUGAAUGAUCAAUGUGAUUGAGAAUUUAAUUGUGCUGACGUGCAGGGAUGGACUGAGGCGAGGUAAGUCCUCAAUUCUCUUUGUGUGGCUAAAGCACCCUGGGGCUUAUUUUCUUCAUAAUUGAGUUUUAGAAAGUAGGACUCGCUGAGACAUCGUCUCAUCCCGGUUGUGGGAUAAUAUUUCAGGUCCCUAGAUGGCGGAUCCUCCGGAGCUUUUUGGUAGACCACUGAGGGUCGCUGAGAGGAUUUUUGACUUCGCCGAUCCAGACUGAAGAGCUGGUGAAUGGACCUGUCUAGCUGGUCUUAGGACAGCUUUGUUUUUUAGGACUGAUCUUUUAUAGGUCUUUUGUUAAUAGCCUAGUCCUGUAAAUCAACUGGUUUGAUAUGUAUAAAAAGUAUGUGGUUGGUUUUAAAAAUGUGAUCAUGCUUUUCUAUCCCAAUUGAGUUUUGUCUGGGGAUUAUUUAUCCGCUUCCGCAUGUGUAAUUAAAAAGAAUGGGUCGGCGACGUGUCCUGGGAAGUCGGAUUUCUAUCGACCGCAGUGGAAUGUGCGUGUGCUCGAGGUUCGGGGCGUGAUAUUGUCACUAUAUAUCUAGCCAGUCAUUAUCGAUAUAGUAUCUAAAGAUGACCCUUUCACACGAGUUGUUUUGUACAUUGGACUGGAUGCAUCAUUUAACNNNNNNNNNNNNNNNNNNNNNNNNNNNNNNNNNNNNNNNNNNNNNNNNNNNNNNNNNNNNNNNNNNNNNNNNNNNNNNNNNNNNNNNNNNNNNNNNNNNNNNNNNNNNNNNNNNNNNNNNNNNNNNNNNNNNNNNNNNNNNNNNNNNNNNNNNNNNNNNNNNNNNNNNNNNNNNNNNNNNNNNNNNNNNNNNNNNNNNNNNNNNNNNNNNNNNNNNNNNNNNNNNNNNNNNNNNNNNNNNNNNNNNNNNNNNNNNNNNNNNNNNNNNNNNNNNNNNNNNNNNNNNNNNNNNNNNNNNNNNNNNNNNNNNNNNNNNNNNNNNNNNNNNNNNNNNNNNNNNNNNNNNNNNNNNNNNNNNNNNNNNNNNNNNNNNNNNNNNNNNNNNNNNNNNNNNNNNNNNNNNNNNNNNNNNNNNNNNNNNNNNNNNNNNNNNNNNNNNNNNNNNNNNNNNNNNNNNNNNNNNNNNNNNNNNNNNNNNNNNNNNNNNNNNNNNNNNNNNNNNNNNNNNNNNNNNNNNNNNNNNNNNNNNNNNNNNNNNNNNNNNNNNNNNNNNNNNNNNNNNNNNNNNNNNNNNNNNNNNNNNNNNNNNNNNNNNNNNNNNNNNNNNNNNNNNNNNNNNNNNNNNNNNNNNNNNNNNNNNNNNNNNNNNNNNNNNNNNNNNNNNNNNNNNNNNNNNNNNNNNNNNNNNNNNNAUAGCUUUGUAGGGUAAAAGUAAUAAGUACAAUACUUGCAUCACGCUAAAACACAGGCCGAAGCAAUACUUGUGUACCUCAAGAGGCUAUGGUAUGCAUGUGAACCAUGAAUGCUCUACAAUAUCUUGAUAUACUAAAUACCAUGAUAGCAUCUAUCAUCAUGAACAUGUACGUACUAGUUCUCACUCAGUGACUCUGACCACCAUAAGAAGAUAAUUAUUCUUUUUGUAUUUGUCUGGCCACUAAGAUUCAUCUUUUUCGCACUUUGACCUCCCAAUUGAUCUAAAUUAAUAGGAAAACCUAAUACCUUAGUAUUUUUCUUCUUCAAUUAAAAAAAUACCCUUCUUUGAAGCAUAAAUUUGCACGUUUCCAACCAUCGAAACAAACAUGAAACGAUCCAUUAGAGAGGCACGACCGCAAUGUACCAACACCAGUCAUAUUUGAACUUAAGAGUAGGUUGUAAAAGUGGAAAUUUAGUAAGGAGCAUCAACAGGAUUAAUUCAGUUCCACCACCUAGUCCAUGAGAUAAAUUUGUUACUGACACUAGCAAGUUUAUCAAACAAUGAUACAUAAAGGAAAGACUAUAUGCAACAAUAAGUUCCAAACAUCCAAACUGCAAAUGGACAUGGUUAGAAGCUCCAAGAAAAUAGUGUUCAGAGUAUACAAUUUAUGGCAUGGCAAUGAAUUGAUCCUUAACUCGAUUGUAUGUCGAUGUAAAAAAUUCUUAACAAGGGGGGACUCUAGUGUGGGGAAUGUUGCAAAUCUUCUCAUUCAGUGUAAGAUAGAGUGCUAGAUGUGUAAUUUCACUGGGUUAGUGUUUUAGGAGGGAGAAUGAGACAACUGAGCAGAAGUGUUCUCACAAAAUAGAAGCAAAAGUGGCACCACUAACCCAUUAGGGUCAUCAAAUGCACAUUUCUUAACAUAUAUAAAAGUACAAGGCUCCUAAAUGUCAAGAUAUGUAGGAACUUUUGAAGUUAUGGUAAGUCAAAAAGUAAAAUAUCCUAUAAAAUUGCAGCAUGAAAUGGCAUGUAAAUGCACAUAGGAGGAAAAACUGAGCUGCUACUCCUUGUGCUGAUGAGGAGAGCAAGUACUAACAAAUAGGAAGAACAAAAGAACAAACGUCUAUACAAGAGGUUGAACGCUCUUCCUAUAAGAUUUUGGAAAGCCCAGAAUAGGUCCAGACUAGUUAACAAGUUCACUGGGUUACCAAUUGACAGUACACCUGGUCACUUGUUCCACAGGGCCAAUAACACCAGUUCUUGACUGCUACUGUUUCUGCUGUGAAACCAGACUCGAACGAAAAGCACAAUAUCCUCAUUUUUUCUUUUCAUUUUGCCAGUAAUGUCUUAAAUAGUGAAUUGACAUGUAUUGGAACGCAUAGAACUCAGGAGCAUCCCAUACUUAUCCCAUACUUAUCACGAGCACAUUCAUCUUAUUUAGCAACAUAACAAUUUGAUGUUGUUGUUUCCAACAGAAUAUAUUAGCCACAUCUGCAAAGAAGGCUUUAAAAUAUGCUAUGCCAGGCUCUUACCUUAUACAGAGCCAAAUCCACACAAUAGUAAUUAGGAGGGAUGCACAACAAGAUCGCUUCCAAAGGCCUUCUCUGCUUCACAUUGCUUGAAUCAUUCACAAAUCACCUCACCACUGCUAUACCGUUUGUAACAUCUAAAAAAGACUAUUUGGAAUGAGGUAUAGGCUGCGUUUGGGAGUGGCAUUUGCAAGCCACUUUGAACCCCCAAAGCCCUUUGGACUAAUUUGUGGGUGUUUGGUAAAAAUUUCCAAACCCCAUUUGGGGAAUGCCAAGCAUUCCCAAGGCUGAAAGCCCAAGGCAGGUGGGGCUGCCUUGGGCUUUCAGCCUUCUCGGCAUGCUGAGCUGAGCUUAAAUAAAAAAAUUUCCUUCCCAAAUUGUCCCCAUUGAUUUUUCGUUUUUCCCUUUUUACCCUGACUGUUCAUCUUCUUCUUCUUUCUUCUUCGUGAGCGGUUGCCGACGUAAGGCACACAAUCGCCGGCGACAGUUGCGCCCGCCACGCCGACCCGCCGCACCACGACCUUCGUUGCGGCCGCGCGACCCCUCGGCAAGGGUCGCGUGACCCCGCUCGAGAGGUCGCCGCGAAGGUCGCGACCGCGACCCAUUUGGUCGCAGAUCUGGUCGCCGGUCGUGACCUUUGCGCUGCAACCAGAUGGGUCGCCGGCCGCAACCUUCAGGCGACCUUCGCGGAGGUCGCGACGCAGAUUUGCGUCGCCGGCCGUGCUUUAGGCGACCUCCGCGGAGGUCGUGACCUUCGCGCGACCCAUCUGGUCGCGACCUUCGCGCUGCGACCAGAUGGGUCGCUGACCGCGACCUUCGCGGAGGUCGUGACGCAGAUUUGGUAGCGACCAGAUCUGCGUCGCCGGCCAUGCUUCAGGCGACCUCCGCGGAGGUCGCGACCUUCGCGCGACCCAUCUGGUCGCAGAUCUGGUCGCAACCACGCCGGCCGCAACCUUCACGCGCGACCAGAUAGGUUGCCGGCGACCUCCGCUGCACGGUGGGUCGCCGGCCCAGAUCCGAGGUCGCCGGAGGUCGCCGAAGGUCGCCGGGGGUCGCCGCCGGCCGCCGGAUGCCGCCUGCCCUUACUGGUUUUCAUUUUUUUAUUUUUUUUAUUUUUCUUUUGAUAAUUUUUUUUUUUUCACAAAAGCCCUUUGUCCCUCAAACACCAUUUUACUCAAAAGUACUUCACAAAAGGCUUUUAAAUUACAAUUUACCAAACACAAUUUGCAUUUUGCAAAACACAUUUAACUCAAAGGUCUUUGCAUUUUCCUAAAGACUUUCCUCAAAAGCCUUCCCAAACGCACCCAUAAUCUGUAAAUCCAAUUUCAUAAUUCUAUUAGAUGAAGCCAAUUCAGAGGCAUCCUAUAGAUUUAAACAAAGAAAUGAAGCAAUUGUACUCUGCACAUGUAGAUCUCUGGAGAAAAUUGUAGUUUCAGAUUAAAGGUAUAUAACUCAUAGAAGGACAGUGAAAAGGGAACAUAUAUGGUGGAUGGUAAAAUAGACAUAGGAAGAAAUUGUUGCAAUAAAUUCAUGUCAAGAAUUUUAUUUUUUUUAAAUAGUAUAAAAGGGAUCUUGGCAGCUUCCUUGAAACUGUAAUGACUAAAUUAUUACCUAAUCUAGAGAAAUGAGAUACUGUUUUUCCAUACACGAUGAUCAUAAGCUAAACAGAAAGCCCAAUCCGACAAGAUCACCCAACUUAAAUUCCAAUUACAUUGUCAAGUAAUCAACCUGAGAUCAAAUACAAAACACUAGAAUGUUAGGAAAAUGGUAAGUGAAAAAUCACUGACUACAAAACCCAGAAGACAACACCCUACCCCCAAAGGUUUCCAUUUCUUUUUCUCCUUCUCGUAUUAUAGUCUCAAAGUUCUGGCUAAUCAAGCAAGGGAAUGAAAAAUAUUUGUAAAAUUUUACGAUAAUAGGAAAAUGGAUAGUAAGAUCUACAGACAAACUCAAAUAAUUGAUGAGUUGGGUAACACCAAAAGCGCAAGCUUUCAAGUAAAGGAUUGCAAUGUUCUCACAAACCAAUUUUGAACCGGGGCAAUCAUACUCAAACUCUUGUUAUGCAUACAAAGAGAUCGAGAAUUUCGCAUUUGGUACACAUAUCAGCCAUGAGGACCAAACUUGAAAGGAGGGAAGAAGCAAUCACUUCAAACAACAGAUAACAGUAAUGUUUUGUCCCAUAAUUCAUAUUUCUCCCACAGAGAUGGCAUGUGUAAGAACACUUAUGCAUGGAAAACUAGAUAUAGCAAUCAGAUGAAGAAUCAACAAUAAAAGAGCAAUAAACAACACAUUCAGGUAAGAAUUCUAUGCAAGAGCAAGAUUCUAUUACAUUUCACAUUUCUAAUUCUUGUGCUAAUACCUAUGUUCCAUCUGUUGAAAUUCCUCCGCCACUAUCCUUUGUAGAUAUUCACUGUCCCCAAAUCCUCCAAAUUGCAAUAAUUCUCCAGCGCAAUAAUGUAUGUAAGACAUCUCGCUGACGUGACUGACAGAACACAUCAAGGCAGAAAAGCGCAAGAAAUUACAAUUGAUCUUUCGAAAAGUGAGAACCUUCCAAUUCAAUGAGAAAUGACAAUCAACCCAUUAAUUUUAACCCUUGUUUUCAUGUGGAUAGCUAAAAUAGUGCUAAACCAACAAAAACCACAGUUGACACCCAACAGGCCACCCUACCUUGAGUCAACCUUAUCUAGUUAAAGUGCUCUAAGUAUUUAUGGGGAUGGUAACAAGAUGACAUGAAAUGAAGAACUGACCCACAAACCAGGAGUCAUUUACAAUCGCAUAUCAUUAGUUUAGCAACUAAUUCAAUCACAUUGGAUCAAAGCAGAUUCAGCUGCUAAAAAACAAUACCAGGUUGACAGCAUAUCAUUUUGCAUUUAAAGCAUGACCAGUUCCAUAAAACCACAGUAUUAGAAUUCUCUAGCACACAAAUGGAUAGCACAACGCAGUGAAGGCCUACCAAAAUAGCUGCUAGAGUAUAUGAAGGCAAUACUAAACUGAACAUACUUCGUAGUAAUCAAAGAAUACUAAGCUGACGAACUUUCUCUCUUCAAAGCAUUUACAAGAGACUGUCCACAACCUCUGCCAAUUGAAGCGAUGAAGCACCACCUUUGAGUCCUUUGUGACCGUUGCCAGCCAACACUUCCCUGGUUUCCACUCCAUCAUCUUCACCUACCAAUCAGAAAUCAAGCAAACUUCACAAAACCAAUUCGGACCAAUCAAGUCGACCGCCCAUUAGGUCACAAAAGAACACUGGAAGCUAAACCUGAGAAGCCAGUGGUUUUUCAAACUGAAGCUGAAAUGGAAGCACAACACACUGUGGUCCUUUGCCAGUUUCCUUAGCUAAAGCUCUGUGAGCAGCCGAAAACACAGCACCAACACUAUAACAAAUCACAGGGAUGCAAGCUGAAAGAGGGCUUGUGAAGAUUAGAGUUCAAAGAACCCAAAGGAAACUUGGCCUGACAACAUGCAAAUAACUUUUACCAUUCCAAGGAUGCAUUGUCGGGGUUCGGAGAAGUUCAAGAAAUGUGGAGCUCCUCAUCCUUCAAUGAUUUCAAUUCCUUUUAGAAGUGCCUUCUCAAAGCUCUCUGGGAUGCUACAGCAUUUACAUCAACCGGUGGAAUGAUAAUCGAAUCCUGCUAGUGAGUCAGACGAAAUCAAUCCAGUAACUAACAUCAAUGGACUACUAAUAAUACUCCAAAGUUUAUGGAACUCUGUUUGUCAGACUUGAUAUUCUUUUUGAACUCUUUGGAUCCAACUAAUGGGACUUCUGACGCCAUCAACCACAAAAGCUUUGAUCAAAUUAGCAUAGUGUAUUCAACUCAAGAUGCUUUCUUUUGUGGGACAUACUAUGACUCUUUUCCUUAUCAUUAUGUGCUAUUGAUGCGUUAGAAUUAAUGCAAGACAGUUUUCAAAUGGCAUAUAGGAUACUGAAAAGUUUCCUCAGGAAACUUAAGGAAAUGCUUCCUGUGUUUUUCUUUUAAGCAAGUGCACUAACAAGAGCUUAUGCACAAUAUAAGCAAUCAUUUCAUAGCAAAAGACAUUCUAGUUAAUGUAUUGUCUGACUCAAUAGUUCAGGUAUAUGACAAAUGGCUUUACCCACUCUACAAACAUCAAGAUGCAUUCUCUAGGAGGCAUGGAGUAGGUAUACCCUGGAUUCAAACUAAAUGAACAUGGAUCCAUGGUCAGAAAUAUUCGAAUUGUAAUUUUUGCAAUCGAUCCAAAUAUUUCAAGAUGUUUUUGCUUCUACCUUGUUUGCUAGUUCACUCACGACCACACCACUAGGGGAAGAGCUUGCGCUUGCAUUUAGCACUUCUAAAUUAAUAUGAUUAUCUUAAUCUCCUAAUGAAGACAGUUAUGUGAGAUAAAACGGGUGGAACACAAUGGUUGGACAAAUUUUAUCCCAAGUGAGAAGCAUAUGCAUACUAAGGGAUGCCAUAUCAACAUGCUUCUUUUGCAUUGUAAAUUCACUCUUAAGUGUACUUAGAAAUAUGCAGUCAUGAACAGCAUGCUGAGCAUAGAGCAAACUAAAACCUCACAUUAGAAGGAUUGCCAUAUAGGGUCCUUCAUUUAGCAUUUUCUUCGACCUAUACAAUGACUUUUGGCAUGCUAUCAAAAACAUGUACACAUCAGUUUUUCAGCACUUCCAGCAUUCCAAAAUCAAUCAGAUGUCGAGAAUCUCUAUUUUUCUGCAUAGGAUGAAGGAUCUUACUUGAAAACUUAUGUCAAAUGAUGCGCUUUGAAAGCCUUAUCAUCUAUUUCCGCUACUGACAUGAUAAGUAGAACCAUUUUGCCAAAGCACACAUUAACUUCCAUGAACAUCUCCCCCCGGAUUCCUUGAAUUCAAGUAAGAAAACAAUGGUGACACUAUCAACCAGGAAAUAAUAAUGACAAGAUCAUAAAUCUUGAAAGAUAUUGCAAGCGGGAAAUUGAAAUUGAAAUUGGGCAUUAGAUCUCAAAAGAGCAUAGGUCGAUUACCUGCUUUAUGUACCUUCAUUAGAAAAUGUGGAUCCCUCAUCCAAGUCAUCCGAUCCCUCAUCCGAGUCGUACAUAUAGUAUGGAUUUGGUUCACUCCAUCUGCCAUCUGUAAUCUGAUAAUGUCGAUAAAUCCGCGUUCUAAAUAAUUCUGGAAUUGUUUUGAGUGACUCGCAUAAGAUGAGAUUCAGUUCCUGCAACUCUAACCUAUCAAGGCCUUCAAUUUCGGCUAAUUUUACACAUCCUCUAGCUCGUAAUUUCUUCAGCCUCUCGGAUUUUGGAAGAUCUAGCCUUUCAAUUGAAGUGCACUGAGAGAUAUCUAGACUUUCCAAAUACACCAAACUAUCGAGCCCUUGAAUUUCGGCUAAGUUUUUGCAGUUUGUAGCCUCUAAUUUCUUUAGCCUCCCGGAUUUUGGAAGGUCUAACCUUUCCAUUGACCCUUCGAUAUCUAGCCAUUCCAAAUACUCCAACCUAUCAAGGCCUUGAAUUUCCGCUAAUUUGCGGCACUGGACAAUAGUCAAUUUCUUCAGACCCUCGAGUUUUGGAAGGUCCACCUGUUUGAUUGAAUCGCACCAUGUGAUAUCCAAGCUUUCCAAAUAUAUCAAUUUGUCAAGACCUCGAAUUUCAAGUAGAUCGUCGCAUCUGUAGACCACUAACGUCCUUAGAUGGACAAACUGUGAAACGUCCAGCAUUUCGAUAGAUCCAGAUCCACACAUAGAGACUUCCAAGAAUUCGAACUUGAAGGGCGUGUUUAGGGAUUGUGGUGAUUCCAUUUCUUCAAUGUCCGUCGGUUGGGAGCAUUCUGAACUCUUUAAUUUCGUUGAUGGAAGCUCUUGGAUGCACUGGAUAAAUUCACAACGCUCAACUCGUACUUCCUUGAGAUGGGCUAGGUGGGAAAGCGAAGGCAAUUUGCGACUUUGACAGGUGACAUACAAAUCUGUUAAGCCCGAAGGAAGCUCCGGCAGCGAUUGGAGAUUCUGGCAUCCUCUAAAUUCAAGGCAUCGUAGGGAAGAAAGAUUACGCAUGCUUUCUACCAUUAUCCUUUUCAAAUUUCUGCAAUAAUAAGCACGUAACUCUCGGAGCUUUCUCAGACUCCCAAUACCAUUGGGUAAUUCUUCUAUAUUACUCCAAGAAAUAUCUAGAAUCUCUAGAUUCUCCAAAGACCCUAUGCUAUUUGGUAAUGCAGAAAGGGAUGGAGUACGGGAUAGAUCGAGUUGCUGCAGUGAUUUUAAUUUACUUAUUUCUGCUGGAAGCUCCGUGAGGCUCUCACAAUGUUUCAGCUCCAAGCGAAGGAGGCCCUCCAUGUCUUCAAUGGAAGCGUCAAUUCGCUUCAGUCCAUAACACCCCCUGAGGAUGAGAACCUCUAACUUCUCAAAAGCUGAGAGGAAGUCAGUAUUUUCCAAGGACCAACAAUAUGAAAGGUCUAGAUAUUUAAGCUCCUUUGCCAUCUACGAAAAAAAAAAAAGGAAACAAUAAUGAAUGUCGAUGGGCGAGUGUAGAGUCAUUAUGAUUCAAAAGAAAGCAUAAAAGGAGAGGAAAAAAAAAGAGUUUAAUUCUUACCUUGAAAAAACUCCAUCCUCUCCAUUUCUCAUUUAUCUCGCUUCCUUGAAAUUCGAGUACAGCUAAUUCCUGCAUGUGAAAAUUGUCUACUUCAAAACUCGUGGGACAAUCUUGCCAUUGAAGCCAUUUUAACUCCUCCAUUGAGUCCUCAAAAUCUCCACUAAGAUGUGCCCCUUUCAUGAAAAGGAAUCUUAGACUCGUCAAUUUUUUGAAUUGUUCUGCUGUGUAAUUGUCGCCAUCUCGCUCGACCAUUUUGCCGAGGCCUUCUGAGUUGCCUUUACUUAGAUCAAUGGCCUCAAUCUUAUCUGUUCCCUAUAAGCAAGAAUCAACGUUUAUUAAUACUAAAUCCAACUAAAGUAAUCUAAUAUUAUUUGUUCAUAUUGCGAUUGACGUGCAUUAAUGUGUUCAAGAGACCAGCAAUGGGAAGAUAUGAUUUUUCUUUUUACGCCAAUAAACAAUAUUUAUAAAGGCUAACAAAGUGAAGGAUGUCAACUUCCAUUUUGAAAUUUGGCCGUAUACAUUUGGAUCUAAAAAAGAAUUAUGAUGUCAUGGUUCGUUCAAAGUAAAAAUUUUACAACUUGUAAUCUUCUUCUUCUUCUUUCCCUUACUGUAGCUUCAUUACCAUACUAGUUAAGACAAGCGUGCAAUGCAAGGAAUUUAAUCAAAUUGCAAUGUGCAAAAUCAAAAGUUGAUUUGAUCUAUUUUAAUAGAAAUAUUUUUUCUCUAUGUAAAUUUCACGUUAAUUUUUAUGUGUAUAUUACUCAACUGUGCUACUUAAUAAAUAAAAAAUAACACAUACUCUUAUUUUCCAUUGGAGUAAUAACUAAUUACAAGAAACCGAAUAUUGUGACAGUAGUUGCACUUAUUAUUUACUAGUAGUAACUUGAAAUAUUCUUAAUUAAUUAUUUUCUAAUCAUAAAUAACUAAGAAAAUAAUAUUAGUUAUGUUAAUAUUCUCUACAACUUAUUAUUAUAUCGUAAAUUUUAGUUUAGCUUUAGAUUACAAUUUGGUAUAUUCAUAAUCAUAAAAAAAACUUAUUAGCUAUAUUAAUAAUCUCUAAACUUUUGAUUUUAUCAUAAAUUUUAGUUUAAAUAUAAAUUACAAUUUGAUAUAAUCAUAAUCAUAAAUAACCGAAAUACUCAACUAUAAUAAAAAUAUUUAAAAAAUUAAUUGUGGAAAGUGCAAAGCAUUUUUAGAAAUGAGAAAAUUGAAGCUAUUUUUGGCUACAAGCCUACAUGGAAUAGCUAUUCCUUGGCCCCGACAGGAAUAACUACUCCUGAUUUUAAGAGUAUAGUAAUUUCUAGCCCGUUUUUUAAUCAAAUGAAGGAAUAAUUGCUUCAUCAAAAUAGAAUGGAAAUAGAAUAGUUAUUCCUAAGAACCAAAUUGUAGCAAGCUUUCACAAAUAAAAUGAUAAUAAUAAUUAUGCAUAAGAAGUCAAGAAGUAAUACAGAAAGUUCAUGGACUUCCACAUGUCAUUUUCUUGGAACCAGAAAUUUUUGCUAUUGUACUUCACAAUGUUGUACAAGAUUUCGUGGAUACUCAUAUGUGAACAACGUAAUAAUUUGGGAAGGAUUUAGAUCUCAACACUCAAAAGGAAUCCAUGAAAAAGAAAGAAAUCUUCAACAUAAGUAAUCUACUCAGAUUAGUCAUUGCUCCCAAAGAAAUACUCAAGUGACUAUUAUUAAUUGACUAUAAAAUUAACAGUUGGUUGUAGGUCACAAAAAAACAAAUAACAGAUAAUUAAAAAUUAUUUGUAGAUUCAUUCCUUUAAGAAUAUGUGGCUAACAUGUUAUUAUUAUUAUGGUACCCCAAAGACUAUUAUGCUAACAGGACUCCAACUCCCCCCCCCCCCCCAUAUACUUCCCUCUCAAAAUAUUAGAAUGCCCAAUCCAUCUUCAAGACUUCUUUGUGUGGUGUGUAACUCUUUUCAACUUAAAAAAAUCGAUAGCUAGGGUGUGGCCAAAUCCCAAAAAUAAGCCAACCUUUUGUACUCAGACAAAAGUCGCAAAACCUUUCAAACAUCUAUUAAGCCUAACCUUCAGCAUCUACGACAAAGAUAACAUAACUUGUCAAACGCAAUAAAAAUAGCCCAACUAUUUAGCCGUAGAACAAAAUUGACACCUAGUAAAAAUUUCAUCUAUUAUAAUUGUUAAAUCGCCACGGAUGACCUACAUUGUUCAUUGUGCUAACAUACACAGUGACUGAUAUCAACCCACACCAAAAAGGAUGUUGUGUUUUACUUUAUAAUCAUGUUAACAAUUUGUUACAAAAUUCCUGGCUUUUUGUAAAGAAAAAAAAGUUUUAGUCAUGAUUAACAUGGCUCAUUGUGCAUAUCCGCACAAUGAGCUAUGUAGAAUGACUCGAGAUGAUUUAAAGUGAAAAUAGGCAGAAUUGAUGGUGGGCGUCAUUUUUGUCCCAUGAGUAAAAGGAUGAGUUUGAAAGGUAAUGUCAUCUUCAUUCCACAUUCAAAAUGCUGGGUCCUUUUAGGAUUUUUUUCGACUUGUGUAAUAUUUAUCCCAGUUGCAAAAAGUCGUACUUCUUUUAUUUGGCUGUGCACUCAUUAAUAUCCAACGAGUGAGUUAUGAUUGUGUUUCAAUUAUGCUUUAAAUGUCUUUUAUUUUUUGGUUUAUUUAGUAAGUCGUGCUAGUGCUUUGUCCUUGCUUCGCACUUGGCAAGCAUUUUUUUCAUGAACACUUCAACAAAGGAGAGUAUUGGGUGACCUCUCACGUCGCUUUGCCAUGUUAUAGGACGUCUUGUACAAGCAAUCUUUCUACAAUGCACUUCAGGUGCAACACUUUAGAAGAAGGAUGUGGAGGCAAUUCUUCAUUUCUUUGAUAGAUCUCAAGUGGUAUUUCGAUCCAGCCUACGCUGGAGGGUCCUUCUAAAGGUUCGGCCUAAUUGUAAAAGGAAGAGGCUGAGAGUCGUGAGUGGCUAACCCAGCCUCCUUCGUCCCUUGGGACCAACAAGGGGUAGCAGUACUUUUUCAAAAUAAAGAAGGAUAUUUGGCAUUUGUUUUUCAAUUGGAAGUGGCGCAUAUUGUGGUUCUUUCAGCUGCUUGUAUUUUAGAUAACAUAUAUGAAAAUAACUUCGGAUAUUUUCAUUCAAUGUUGGAAUAAACUGAAAAGAAGAACUUAUAUCAUUUUUAGCAGAACCACUCUGAUUUCAACUUACGAUAGUGCCAUGGAUGAAGAACAAAAUGGAAUCAUGGAAGAAUACUGACAUAAUUAUAUCAGACUGUACCCUUUUAGUUGUAAAAUUUAGUUAUACCAUUAUAUUUGUAUAUAAAAUAUACAACAUAUUCAUUUUUAUUUUGCUUAGUUUAGUUUGUUUUAUCAUGUAGUACGAAAGACAUAAUAAAUGGACACCGGCUUCGAACUUGUUAAUCUAUGAAUUAGCUCUUGUGAUUAUACAUACGGUGAGACUGUAGAUAAGUGCGAGUCUUUUGAUCAACAACUAAAGUCAAACCAAAUGAUGGAUUAAAAAGAGUAGAGUCGCAAUCGUGAUUAAUUGACAACUGCAAAUACAAUCUCAUGCUUAAUUAUAGAGAAUAGAAUUUUAGAGUAUUUAUCUCCUUGACCUUUAAUGUAGAAAAUAAGUAUCCCUUCCAUUCUCUAUUAUGGAAUAGCGACAAAAAUUUCUUGAGAAAUGUGGGCAUCGUUAGUCCUAUUAUAUUAAUUCUAACAUAUGAUUUAUAUAUCCCGAGUAGCUACGGUUUACAGUAGUAUAGUCAAGUUAUUUAUUGCAUGCGUCAAGGACGCAACUAAAUCAAUAUAGAAAUUCAAGAUUUUUCUCAAUAUAGAAUACCCCUAUCAAUAUCUAAAAAAUUUGAAAGUACCUCAUUCUUGGAGGUAACUUAGUAAUAUACACUUGCUUAAGAAAUAUCUUAGAUAAGCUGCGAUACUUACUAAGAGAGAAGCAACCUCCUACUUUCUAAUCAUGUCAAUGAAACAAUACAAGGAUACUAAUAUUAGAAGGUUCUGUGUUCACUAGAGCAAGCAUUGAGUUGACGACCAACCCUACUCUACCAAGAGAACAUGGACUAAGGGAACAAAAGAGGAGAAACGGUUACCUUAUUUCUCUUCUACCAAGAGAACAUGGACUAAGGGAACAAAAGAGGAGAAACGGUUACCUUAUUUCUCUUUAGCACUUUCAAGGCUUCCUUGGAGUCCCAUAACCUACUACGGUGCCAAGGCUGCUGCUCGUUUUCCUCACGAACAAUUGCCCUACCAAGAUCUCUUAAUUGGUCAUGCAUUCGGAACUCAAGAUCAUCUUCAAUUUUUAUUAAUGACAUAAAUUUCAACACUUCAAUAUUCUCCCCUGGAAAAAAGUCACAAGCAUCCCACAUGUAGAAUGCAAUUCUCCUGUUAGUGCCAAUGAGAAAGCAAGCGAUAUCCAAAAAUAUUUGUUUUUGUCCAUAGUCUAAUGCAUCGUAACUUAUCCUUAACUUUUCUUCCACUUUUUUAAGAGGGACCUUUUGUAACUUUUUUAUCAUAUCUCUCCAUUCUUUUGAUUCUCUUCCACAAAAUAAUGAACCUAAAACCUCAAGGGAUAAGGGAAGUCCUCCAGCAGUGGAUACAACUUCACGAGUGAGGCCCUCAAAUUCACUUGGAGGAAAGUCCUUUCGAAACGCAUGUUUGCUAAACAGAAUCAAAGAUUGAUCAGGAUCCAAUUCGGUAAGGGCAUAAUUGUGGUCCACCCCAGCUAAUUCAAGAAUUCUCUUGUUUCUCGCAGUAAUAAUGAUCCUACUUCCCAAAGAAAACCAAUCAUGAUUACUGGCCAAACACUUCACUUGAUCGACAUUAUCCACAUCAUCAAGAAGAAGAAGGACCUUUUUCUCUUUAAACCUAGAGGAGAUGAAAUUAAUCCCUUCAUCCUUAUUACGCACUUCAUAUUUUUGUUUCGAUAUAUCUAAGAUUAACUGAUUCUGUAAGUAAUGAGCACCAUGCUUCCAUGAUUCCCUUAUAUCAGCAAUGAAGCUACAAUGCUCAAAUUGAUUGGAUAGCUUGUUGUAAAUGGUUUUAGCAAGGGUAGUUUUACCAAUGCCUCCCAUUCCAUGGAUGCCAACAAAUGGGAGGGCAUGAGAUUUAUCAUCCAGAAGUUCCAUAACAUUCUUCACAUGACUAUCAAUUCCAACCAUAUUCUCAGAAAUAAUCAGCUCAUACUUUUUCUUCAGUUCAUUCAACACAUUUCGGACAAUCGAUUUCACCAACUGUGCUUCAGACCUGUCAAAUGUGACGAGUUCAAAUAUGUGGCAACAAUAAUUUUAUAUUGUUUAUCCAUUGAGAAUGAAGUAAUAAACGAAUCCGAGAUAGAUUGAAAAAAUUUAAGAAUCGGUUUUGUCACACCUCCAUAUAUUAUCUAUAUGCUAAGAAUAAAGUUUGAGAAAUGCUUGUGGUUGUUUCACAUGGCGUGCCCCCUUCCACUAUUACUCUGACAUAAUUUAUUAAAUUAGAAGAAACUUGAGGGCAUCACUUAUGAACCUUGAAUAUCGUAUAUAUUAUGAAAUUGAACCAAAUUUCAGACUUGUCGAUGGUGAAAGAUAUUAGGGAUGACGUGGACAUAACUUUGAAAACUUUCUGGAGCCUUUGAAUAAUCAAAAAUCCAAUAAGCCAACCUAGUAUGAGAGUUAGCUAUCAAUUAAUAAACAAGUCAUAACUUUUGGUGCAAGACAAUUUCAACUCUUGUAAUACCAAUUUAAAAAGCCUUUCAAAUUGUGAUAUUGCGAACAACUUGAAUGCAAUCGGGGGGAUUUCUCCUUGUUUGCGCAAUUCUAUACGAUUGCAAGUUUCAACUUGUUUUAUCAUUAUAGAUUGGUGUUCUUAUCAGUUUUCAUUGCCUCUAGGGAUGAUAAGUUCUUGUACUUUGUUUUCCCUUUGAGUAACUAUGUCCUUUGAUUUUAAUUGAUCUAAGUGGAAGAAUAAUUUUUUCCCAAAAUAAGAACAUUGAUUCAAUAUAUUUAGGUGUAUGAGAUAGAAAUUACUUGCUGAAGAUAGGAAAUGCAUUGAAAAUUAUUCAAACAAAUAUAUAAUACAAAUAAUCCCUUUGUCCUUCUUUUUUUUUAUAUUUUCUAUCAUCAUACAUAACUAAUGAAACAUUUCUUUUGUAAAAUAAUUUUAACAGCAACUAGUCAACACUAUUAAUGAUUUAACAAAUGUAACUUGGGAAGAUAAAGAAUUAUGCCUUUGACAAUCCCUAUGCACGGUAUAUGAUGUUACGAGCUCCAAAUAAAAAUCACCAAUAAGUUGUACUAUUAAUCUCAAAUAAAUAUGUAAUUAGAAAGGGUUGUGACAAUGACUAGUGUGACAUACACUAUAAACAUGAAAAGAAAAAGUGGCACAAUGUUACAAAAUCUUUGGAUAUAAGAGUAAAAACUCAAUUAAAAAAUCUUAUCAUUCAAGUGAAUGGGAUCGUACCAAUAAAAUCUAUAAGUAGAUUUGUCAAUAUCACUAAAGCAAAACACUAAAAAAAAAAAAAAAAAAACAAAGAAUAAUUUAUCAAACUCACGCUUCGUAGGAUCUUACUGCCAACAUGAUCUUUCUGUUUAUAUAUAUAGAACGAAAAUGAAGCGGGUGAGAAUCAGAACAACCAGUAAACACUCGCACAUAUUAAAAGAAAGUAGAGAAUGCCUUGGCGAGAAAUUUUACCCAUCGGAUUCGUAUCCUUUCAAGUUGCUGACUUCAAGGAGUGCUUGCUUCCAUUUCUCCAAAAUCGCUGGGUCAAAAGAAGGCCUCUCAAGCAAACGCCUCUCACGCUCAUGAAAUGCGUCCCCAAAAUUCCCCUUUUGAUAUCGCACGUCAGGUGGUUUCACUUUGUAGAAUAUAGGCAACACUAUUUGCUUGUUAUUAUUUUUGCACUCCAUUAUUUGAACCAGUUCAUCUAGGCACCAACUGCUUGUACCAUAAUUCACAGAGAGAAUGGGGAUUGAGAUUUUACUGUUCCUAAUGGCUGCCAAAAGCUCUAGUUUGAUGUUCUCGCCUUGGCGGAGCUCAUCAUCAUCUCUGAAAGUAUCAAUUCCAGCAGUGAAGAGCCCAUGGUAGAGGUGAUCGGUGAAGCCAUGUCGAGUAUCUAGGCCUCUGAAGCUCAAGAACACCUCGUAGCAGUUUCCAGUCGAUGCAGCAUUAUUGUUACUUUCUGUUGGAGACGAACCAAAUCCAACGAAAUUAGUUUCUGUCCGCACAGUCAUCGAACCAGAUGCACCAGUAUCAACAUCCUCUGCAUUUCCACUCGCAUUAGUUUUCCUCUUCUUGAUGCGACGAUGCAUUUCGGCCUCUGACUCUGCCAUUAAGUUCAGCUUUCAAGCCCUAACAGAGAAAAAAACCAGAAUGCCCCUCAGAAAACAGGAAAUGCCUUCUUGCCUCUUCUAUUGUGGUCUGUUAAAAUUUUAAUACACAUGAAGCGGUGGAUUUGUUCGGAAGAUGAAAAGCGUAGAGAGACUUAUGACGAGGCUGUGACAGGGAUUUGCAGGAGAAGAUGAAAGAUGGGGGGGAGAGAGAGAGAGAGAGAUUCGUCCUGUCCGAUAUUUUCCAAACAGAGCGCUCAGAAUAUAUAAAAACAUCAAAGCGUCGGGACGGUGAAGAGUCCCAGCUUAGUCCAUUGCUUACACCGUCAAACCGUCCUUUUCUUUUUUUUCAUUUGUUUUCCAUAAGAGAAGGUAUUUUUGUUAAUUAUUUUUCAGUUCUUGAUUCCACUUAGGAAUUUUUUUGGUCAUAAUCCCAUAUGGCAUUUACCCUUCUUACUUUAAGCCUUUUAAAUAUGAUACCAUCAAACUGAUAAACUUCAUUUUAAUACUGAAAUAUCGUAUUACAACAAUCACUUAUUCUAAAAAAAUUAUGUUAUUUACAUGUGUGGAUGAUCAUAUAUAUAUAGUACCCAAGCACAAUGAGAAUAAUGUCUUUUUGGUUCUCGUUCUACCGUAAUUCCCUUCUUUUCUUCUGUCAAAUCUUAAUUUCUCCUUCAAAUCUCAUAAAUAAAUCCAAAUGCCUUCUUGCUUUUGCUUUUCUUUAUCAUACAUAUAUUUUUUUUUAUUGAUUUGAUUUAUCUAUUCCAACCAGUUGGCACGCACCAAUAAAAUUCAAGCGUUCCUUUCGUGUGGUGGAAGUUUCAAUGCAGUGGAGAAUCCAAGGCAAUCCUACCUGGGAAGAAGGUAACAUGUGAGCGAGUUUCGAUGCACAAGAACGAAAAAAAUAAAACCAAAAAUAAAAGAGAAUUGCUAUUAUGAUACCGUAAAUUAGAAUGGUCGAUUCCAAGUCUAAUCCUAUCCACAAAAGAACUAAUUACUAAUUUUUGGAACCAGGGCCGAAGCCUAUCUGAUCUAAUAUAACGGGUCACUAAAAACGAAACCUCACGGCUAGCCUCUGGGAAGAAGAGAAAAUAGAUGAGGCCUACUGCCUAAAUCUUAUUUCUUUUGGUGAAAAAACAAUACGUUUGGCAUGAAUGCAGGCCCUGCAAUCAGAACAUCUUUUCCUUCGUCCUAGAACUUUAACGAACUUCGAAAGACGUGUGUAGGCAUUUUUAUGGCAUUGGAUAACAGUUUUGCAUCAUCUCAUUCAUUUAGAUCAUAAUAUUAGUUAAGGAUAUAGUGAAUUUUUUGAGAGAACACGAGAAAUUCUCAAGUUUUCAGUUUUAUAUUUGUAUAAAUAGAUAAUAUUUAGAACUUAAAUAAAGCUUUUUUAACCAUAGAAACUUAAAUAAUUCUAACUCCACAAAGUUUUUUUGGUCAAAAAAUUCCACAAAGUUUAUAGAGCUAUAUCCUUACCUACAUAGUAUCAAAAGUAGUCUCAUCUUUCAGAUUAUUAUCAUUUUUAGAAUAAAGUACUUAAUUUCAAUAUGUUGAAUUUAUAUAUAUAUAUAUAUAUAUAUAUAUAUAUAUAUAUAUAUAUAUUCUGAAAUCAAUAAAUUUGAAUUUACUUUCUUUAAUAUUAUGAAAUGGUCAUACUCUUGCAUGCUAUAAGAUGAUUUUAUUACUGUGUUUGGACAAAAUGAUAAUCUAGAAGGGUACAAGCUCCUAUGUACACGCUUAUAUGGUGAUUAUAUGCACACACGUUCUAAGAAAGUAAAAUUUUGAUCAUCAUAUUCUUGUGAAUUAGAUUUUAAUCCUAAUAAAUUAUUUUAGCGACAAAACUUAUCAAAAACAUAUUCAUUAGAUUGAUUAAAUGCUUUCAACCCUUGCAGAAAUUAAAUUUAUUUCCCUAGAUAAUCUAAAUGAAUCACAUAUCUGUGUGCCCUUUUUUGCUAGUGAAUUGGAUUAGUGAACUAAUCUACGUGGAUUGAUUCCCAAUUUUCUGAUCAAACACGAUUUUGUUUUAGAUAUAAUUUUCCAUGUCAUUUUCUUUAACAUGGAUUUUUCAAUGCCACGUCAAACAAGUAACAAUAUUUUUUAGUGUAGGAUUAAUGAGGUAAAUUUGAGAUUGGUUAUUGAUUUUUUUCAUAUAAAAAAAUGUCCGAGCAUAUUUUGGAUUGGACAUUAAAUUUUGAAUUUUUCAAAGAAAAGAAUUGGGAGUAGAUUUACAACUGAAUCCAAAGCUAAAGAUUUUUUUUAGAUAAAAAGUUUUCGGGUAGAAUUAAAAUUGGAUUUAGGAGAGCAAGCCCAAAUAAAAAAGGGAAGAGAAAAUGGAGGAGUUUCACUUGUUUUAAUGAUCCAGGGGCAGAUAUGAGAUUAGAUAGCAUCUAUUUUUCUAUCUAUCCCUUUGCCCGAUGGCUGGGUCCUCUACCAGUCCUUGCUUAACUUGAGGGUACCAGUCUUCUCUACCAGAUUUUUAUCAGUUUCUUAUUCCGAAUGAGUUGCUCUUCUGUCUACUCAGGUGCGUGCGUUUGGUAACGUUUUUGUUACCGGAAACAAUUUCUGUUCAAAAACAAUUUUUUCUAUUUUUGUUCCCGGGAACCGUUUUUGCGCGAAAAAAAACACAAAAAGACACGUUUUGUAACUAUACAGAAUUUCUAUUCCCAGAACAAAAAGAAAAAGAAAAACAUAAACUCGUUUGGUACAAGAAUAAAAAUCUCUAUUCAAAAACUUAUUCCCAAUUUUUUCAUUUAAUUUAUAAAAUGCCAAUUAUAGUUGAUUAUAUAAAGUUCUUGAAAGAGGAAGGUGGAAUUGGAAUCAUAAACUUGUGUUUUUUAAAUUUAAAAAAAAAAUGCCGUCAUUGGCUAAUUGGAAUCAUAAACUCGAAUGAGGCCUAAUAUGCUAGAUAACUAUCGCCAUUGAUAAUUCCUGCAGUGUUUUGAACUAAAGCCAAUCGGCAGAGAUUAGGCUAAAUGCACCUGGAGCCUUAACAAGGAAAAACUGUAUAGAAAUAUUCUCAUUAUUCUCUUUUCUAUACUUCAAAUAAGUCCUCAUUGUCAUUAUUCAAUCGAAAGAAAUCACAUUGUAACCGACUAACGGAUAAUAACACGAUAGUAAAACCUCACUCAAUGCAGUACCAGAGUAAUCUAUAACUCGGAUGAACCACAACACCCCGCAAGCUUUACCCCUCUCAUAACCAUCUGCUUCUCCCCUCCCACAUUUGUCAUGCAUUUUCAGCGCAUCCAUCAUUUCGAAACCACCGACUCCUCGAGCGAGCGAAACAGACAGAAAUUAAAAAAGGUUGUAAAAAGAGGCCACUCCACGCAUAUACAUGCUCAUUUCCACAUAAGCCACCAACACAGUUCCAAAAAUUAAACUUUGCAUGUCUGAUUGCGGGUGAAAGUUUUCACGAUCAUACCUGCUUUGAGUCGAAAAAUGCUACUUUAUCUCCUGGUUUUUCGACUCCAAAAUCCGAACACAACCACCCAACAAAAAGAAGCAAAACACCAAAAAAAAAAAAAAAACCCAACUUUUAUUCAUCACAUAAUAAAUGUCAAAGCAAAUUUAAAACAAUCAAAACAUGGAGAGCUUAUCAUGAAAUUGCUAGAACCCAGAGAACUGUGAACAAAAAUACGUUGCUUCUAAAUCUUUCAAUUCAAAGAACCUCGUACAAGAGAAUAGAAAGGCAUGAAAAUUCAAGAAUGGAUUCUGGAAAACGUAUAUUCGAGAAAAAGCCCAGCCAAAACUCUGCUGGGGACAGACAGGUAAGGGGAGAAUUUCGAGCGAGUUCGAGAAUGUUCGAGGAUUUGACGGCACUACUUGAGAACCCACCGCUUUCUGACACUGGUAAUCUUCUCAAGCAACCGUUUCUACCACACUUGUGAAACACACGAACCAUCGACCCCAAAAUCUCAUUUUUCCUUUUACCCACUACUUCGAUUCCGCAAAGGGGGAGAAACCCACGAGGAAAGAAGAAUUGCAGGGAACCCCAAAUUGCAGAUUUGUUGUUAAGAAGAACGGGAAGCGAGAGCACGAGCGGUCCGUACGUCGAUGGCGAAAGUGAGAGCACCUCCAAAAACGACGCGAGACGAGCUACAACAGGAAGAAAUCGAACGAACAGCAAAACGCAAACGAUCUACGACGAACCCUCUCGCUCAAUCGAGUGACAAAUCAAACUCUAAUAAAAUAAGGCAAAGGGGAGCAAUGAAAAACAAAGCGAGAAUCGCCAAAGAGAGAAAGCAAGAAUUGCCGAGGAGAGAGACGCCUACCGUUUCUCAAGACUAGUUGCGGCAACAAAGGAGGAGGAAAGGUGUCGCGACUCUGUCUUCUCCGGCGAACGAUGCGAAGAGGAGGAGGAGGAGAAACGGACUUCACAAGAGAGAAGGGAGAGAGACAAAAAGACGUCUGCCAAGAAGUUUUAAAAAGGAUGAGAAUUAAUUCGGUUUUUUAUUUUUGUUCUCGAAACUUUUUUAAUUUCUUAUCUUUAUUUCAAAUCUGUUUUUGAAGAUAUAUUUAUUUUCGGAAUAAAAAACUUACCAAAUAUAUUUCUGUUUCAUUUCUACUACGAGAACAAACAGAAAUAAGUGUUCUGAAAACGUUACCAAACAUAUCAUUAAUUAUUAAGUUAUUAAUUAUUUAUUUUAAAUGUCAACUUAUUGAUUUUAUUAAGUCAAAUUUAUUAAUCACACAAUUUCUUAAUCAAACCCAAGGCCAAAUUAAUAAAUCAAAAUUUACAAUUUUUUUGUACAAAUGUUUUAAUUGGUUUAGUUUAGGGAUUGCUUUAAUAUUUUGCCCUUCUUCUUGACUUGGUCAAAAAGUGGGCUUUAAAAAAAGAAAAAGAAAAAGAAGAGAUAUAAAAGGAAAAGAAAGAGCACGCACCAACUACAGAAACGAAAAGAAAGGAAAAGAGACAAGGGGCUUCCUCACGCAACCCCCAACAAAUUCUCUCUCUUUCUCUCUCUGUCUUCUCAUUUUUUUAAUUUCACCUCCUCCACGAGAAUUUGCCUCCUCUGUCCUCCUUUUUCUUUCUUUACUUUUGCCGACCUCUUCUCAGUUUUUUUUUAUUAAAGUUCUGUCUUAUGCCGACCAUAACCCGCUCUCUGUAUUUCCCUCUCUCUUUUUCUUUUUUUUUUUGGGUAAAAGUAUCUCUUUCUUGGCCAUGGAGAAAAAUCUCCACCCCACUUGCCCGAGAAUCCUCUGCUUUUUUAUUUCUCUGUAUUUCCCUCUCUCUUUUUCUUUUUUUUGGUAAAAGUAUCUCUUUCUUGGCUGUGGAGAAAAAUCCCCGCCCCGCUUGCCCGAGAAUCCUCUGCUUUUUUAUUUCUCUGUAUUUCCCUCUCUCUUUUUCUUUUUUUUGGUAAAAGUAUCUCUUUCUUGGCUGUGGAGAAAAAUCCCCGCCCCACUUGCUCGAGAAUCCUCUGCUUUUUUAUUUCUCUAUAUUUCCCUCUCUUUUUCUUUUUCUUUUUUUGGUAAAAGUAUCUCUUUCUUGGCCGUGGAGAAAAAUCCCCGCCCCACUUGCCCAAGAAUCCUCUGCUUUUUUAUUUCCCCAGAUUUUCUUAUCUUCUUUGGCCGUGAAUUUCAGUCCCUGUCUGGAUGCCCAGAUUGCUCCAUUAUCUUCUUUGGCCGUGAAUUUGAAACUAAAUAUAAAGUUUGAAAUUUUUUUAGACAGAAUAAUUUAGGAGCCGUGUUGGAGAUACCAUUGCCUCAUAGAUUUGAUGUGAUUUCCGCUAAUUGAUAUCAUAUAACUGAUGUGAUACUCCUUGAUUCGAUACUAUAUAUAUAUAUAUAUAUAUAUAUAUAUAUAUAUAUUGGUCGGUCAUACUCUAAUCCUACUCUAACACUCACUCUCAAACUUUUGUCCCUACCUCCUUGCAGGGUGUAGGAUUCGAACCCCCAACCUCCCCCUCUUCCAAGUUAAUACUAUAUAUUAGGGAAUCUUUUCUUCAAUUUUCUGUACAUUUAUUCCCUGAAUUAUUUACACUCUAUGUAUUGUAAAUAGGCUUGUAUACUUGUAUAUUGGACAUGAGAAAGUAAUAUACAAUUUCUAUUAUUCUAUUCCUUCAUUUAGCUUUUCAUCAACUCAAUUCCUUUCAGGCCGAUUUAACAUUGAGUCUAAAAUUAAGGAUUUUCUGAGAUAAAAAAAAAAGUUCAGGAUAAAAUUAAGAUGGAACCUAAAAUUUGAGGGUUUUUAAGAGAUACAAAUGGAAAAGGGAGAGCACGGGAGAGAAACGAAAAGAAAGAAAAAAAAAGAAAUGAAAAGAGAGAGUGGGUUUUGUGUGUAUAUCUCUCCUAGAUUUAAUUCCACUCGCAGUGUUUGGUAAGGAUUAAGGCCCUUUGAUUGUCUAAUUGGGGCGAUUUUCAGAAUUAGAGUACAAAUUCAAAAUUAUAUGAAAUUUAUAGUGCAAAAUUCGAUUUUGAAGUUGUUAAGCUGUGAAAAUCAAGACGUUGUGAAGCUAGGAUGUUAAAUGGGAGUUGAUUUGAAGUAACAUUUUAAUAGACAAGAUUUCAUAAAAUUUCGAUACCCAUAUAUAGCGGUGGAUUUGUUGGAAAGAUGAAAAGUGGAGAGAGAAUUGAGACAAUUCCUCGUUGAACUUAGUCCACUGUUUGCACCGUGUUGAACUUUCCUUUUCCUUUUGAUAAGUUAUUUUCCAUCGGAAAUGGUAUUUUUAUUGAAUAUAUUUAAACUCUUGAUCCCACUUAGAAAUUUAAUCCUCACUUUAACCAUGUUAAAUAUCAUUUUGUUAAACCGAUAAACUUCAUUUCAAUACUUAUAUGUUUAACAAAUUAACACAUGUCGAGGAUCAUAAAAAAUUAUGGAAUAAGUGUUGAAGAAAUCCUAAAACUUGUCAUCAAAAUACAAUUGAGUCAUAAAACUUACAAAAAGUGCAAUUGAGUCCUAAAAUUUGUUAAAUUGAGUCCUAAAAUUAACACCACUAGCCCUUUUAAUGGAAAAUGCCAACAUGGCGCUGAUGUGGCCUUUUAAAUGAUUUUUCUUUUUUCAAAUGGCUUUUUAAUUAUUUUUAUUCAAUUUUUUUAAAAUAGAUUUUAAAACUAAAAAGAAAUCUUUAAAAAAAAUAAAAAGAAAAGAAAUUUAUUUUUUAAAAUUAUUAAAAAAAAGAUAAAAAAGAAGAUAAAGCAGCUCCUCCCCUCCUGCUGCCACCGCUGCCGUCGCGAUCGCCGGAGGGUCAUCGACUUGGGCAUGGGCGGCCGGCCCUCAAUAAGCUCAGGCGAGGGUGCUUAGAUUUGGGCACGCCGGCCCUUCGCAAGGGUCGGUCUCCAUCACCUAGCCUAGGCAAGUUGUUGCUGACCCUCAUGGGGGGCCGGCGACCGUCGCCCACCCUGGGCGACGCCUCAUCGACCCUCACUCGGGACCGGCAAGCCUUGCUGGCGGGGCAAUGCCUCGUCGACCCUCGCUCGGGGCCAGCGAGCCUCGCUGAGAUCUAGUGAGCCUUGCCAGCCCUGAGUGAGGGCCAACGAGGGGUCAGUUAGGGCGGGCAACGGUCGCUGGCCCCCGCGAGGGCCGACGAUGACUCACCCAAGCCGAGUGACAACCACUGACCCCUUGCGAGGGCCGACAUGCCUAGAUAUGGGCACCCUCGCCCGAGCUUGGCGAGGGUCGCCGGCCCUCGCCUAAGGCUAGCAAGGGCUGGCCACCCGCACCCAAGGCCGACGACCGUCGCCAGCCCCUCCGACGACGGUCACCAACCCCUCCGGCGAGGCUGCCAUUUUUUUAUUUUUUCUUUUUUUUGAACUGUUUUCUUUUUAAAAUAAAUUUUCGUUUUUGUUUAAUUUUUAAAUCUAAUUCAAAUAAUAAAAAAAGCCACAUGGAAAGUAAAAAAAUUAAUUUUAAAUGCCAUGUCAGCAUUUUCCGUUAAAAAAGUCGAUGGCGUUAAUUUUAGGACUCAAUUGAAACAAUUUGACAAGUUUUAGGACUCAAUUGCACUUUUUGCAAGUUCUAGGACUCAAUUGCAAUUUCGUGACAAGUUUUAAAACUUCUGUAGCAUUUAUCCCAAAAAUUAUCAAUAUGUUAUAUAUAUUUAUUUUGUACCCAAGCACAAUGAGAAGAAUUUCCUUUUUUCUCUUGUUCUAUCUUAAUUUCUCCUUCACAUCUCACUAAGUCAAUCAAAAUGCCUUUUGGCUUUUGUUUUUACUAUAUAUUAAUUUGAUUUAUCUAAUUCAAUCAGUUAGCACGCAACAAUAAUUCAAACUUGCUAAGCUAGAUACAAAUUAAUAAUUCGUUGACUGGGACAACCGACCGCAUAUUUAUAGUCGUUGCCUUCAUGUGAGGGAAGUUUCAAUGGAUAGGAGAAUUCAAGGCUAUCCUACCCUGGAAGAAAAUGAUAUGUGAGCAAGUUUCCAUGCAAAAGUAAUUAAAAAAAAAACCAAAAAUAAAAGACAACUGCUUUCUUGGUAUUCGGGGAAGGUGGUAAUUGAUAAACACAUACAGAGCGUCAAGACAAUUGCUGCACCAUUGAAUUCNNNNNNNNNNNNNNNNNNNNNNNNNNNNNNNNNNNNNNNNNNNNNNNNNNNNNNNNNNNNNNNNNNNNNNNNNNNNNNNNNNNNNNNNNNNNNNNNNNNNNNNNNNNNNNNNNNNNNACUUUCAUUUCACUAUGGAAUGUUGCAUUAUCCAUUAUCACUUAAAUAUACUAUAUAUAGAUAUAUAUAGGACUUCGGAUGAUUAUAAACCCAAAGAAAGUAUAGAGGAAAACUCUAGUAACUUGAUAUCCUGACUCCUCCUUUAGGGGAAUUAGGCGGAAGAUUGCACUUUUAGGACUUUCCUUGCAUUUUUCCCCUUUACUGUUUCUUCGACAAACCAAAGGGCAGCCACUAGCAUUGAAUUAGACCCAUAGUAAAAAUACUCUAUAAUAAAGAAGAACCGACUUUCAACGACACAUAAUUUUUUAUACACAUCUACCUUAAUUUUGCUAGUAAAUGAAUAUGAUGGCAAAUAUAGUGGGAAGAUUUUCUAAACACAAUUUUAUCGAAUUCAACACAAUAUUAUUACCAAAAGGCAAUGCCAUGACUCUACGUUUUUAACGUUUAUCAUAUUAGUAAUUCAUUAUAUGCAUGCUAUUUAGUUCCGUAAAUGUUGCUUUAAGUUUGUAUUUGCAAUGUACAUUUUUUCACACUCGUUUUUACAACAUCAUGUUGCGCAAAAGUCUGACAAAUAUCAUGUCCCUUCAAGUAAUUUUCUUAUGAAGUCUAGACUAAGGCUUAUGCAAUAUCCUUAGCCUGGAUUAGGGGUAAGCACGGUUCCCGGGUAACCGGGAACCGGGAAUCGAAUCGGAGGAGGUUCCGGUUCGGUUCCCAGUUCUAAAGAGACCGGUUCCGAUUCCCGGUUCCCUUUUUCUGGGAACCGGAACCGGUGUUCGUGGUUAUACAGAAGNNNNNNNNNNNNNNNNNNNNNNNNNNNNNNNNNNNNNNNNNNNNNNNNNNNNNNNNNNNNNNNNNNNNNNNNNNNNNNNNNNNNNNNNNNNNNNNNNNNNAGCACCUCUAAGAUGAAGUUCUUGAAAUUUGACACCAAUGGCUUUGAGAAGAUGUUAUUCAGCGCCUUUGCAUGUCAAAGGAGACAAAGAUUGUGCUUACAUCAUUCUACCGCCCCAAUCUACGUUUUUCUGAGUUUGUUGUUUUCUUUUGUUCUAAGGAUUGGAUUAGGUUUUUUUGUGUUCAUAGGGAUAUUUAAGUGCUUGAAAACAGAAAUAUGCACCAGCAUGAUUUUUGGUAGAUUUACUCCUAAUAUGAACCUGUUGUUAACAGGUUAAGCAUAGCAGAGAACUUCUUCAUGGACUUACAAAAAGGAUUUCCAUGUUUUGAUAAAAACAUAUGGUUUGAGAAGAAAGAUCGGUGACAGCCAGCAUAUCCGAUAAUUCAAAUUUAAAAAUGAAGAAAAAAAAAGAACCUGUUGGAACCUGGAACCGACCCUGGAACCUGUGACCAGGUAGGUUCCAGGUUCUUGGUUCUGACGGGUAGGUUCCAGGUUCCAAAUUUUUUGGAACCUGUACCCGAUGGUAGGUUCCAAGUUCCAGACGGAACCGAACUGGAACCUGGAACCGCUCACCCCUAGCCUGGAUUAUACUCGCUGGAAAGGGGAAGAUCUUCAUAGGCUCUCAAUCUUCCUAGAAUAGAGCAAAAACCCAAUAGUCUGGAGAGGAGCAAAAAGUUUGCAAGGCAGGCCAACCUCAGGCCAAACAACAAAAAGCUUCAGAUAAGUAUUUAGUAUCGAAGUGGGAGGCGUCAUCUCUGAAGUGACCAACAUAAGUGAAAUCUAGCCUAGGAAAUGGCAUAAACAUCUAGAACUUUUACAAGCAUAACAUCGCCUAGGAUAUUUGUUUACUUAACCAACCCAUUACUUUCCAGGCAGUACUAAUUUGCUGUCAGUCUAACAUCAAAUCCAUUUAUUAAGAAAAACUACUAUAUGAAAAGCAAGAACAAGGAAAGGAUUCAUUUACUGAAUAUGAUACACCAUAUAGCUAAGGCUAUGCAAACAUUGCUUUGAAGAAUUUGAGAGCUCUACAAAUGAAUCUUGAAUCUUGAUAGUUAAACCAGCAUCUUCGGGUACUAGUCCAGACAUUCGAGGAACUGUUGGAGCUGGAGGGAAGAAUUGAGUAGUGUGAUCUUCAAAUGCCAAAGAGUUACCAAAAGUGAUCUAUAAAACAAAUGACUAAUUACUUUCCAGUUGGAAAAUAAAAAGAUGAAAAAAUAUGAGAUCAAAGCUAAGGAGCCAAACAAAUCAAUAAGUUACAGAUGACACCAAACAUACGCUUCCAAACGAUCUUCUAUAAACCCAAACUAAAGCUGUGGACUGUAAAAUAAGAUUCUAAGUUUCAAAAAGAAGUAUUUAAGAACACCACACUAAAAUAACUACUUAACUACAAACGAAGCAUUAUGAAAGGUGUGAGCCAUAAGGUAUCUGCUAUUGGUAAUAAAGAUCAUGAAAUCUUACCAACUUUUAAGUUCAAAGAUGCCAUACUCUAUUCACUUGGGCAUCCUCCUCCUAGUUGAGACACACCCCGGCUGCCAUACUUCAAGCUUCUCAGCAGUUUUCCAUUCUGCUUAAUAUUUACACCCUCUUAGAAUGAUUAUAACACAGUGCGCAUAACUGCUGCAAGCACUAGCAUAUCAAAAGCAGCAACUUGCAUAUUUAUAGUUCCAUAAAGAUAGCUACUUUGGUAAGUAACAUUCAUGAUGUACAAACAAAUCCUCUUCUAAGCAAUUCUUAUGUACCCAAAGGUGCUAUAGUGGAUUUGAAUCAGAUUUCGGAUCCUUCUAUAUUGAUCGACUGCAAUGUAUGAAGUGGAUGAUUAGUAAUAAACUGGUAGAAAUCUAAAAGAAACAGAAUUGCAGCAACCUCAGCCAUGUACUCAAGCCAUUCUAAUCAUGACCAAGCAGCUAUAGCUUGAUAAAAACAUAAUCAGUUAUUUACAAACUUUUCCACCCACAAGCAUAAUUGAGGCACACACAAAUCCUAUCAUUUAAUAGUCACCUAAAUUAUUACCUUCCUAUUUGACUGAACUGAACAAAUUUACUAACAAUUGAAAGAAGCUACUAAUUUUGAUGAAAAUGAGCAUCCCACGUAUGAGUGCUUCAGUAUGACACCAUCCACUUAGACCAUAGAUUCUCACCAUGAGCUGUACCCCAGUAAACACUAUGCUGUAAUUUGUCAUUGACAAUUGAAAUAGUUUCAACCAUUGAUGACAACAUUAGGAUGAAGUAAAAAAAUUGUCCUACAUGAGAAUGCAAUUGAGCAAUCAAUAAGAUUCAACUCCUAAUGUAUAUAAAUCUAUUAAAUAAGCAUAUUAAUUCUGUAUGAUAUGCGAUUAAAGUAACUCACUGCUGAUUUCACUGAUUAGAUAUGAGUCAAUCAAUUUCCUUGAUUCAUAAUUUAACUCAUGAAUCAAACAAUGUAAUGUCAAAAACAUUUCAUGGCUUUGAUGAAGGACUGAGUCCCACAAUAAAGAAUAAAUAUUUAAGCAUCACACACAAAAAUGCCUAAGCAUCACACCAGGGUUUCUUAAUCAUCACACCAAAGAUAAAUUGCAUCACACAAUUUGCAAAGCAAACACUUGCCAAGUUGAAUAAAAUGCAAACUCUAUUGAAAUAGGAAACCUCUAAACAAGAAACAUUAUUGGAGUAUAUGUAAGAUCCUACUACUCAAGCUUCAAAAGAGAAAGAAAAGGAAACUUCGUAAAAUCCUAAUGAUACUCAAAUCCUAGCUGAUAAUUGUAGUGAUUAAACUUCAAGAAGAAUCCUGAUCCUUGUUUGAUUUCAAAGUCAAUCUUCACCAAAAACUUGAUAGUCAUCUUGCAUGAUUUUGUUGGCUGCAUCAGGCCUAGUAGAUGUUUUGAUUGUAUCAUACUCAAUUCUAUGAAUGGGAAUCCAAUUACAAUACCAUGUACAAGAUCUUUGUGUCCUUGCAGUCAAAUGGGUACUCAUUUGGCAAAAGAAAAAUAAUUUGUGGCAGUAUUUCAUGUCUGGAGAUAAUAAAAUUAGUUGAAUAUGAAGUAUCUUUAUGGUUAGUAAUAAUCUAACAAUUAAUUUACAUAUGUCAUGGAAUAACAAUCUCACAAUCCACAAUCCAAAGAUUUAGUUUUUUUUAUUCAUGACUCGCAUUUCCAUGUGACCACUUAGGUGAGGCUACCUACCUGAUAGUUAACUCAAUUAACAAACGAAUAUUGUUCCGCAUUCAAAGUUCAAACUGCGAAACACAAAUUGAUUCAUGUAAUCUAUCUAACUAAACAAUGGAGCCAACUUGAUCAACAACCUGACUUAUCAUGACCUCUUGAUAUUUAGUUCAGUAAGUUCUCUAACAAAAAAUCAUACAUGAAUUUGGUUUCCUAAGUCGUUGCAGAUUACAAUUUGAUCACACCAUGUAAAUAAAACAUUUCAUGUAAACCUAGGAUCUUGUAAGCUUAUGGCUAGUUUCUUUACAAACUUAUUUGACAUUGAUGAAGAUACGCAUAUGGUACAUGUCACAUUGGUCAUGUUAGGAUGGGAAUGACCCAUUCAAUUCAAUCUAAUUAGUUAAAUGGGUUAUUAGUCUCUUGCCUAUUUAACAAAUGGUUCAUGUUCAAACAGAAUUUUCUAAUAAAAGUUUUUGUUAAUCUUAUCCUGCUCAGGUUGACCUAUCUACCAAUCCGUUGUUAUUUUGACAUCGACUGACAUGACCAGUGAAAAUGUAGUGCCGUCUCUAUUAGUAGCUGAAUGUUCAGUCAGCAAGUUUGCUGUUUGCAUUGCAUCAUGCAGAUUUUGAACAAUUCAGAAUAUUUCCCAAGAGAGACUAGAGAAGAACACGUUCUAAUGAUGACGGAAUGUUGCAGGGGGAAUAUCUAGUUGAGAAGUAAUGAGGGUAACGUUCAAGUAACAACACAGAAAACUUACUUCAACAUCAUGCAGUAAAACUGUACCAUCUUCAAGUUCCAAGACAACAACCUUGCCAUUAGGACACCGGCGCAAUGAUGAUAUUCAUUUACCUGGAGCAGAUUAGAAUGAUUAAGAGAAGCCAGUAUUGAUGACACACAUUGAAAUGUGCAAAUAAAGUGAGUUCAUUAUAAAUGUGAGAGAUAGAGGACAGACAUUAACUAACAAAAUGUUAAUCAAAAUUUAUGAAGUGAGGCAAAACAUCAUAACCCUACAAAAUAACUAAGAGGGAUAUUAGUCAUUCCAUAUGGGAUUUCUUUGGGCUAGUAGAUCAUCUAAAGCAAGGGAAUAUAUAUCUUGUUGGCAACCUCCAAUCCAAUAUCAUCAAAAAAACAAAUCUUGUUGGUCAAUUAUGGAACCUCAACGUGAAGUUAAUGCACGAAAGCUUACUUCAGGCAAGGAUUACAAGUGUAAUAAUAUUUACAACUUAGGAUCUUAAGAGAAACCAUUCAAGUAUUGGCUCAAGUACUAUUGUGCACUCAAAACAUUCUCCAUAUUUAAAAGACAAUAUGAUGAGCGAAGCAUUGAGAGAAAAAAAUCUCUCUAAAUUUUUCCAGUGAGAAUAGACAUCAAGAACUACCGAGGCUAGGCAUCUAAUUUCAAGUUCUUACGAAUUUGAAUUACCACAAGAUGAAGUCAUAUAGGAACCCAACAUACUUGGAUGCAGCUCCCCUGACCCUCCUAAUCUCUUUGCUUUCUCCAAUUUCUCCCUCCAUCCCUCUCGACCAAAUAGUCACACAAGUACACAGCAUAGCUCAAGAUAUAUCUAUUCAAAAGUUAAAACUCCCACCAGCGAACUUGAUUAAUCAAAAUGAUGUGACCAAAUGCCCCCCAGUAAUGACAAGAAGAUAAAUAAAACUUCGAGCGAUACAAAAUGUGAGAAACUUUCCGCCUAUAAUCUUUAUUCAGUAUCCAAUAAAUCUCUCAUUGUAGGGCAGGCUCGGUCAGUAAAAGAAUGCUCAAUCAGUAAAAGAAGAGGAGUCAGCAGUAAAAUUACAUUGUGAGAGUCAUCAUCAGGAAUCUAAGAUCUUUCUAGAUGCCUGAUGACAUUUAGAUAAUAUCCUGUAGUGGCUAAACCUGCAACUCCAAGUGGGCAUUAAGCAUUACUGCAUCUAACACAGCUACUCUAUUUAGCAUACAUGGCAUCCUCUCCAAUUCAUGGUAAUUAUGUUCAUGGACACUUUAACUAGUGUACGAAGAAGGGCAACAAGAAGGCAAUACAGGAGUACAGUACACUUAUGGUUGGGGUAGAUGACUGUCCGGCUAGGUUAUGGAAAAGAUCUCAUAAGGCAACAACCUAGUCGAGAAGUUGAUGACAAUCUGUGCGCCUAAUAAAUAAAAUCCCUUCAUUCAACUGAUACCAGCUUGGAAUUCUUUACUUGCAACUAAGUCAUGUCUAGAUUUCCACUCACAUCACCAUUAUUGACUCUUCAUUUCCGUGUAAAAGACCAACUCCUUAGUUCGAUGUCACCUUCUCAUUUAGACUUUGAACCACUUUUAUCUCCAUAUUCAUCCAAUUAUCUAUCGAACGCAAUUUAAGCUAGAUUGGCAUUACAGUGGUUCCUAUGGCUAAAAAGGAAGCUUAGCACAUUAGGAAAAGCGAAAGAAGUAAAACGAGAUAAGGCCGCUAACACAAAGGGCGAACACAGCAAGCCAUCGUUGAAGAAACGAACAAACUGAAUAAAGUAAAAAGAGAACUUUCUCGAAUCGAAGCAAUUACCUAAGAGAGAUUGUCCACAGCCUUUGCCAAUUGAAGCGAAGAAGCACCCCACCUUCGCCGCCAGCAAAUCCUUCUCCGGAUUCCACUCACCCCAUCAUCACCUGCCAAUCGAAAAUCGAGCAAACCCCUCACAAAACCGAAUCGCCCCGCCCCUUAGGUCGCGAAAGAAUGCCAAGCAGGAGCCAAACCUGAGAAGCCAGGCGGUUUGUCAAACUGAAGCUGAAACGGAAGCACGCGUUGCGACCCUGCGUUGUCUCCAUAGCUAGAAAGCUCUGCUGGAGAAGCUGAAGAGCGAGACGAAGAAGGGAAGAGCGGGAUUGAAGUGUCUGAGCAUUCGCGUAGAAAGUUGCAGAAGAGGAACAGGCGGGAGUCAAAAUAAGGAAGGACGAGAGAGAUGGGAAUUGGGCCGUAAAGGGCCGCCGCGGGAUCAACUAGGCUGGGUCGGACUUUGUAGCCCUGCUAAACAACGCCCGAAAGUGGUGGAUUAGUUAUUGAAACGUAAUUUGGAAAAAGCAAUGUGAUCAUCCUCAUUUGCUUUUGGAUAAAAAAAAAAUGCUGAUGAAUUAUUCAUAUCAGCAUCUCACAAUCGAUAACAAAAUUCAUGCAUGCUUAAAUGGAGACGAUGGGCCAAGCUUGAACCCGACCAAGCCAUUUGCCAGAACCACCCAAGUUCUUAACGCUCGACCGAAUACAAAUACUCGACCAAGCCCCAUUUGGUGAGCUUUAUACUAGACUCCUGUUAUAAGGUGCACAUGUGCGUCAAUGAUACAGUAGGAAGAAAAAAUGAGAUCCAACGUCUUUCUUAUUCUCUUUUAACUAGAACUAGACAAUGCACCCUAUUAAAAGGUACAGCUUUGCUAUAUCAGGAAAAUCCCAUUUCUCUACUCGUGUAUGUAGAGUCAGAGACUUACGAUUGGGCAAAAGAAAAUGGCACACCUUGUACUUCUGCCGCAAGUGAUAAAACCUAAGCACACUCAACAAUUGAAAAGGCAAAAGAAUAAGACAGUUUACUCUUCCUUCCAAAUACAGUUUAAAAAACCCAACAAGUAUAUGCUUUGAGAACACUUUUGGUUCCCACGUGUGUGACAAAUUGAGUGACUAAAGCUUUUGAGUGUUGAAAUAGUAGAACUUAUAUACUAAUUCUAGUCAACAAUUGCUUUUUCGGUCUUUUUGAAAAACAGGACACAACUACUUUUCAUUAAUAAUUUACUAUGAUCAUUGGAAUGAUGGUUAUGCACUACUGAGCAGGAAAAAGAUUGAUCCCAAACCAGCUGCCUUUUCUUUGGUCUUUCGGUAGUUAUUCUAAAGGCACGAUGUGUAUUUGCACCAGUGGUCAUCAGGCAGAGUAGCAAACGAUGCAAACCAGAUUCCUUGUGCUGAAGUUUGGAAUGAAUUUCCUUAACUCGAGGAAGAGGGAACAAUGAAUUAUCCAUAAGUAUGAACCAAACGACUUAAAUUUGAAAUAAAAAAACAAUCUGCUCACCUGAAGGCACCAACUACCAAUCAAAAGCUUAGUCGCGUUCUGCAGCUUCUGAAGCAGUCCCUCAGUCAGGUUGCAAUACCCUCUGUAAGACUCGAACCGAUUUUGAACAAAACAAUCAGAUGGCCUUCCAAAAUCUUCGCCUCUCAUAAAAAAGUUCGACUCUGCUUCAAUCAAGGAUUGAGACUUCCGUUACCAGCUGCCUCAUCAUACCAGAAAAUCCUCCCGAACAGCAACAGAGGACUUGAAAUCUCCAGGGGGAAACCCUCAUCGAGAGCAUACCGAAAGCAGCCAUUGACCGCAAUUUCCCUCAAAGUUCUCGAACAAACCUUGAUGGUUCGCUUUAAACCGUAGCAUCCUUCCAAACUAAGGUACUCGAGAACAGGGCUGCCAUUCGACAUCUCAUGCAUCACCUCCGAGUCACAGAUGGACAGGGACCUGAGAUUAAUCCAAGCGAUACUUCUACUCAACGAGAAGCAACAGAGCCCCGAGUGCAGGUUCACCAAACGAAGAGCAUCCAUAAAAGGAGCAGCGGUACUGCGAAAUGGCCGGCCAUCUCGCACAACCUCUUAGUCGCAUCGACUGAGAGGUCCUCGACACGGCGGUCAACAGCAAAGCGAAGCCACGGACUGAGCUCAGGCGCGCAACGGUCGAGAAAAUCGGUGUCGAUGCGGAACUUCCUCACCUUGGGCGACGCCUAGAGGAUCAAGGCGCCGUCCACGGACGGGGAGGCGUUCAGCCAGGGGAAGGAGAAGACGAGGUCCGGGGCGGCAGUCCAGACGGAUCGCCACCGCUUUGACAAAAACGCACGUGCGGACAAUGUGGGGAUCGACGAUCGAACGGAGGAACCGGAAGGAGAGCCUCCUCCGAUUGGAGGGUUCAUUUCACUCGGACUUAAGUUUCUGGCUUCCCGUACUGAGGCACGUGUCGCUCGAUGGGAGAGGCAACCACUUUCCCGCGCCUUUUAAUACAUCUACAAGCCCAUGAUGACGGGCCUUGCACGUCUUGAAUUGCCGAGUACCGAACUUUGAUUUUUUAAAUCCCAGGCUUGUCCGACAUCUGCAAAAAUCAUCAUUCAUAUAAUAAUCGAGUAUGAACAAAAUUGAGUAGGCGUACUGCAUACAUAAGGCGAGCUUGAGCCCGUGAAAAAAUAUGUUUGCUUGAUCUCCGCUUGAUUUGUGAUAUCACGCUCGAGGGCUCAAUUUACAUAGUGAUAAACAUAAAUAGCAUUGGUAAAUAUCAAAACUAGUUGACAACAAAAUUUUGAUCGAUAACUUAUUCGGUCAGUAGCAUUUUGGUAAGUUACCAAAUUUUUUAAAAAAAUACCAACAGUUAUUAUAAUUUUAUUAUAUAUAUUACUAUUGACAUCCAAAUAAUCCUAAUGGUUAAAGUUAGAAAAAUUCAAGAUUCAAGAUCCUGAUCAUGGCGACACUCAUUUCUUAACUUGAAAAAAAAUUAGAUUUGUAUCAGUAGUAUUUUAAUUGCAUAUAGGUGUUAAUUCAACAUAAGCGUGUAGGAAUAGGCAUUUAGAUUUCUAAGUUUUCAUAGAAAUGGCUUAAAAUCCUUCUUUUUUUUUUGGUCAAAUCAAAGAAUCUACCUUUGACUGAAAAAAAAAAUAUUAUUUCAAUAGUCUUUAAUUCUUUUUAGGCAUUUGAUUUAGAAUAUAGUGAAAUUUAAGUACCUACAAUCAAAUCAAAGAAAUAUCAAUUUCAAGAAUUGAUUAACCAGUUAGAACACCAUAUUUGUUAUUAUGGAAUUUGAGCUCACACCUUUCAAGAUCGCGUCACAUGGCGCAAUUACACAACUCUUGGAGAAUAAAAUCUGUUCUUUUUUUUUAUCUUGGAAGGGGUCCUUUUUUUUCUUCUUCUUUUGGCUUCUUUUUAUGUUCAAGAGGGAGGCGCCACAAGUUUAAAAAAGGAGAGAAAAGAGAGAAAAAUAAGGAGGAUUGACUCUCCAUGACCGCUGUGUAUACACCUUCACCGUUGCCCCAUCACAUCCGACCUCAUCCUCGUCACCGCAAGUUGCAUCCAUUGUUCUUGGACUUCAUUCUCUUGAGGAGUUGGAGCAAUAGUCGCCGUUGCCCAUUCCGACGAUUGAAACCCACUCCAUCACUUCGAUGAGCCUCUCCAUCACUCCUCUCGACUCCAUUAGUUGCCAAGCCAGUUGCCCUCGCUAUUCCCGAGCCACCCUUUCCUGCUCCACUAUUGCUCCCUGCCUUCCCAUCAUGAAAACUGAAGAGCCUAGAUCUCGUCCGAAGACUUCCUCGUUGGUCGUUGUUCUGUUCGUAGAUAGUUGUAAAGGUUCCAAUUGCCAAUUGCGAGUGCCCAUCGUAGCCUACUUACACCACUGAUAAACUAGGCUUUCCUGCUGCCUUCAACGAUGGUCAUCGAUGAGGAGCCACUCAAAACCUGAUGGUCCGGGGUUAAUUUUUGAGCUUGAAUAUUCUGAUUGGUUUAUCCGAUUCUAUCUCCACUUUUGUUCCUUAUUUUUUGUGGAUGCAAUGGCUAGCGCAAUGGUUAGUCGAUGGUAGGAGACGGUGGUUCGGCGAAGAGCGGGAAUAAGUAACAGUGGUAUAGGAGUACUUUUGAGCGUGAGAUUUUGAAUGUUUCCUCCUGGUCCGGUGAAGCUUUAGAUAGCAUGAAGAUGCACCGUGAAAAGUCAUUGAAGGUGGGAGUUCUGGGAAUAGGGAGCCAAGCCUCGAAGAUGAGAUGAGGGGUGAAAAGGCGAGAAAAGGCUAAAAUGAUGAUGACGUGUCCGGUGGGGUGAGAGGCCCCACACGGGGACGAGGUGGCGUUGCGGAGGGCCGGUCUUUUCCUCCGUUCCCGUCAUCCAACCCUCUCUUUUUGCUAAUUAGUAAUUGCUAAUUGCAAUGGGGAUUUAAAAAUUAGUUCCCUGGAAUGUUCUAAAUUCUCGAGGAGACGAUGGUAUCCCUACUGCCGGAUUGCCAAUGCUGUUUCAUGGUAACGAUUUCCAGAAUGCCAUGUGGAGCGAUACGAUCCAUUCUUCGAGCCAAACGGACUAUACGGGGGGCGGGAGUGUCCUCGACUCUGAACCUCCCUGUGCCUCGACAUCAAGCUUCCAGUCUUGGAGUCCACUUCCUCAUCCUGAAGGCAAUCCCAUGAUGGGAGAUUCCCCAACAAUUUAUUUAGAUGACAUUUUGGAAUGUGAUGACUUGUCAGAUCCCACGAUACGAUGAUGAUGGUUCUGUUAGAGGUACCAGGAACGGUGGUGUUAAGUCAGAAAUUUAGCCCAAUUCUCUUUCUUCCUCAUAUCUGCAACUUUUCUCCGCGAAUUCUCAGACUCUGCUGGACCUCACAAGCCUCCCUCCAUUGAAGCUCCAUCCUUCACAAGCUCACCAUGGGUUUGCAUUUCCCAUUGAUGCUUCUGUACCCUCCUCGCGUUUUGUCACAGCAGAGCUGGUGGCUGCAUUUUCGGCUGCUAGUGGCGUGUGCUUCUGUUUCAGCUUCAGUUCGACAAACUGCUUUGGCUUCUCAGGUUCUGCUUCCGUUCGGCGUUCUUUUGUGAUCUAAUGGGUGGGUCAACUCAAUUGUUCCGACUCGGUUUUGUGAGGUUUUGGCUCGAUUUCUUCCAAUUGGCAGGUGAAGAUGACGAAGUGGAAUCCAGAGAAGGAUUUGCUAGCGAUAGUCACGGAAGACUCGAAUGUGGUCGCUUCUUCGCUUCAUUUGGCGGAGGCUGUAAACAAUCUCUCCUGAGUAUAGCUAAGACUAGAGAACUUCUUUUAUUUAUUUAUUUAUUUAUUUAUCUAUUCAUUCAUUCAUUCAGUGUGUUGGUUUCUUCAACGAUGGGCAUUUGUGCUUCAGUAUAUUUGGUGUCUUUCCAAUCGGACAUAUAAUAAGCAUCCCGUGCGUUGAAAUCAAAUAUUUAGCAGUAUGGUAUAUUGGACACAGCCGACGAUUCAUUCUUUCCUUGUUCUGGCCUCUCAUUCAGCACUUUUUCCUAGUAAGUCAGUAUUGCCUGGAAAGUAAUGGGCUGAUUAAGUAAACAAUUAUACCAGGAAUGCUUGUGAAAGUUUCAGAUGUUUAUGCCAUUUCCCAGGCUAGAUUUCACAUCGGUUGGUUACUUCAGAGAUGACACCCUUCCAACUUGGAUACAGAACAAUUAUCUUAUUUUUGUUUGGCCUGAGGUUAGCCUGCCUUACCUACUUGCUCUACUCUAGGCUAUUGGGUUUCUGCUCUGUUCUAUGAAGAUUUCCAAUCAAUUCUCUAGGCUUGAUUUGAUUCGUCCUUAAUGUUGUACUAGCUAAGAUGAUUAUCCGUUUACUGAUAGAAUUCUUGGUAUUCUUUUCUUAGAUGAGGGCAUAUGAGUUACUCAUAUGGUUCGGUUAUUCAUUCGUGUAUAAAACAUAUUUGUUUAAAGGCCUUCUUAAGCGAAUAAACUUUUUCAUCAGCUCUUUUAAAUUUAGUUACUCUCUCUACUUUCUUAAAUCAGGCUUUACUACAUGAAUAACACAUUAGGAGGUAAAUAAAAACAUGUGAUCGUUUGCAUUUAUGGUAGUGAGAACUUUGGUUCCUUUGAUUUGAUGAUCCUCUUUGAUCAAACAUGUUAUGUACGCAUUUGGAAUUUGAUAUUAUUGCCAAGAGAUAAUGAUUUUAGGCUAGUAUCGAUUGAUGUCUGUGAAUGUGGAUGCUCAAGGGCAGUGGAUCUUCUGGUUUGGACCAUCUGUGGGGCACUAGCAACUACAACAUACCAUUAGGACAUCCUCAGAGUAACUUCCAUCAAGGCCCCGAAAGCAACUGCCAUCAAGGCCCUCAGCGGCAACCCCGCCAACUAAAAUCUUUCCCUUUUUCUUUUGUGCAUUUUUAUGCCUUUUUAAUUUUCAUUUUUUUGUGAACGAGAGACAACUAUGACGAUAGAUGGUGAUGGUGGUGAUGACGGAAUCCCUCUUGAUUUAUAGAUUUAUUGAUCCCAUUUAUCAUUAUUAUUGCUGUUGUUACUGUUCAAUGAUUAGUGGUGGAAGUGUUUCCUUUUCUUUCAUAUUCUAUACCCCUGUGAUCGCGGGCGCUCCUGUCGAAACCAACCGGACAACCCCAAUCAAGUCGAGUGUAGAGACUGUGGGAGACAUAAACCCUUCAUCCAAGACUCCUAACGAUGAACAGAUACUCAGUUUAAAACUAGAAUUGGACCAGGAACAUGCGUGAUUAGCACUAGGAUGGACGUUCCGCGCCUCUGUGGAAACGCACCUGGUACUAACAGGAUGAGCAAAAGGAUGCUCGAACUAUGUAAUAAUACGAAUGAGGUUUUGAGUCGGCGUCCUUCUAUCGUCGGAUGAAACAUUAUAGUGUCUCGAUUGAGGGCUGAAUCGCGACUAAUCCUGGCAAAAAGCCAGGGUGACAAGAGGGGGUGGGGGAAAGAGGUGAGGCGACAAGUGCUGCGUUGAUCUACUUUGGGACUCAAAAUUGCAUCUAGCCAAUAGAAUGUCUAAGUAGACAGAGAAAAUAUGAGAAAAUAUUUGGUAGGGCUAUCGUUUCGACAAAAUGUGAAAAGAAAUGUGAAAAGAUUUAGGAUUUAAUUUACACAAUUGAAAUGUUCGGGAUUAAAUUAGUAUAAAUGCAAUAGGUUUAAAAUUAUUAUUAUUAUUAUUAUUAUUAUUAUUAUUAUUAUUAUUAUUAUUAUUAUUAUUAUUGAUAAAUUUUCCGUCAAUGCCGUGGUUCAUACAAUUUGACAUUCUGACCACUAAAUGUAAAACAGGUCAAUCAAAUAAUGAAAUUUGACUUAAAGAUCAAUAAUAUCACACUAAUUCAACUCUUUUUCCCUCCUUACUCAGAUCUUACUAUUGCUUAAAAAAAAAAAAAUCAACGAUGGUUAUAGCGUAUAAUAUAUGGUCAUAAAAUCCCAUAGAGUUGCCUCCAGAAAAUUUUGCAAGCUAGGCAUUCAGAAUACUAUCACGACAAUUCAGGAUUACUACACAUAAAUUUACGAUGUCAUGAUGCUUCACUUGUAAUCAAAUUAUAUUAUCUAACAGUACAGUGAGUGAAGGUGCCAAAAAUUUCGCUUAUGGGGAGCGAGAUUUCGAGUACAUUUGACUUUCACAUUUAAUUCCAAGUUUUGGUAACGAUGUAUUUAGUAAUAACAACUUAAUUGAUUAAUCGAUAAUAAAAAAAUUCAAGAUAUUCAUGGAAAUGUAAUAUUAAAUUAAAACUUUAUAAAAAAGAAAGACCAUGUAUAUAUGAAAAAUAAAAAAAAAGUAUUAAAUUAGAAUUUAAUAAAAGGAAGCAUCGAUUGCUAAAAUAAAUGUAGAAGAAUGACUUCAGGAUUAGGCAUGGGACGACCCAAAUAAGUGCUCAACGGCUGGAUUAUCGCACUUCCAAAUAAUAUUGAAAAUUCUAGGUAUGUAGGUUUAUUGCUCUAGAUCCCUCCGUGACUUUAUCUUCUUUUAUCAAGCUCAUGAAAUAUAUGAGUAAAUUCUUCAUGAUUUUCGGAAAUAUUGAAUAUUUCUGUUACCUUUUCGAAAUUGCUAGGAUUGUGAAUGUUACUAAACAAUGAAUAUAUAGACAUCUAAAAUUUAUCUAGUUGAUCUGAUAAUAUUGGUCAUAUGAAAUUAUAAGCGGCAGCCUUUUAAAGGAUGGUGAGAUUAUUGAAGAAAAUACACUAGUACGAUCGAAGUUUCGAAAAAAGUAUCUAACUUCUAUCUGUUUUAUGGAAAAUGGAUGUAUUUUCUGCAAAAAUUGAGCUCUUUUUUUUUUUCUUUUUUUUUUGUGGAUGUUUCAAGGCUUUAUGUAAUUGUUGGACCAUUGGGGGUACUUUUUGGGCCCAUGGACCCAAAAUCGAGUAUCUAAGGGCAAUUUCGUAAAUUCAAUACUAAACGGGCUUCUUGGCCCAAGUGAGUUUAGCCGCUAUUUGUGAGGGUGCAAAUUCCUGAAAAGGGGAUGAAACUUGCAUCGCAUUGUUACUGAAAGGUAAAAUUAUUUUGAGGCAUGUUAUAUUUAUAAUAUUGGAUCCGGUAUUGGCCGGACAUUUCAAGGUGAUGUUAUUUUGGAUAUGCAUCGAAAAUGAUCAUAUAAGUGAAUCAUUUCAAAUCAUCUUGGAUACUAUGUAUUAAUAUUUAAUUGAUGCACAUGAUCGACUUAUCUAUUGAAAGAUGAUAUACAUUUGCUGAUCAGCUCUACUUUGGGGCUUAACUAUGACAGAUGUGAUUUCUAGGGUUUAACUAGAAUGGAUGUAGUUCUCUAGACAACAUCACCUACUGAAGUGUGGCCACAGUGUUCCAUGCAAUUUAAAUGCAAUACUUUUGCUAACUUGGUGUGCCACAUAUUUGAUACAAAAUUUGCUUCAUUCACUACUCAAUUCCAUAGAAGUGGCGAUUGUCACUUCCCCGGUCAAAGCUUUACUCACCCCUUUCAAUAUUGUUUCAAGUCAUGAAUAAGGAAACUUAACUGCACCACGUAAAGAGCAAUCUAAAAUAGCGUGGGACCCUAAUUUAGAUUACUUUUUUUUAUGGGUAGAAAUAAUUUAGAGUACUUGAGUAAGGGCUAUUAUAUGGGUCAUAAAACUCUCAUUUUCAUUAAUUCACGGCACUCCGAACUUUGUUAUUAUAUUCAUUCGGUGAAAGGUUUAUCAUUUUCGUAUGAUAGCUAUUAUCGGUUGGAGGUUUUGUCCUUUAUUUUAUAGUGAAUAUUCGGUCAUUCCCUAGACUUUAAGGUUGGAUUCGGAGUGCGGCAGUAGGUGUAAUUCGCGUGCGCACAUUUUUCACGAGAUGGAAGAAUAGUCAACCUUAAAAAGCCGACCAAAGAGAAAAGAUUACUUAUAAAAUAUUAAAGCAAUAGCAUCCAUAGCAGCCUAAACUCUAGAUUUUGUCCAGUUUUAACUUUUAGCCUGCCUUGACCUUUUUUUUUUUUUUUUAAGUCGAAUGGCCUCCCUUGUAUACCUCUGUUCUUGGAGCAGAAGCAAUUUUCUUAGCUUUACAUCCAUCCCACGGUAUCAUUUCUAAUACAUCUGUUGGGCAGGCUCGCACACAUUGAGUACAUCCUAUACAUGUAUCAUAAAUCUUUACUGAAUGUGACAUCGGAUUUAUAACUUUUUGAAUGUCAUCAAUUUUCGAUCUAGUGAACUUGUAAAUAUAUCAUAUAUUUACACACCAGAUGAAUCAAUGGAUUUUACCAUAAUUUUUCUAAUCAAUCUAAUCUAGAUCGAGUCAUGAGAUAGCCGCUUGAAAUUGCCCAUGUUUGUUUACGUGGGUCGAGAGUGCAUUAACAAAUUUAUAUUAUCGAAAAAGAAAAUUUUAUAAUUUUAUCUUUUUGAAAAAGAGACAAAACAAAUAAAAUAUUAGAGUACCAUUAUAGAAGGAAUUCCUCCGGGCAAAAUUGCUAGUAAUAGUCCUCGUAAGCACAUCUUCUAUUUGAUGAUGGGCUCAAUGUCAAUUUUGAAUAAAUUUUGGGACUUUGUUGAAAUAUUUUCACGUCACCUGCCGACGUCACCGUGUUACGUAAACGCGUCAAGAGGAUGAAGCUUGAACUGCAAGAUUGGCCACGUACACCAUAAAGCCAAGCAGCCUUUGGCGUCGACAAAAUCGCCACUUCACUCGGUUAGGUUUGCAAAUCUUUAAUUUAUCACUUCACCUCCUUAUACUAAUUCACACUCAUUCUUUGUCUUAUUAUAAUUUGGGUUAGUGCAAGGAAAAACCCAAAAUUAGCAUACCUUUAACAAAUUAAUUUCAAAUUAAUUUUUUGAUUAUUAUAAACCAAAAACUGAUAUAUAUAUAUAUAUAUAUAUAUAUAAUAAAUUUAUCCAAAAUUAAUUUUUUAAUGAUAAAAAAUCCAAAACUAAUACAUUUAUAAUAAAUUUUACCUAUGAAAUUGGAUUAGUACCACAAAAAAUUCAAAUUGAUAUAUUUGUGAUAAACAGGGGUAUGUGUCAUCAAACUCAGUAAUUUGAUUGUAAAAUUUAAUGAAAACUAACGGAGAAUAAAUUUGUUACACAUAUUGCAAUUUAGGAUUUUUGGGGAUUUAAAAAUUAGUUUGGGUAAAUUUGUUACAUAUAUACCGAUUUAAAAUUUUUUGUGAUAUUAACCAUUAUUAUUAUUAUUAUUAUUAUUAUUAUUAUUAUUAUUAUUAUUAUUAUUAUUAUUAAAUUAGCCACGUCCAAUAGAAAGCCAAGCUUGGAGUUUGACCUUAUAAUCACGUGUGAUUAGAAGUGUCACUCUAGAUGAUAACAAAUAUAGAUAAGUGCAUUUCAAGUUUAAAACUUAUCUUGAAAAUGCAAUUAAUUCCUAAAAUUUUUAAAAAAUGCAAUCAAAUCAUAAAACUUAUUAAAUUAAUAUAAUCAAGUCUUUCUAUUAACUCCGUCACUAAAAAUGUUGACAUGAAAUUCUUUAUUAUUUUCCUCUCCAAAUCAAACUUAAAUUAGAUUUUCAAAAAAUUAAAAAGUGCCCUCGCCAGUGGAUCACCAAUGCCGAAGAGGGCAGCUGGCUGUCGCCGAGGCAGGCUGAAUUUGUUUGGAUCUUACAGGCUGGUGCAGCAAUUUAUUUCAUCCAGAAAGAAAGAAAUGGGGCACUUCAUGGAGGAGGAACAUAUUCAGUGACAGAAUUAUCAGCAAUGUUCAUUUCUCCAUUAGAGUGCAGAUGUCCUCCUUCAUUAUGUGAGAGAGCAUUGCUGCAGAUGAUGAGAGCAGCAUUUGGAUGGUUUACGCGAUCACUCUUGGCUUUUUUUUUUUUUUUUUUUUAUUUGGAGCAUGGGUUCUUUUUUAAAAAUAAAAAUUUACAUUAUUUUAAUCUAAUUUUAAGUAAGAUUUGAUGAACAAAAUAAUUUUAAAAAAAAGUCAUGUAGGAGAGAGAAAAUAAUAAAAAAAAAUGACAUGGCGGCAUUUUGUACUAAAUAAAUUAAUUACGUUUUGAAAAUUUUAAGACUCAAUUACAUUUUUGCAACAAAUUGUAAGGAUUGUAGUAUACCUAUCUUUGAUAUAAAUUCAAGCAUGUCCCCCAUUGAUAGAAGCCUAACAGAGUAAAUUCACCUCAAACUCACGCUGGAGGCAAAAAUAGCUUAAUUGUUCGAUAGGCUAAAGCCGGAAAAAAGAUAAUAAUAAAAACAGAAGAUGCAAUUUCAUAAGGAUAAGGGGGCAAAUUGCUAAAAUCGGAGAAAAAAUAAAUAAAUAAAUAAACUCUAAACCGGCAACGUUUCGGGGAAAUGCGUGAAGUUACAUUUCGCGGAAAAUUAUGUGCUGCAGACUAUACAAAAAGAAGACGCACUGCCAAUGAUUACAAGAGAGUUUGGGUUCGUUGAUGAACUGCCUUCCUGUCUGAUUCUCUGUCUGCUGCAGUUCUUCAGCAACCAAACUCUAGACACCUGCUUAGUUCUUGUUAAGCUUCACAGAAGAACAGGAAAACCAUGUCGAUGCAGAAGAGAGCUUUGCCUUCCUCCUCUUCUUUAGGUCAACCAAGUCAACCCAAGAGGCUAUGCUUGCCUCCAAUCGAGUAAGCUCGCCCUUUCCUCUUAACCUUUCAAUGUUUGAUUCAUUGUUUGAGAUCUUGCGUUAGUUUUAGCUGUACUUGAGGGAGAUUCAAUGAAGGGGUCUUGAGUUGAUGAUUCUUGACAUGAGAGACAUGGUGAAAGCCCGCCAUCGAUAAGCUUUUGCCUCAUGACCGUUCAAAAUCACUUUCGUUCAGUUCUUCAUUUAUGGGUUUGUGCUGUUGUUUUAAUGCGAAGUAUUAAUGACCUCGGAUGUCAUCGUCUCAAAUCUGUUUUGUGAAUUUGUGUUGGCCAAUUGCAGUACUUCCUCCUUAUUUGAGCUGAAUUCUGUUAGAAUCAUUUAUCUAGCAAGUGAGCUGUUAUCGUUACCAGGUUAAUUUGCUAUCCUGUCGUCUAAAAUAUCCUAUCUGGCUUGUACUUUUGCGCUGAUGUUUAUGCAGUCAAGCAUGGAACGGGCCCGAAAUGAAUCCUGGGCCGAGUUGCUGUUUGACUUGCUGUUUGACAAAGGAGGAUCUGCGGAGUAUGGUAAGAUGAGUGAAAUAGCCAAGUUGGACAUGCAAAGUACAGUCCUUAUUAUAUUUCAAUUCCUGUUGCUUCGAUUAGAAGUGGUUAGAUGCAUUUCUGACAUUCUAGCCAGUUUCUGGAUAGUAAUCCGCGUGAGAAAUUGCCAAGAGAUGUAUAGAGAACUAUGCUUGAGUGGUAAAAAUGACCCGCUGAAUGUUCUAGGAUUUUCCCAGGAAGCAAUUGCACUAAGAACAUGCUUUAGGCUUUUCAUGUGCAUUGGGCAGUAUGGAUUGCAAAAAGAUACAAAUUUUCNNNNNNNNNNNNNNNNNNNNNNNNNNNNNNNNNNNNNNNNNNNNNNNNNNNNNNNNNNNNNNNNNNNNNNNNNNNNNNNNNNNNNNNNNNNNNNNNNNNNUGCCCUGGACAUAACUGUCGCCUUGAAUCCUGGAAAAUAUGGUCAAUGAACUUUUGAAUGUAGGAGGAGGAAAAUGAAGAUACCUGUGAUGUGAAACUUGAAUGUGAUGAUUAUGUGACAGAUGGCUCUUGCUUAUGUAAUUAUUUGCUAUUGCGUUCUUUGCUGGACAGUUAAAAGAAGAGCUGGAGCGUGCUAAAUCUGACUGGGCCGAAUAUUUUCAAAGGUGAUUAUAUUUCAUUUGGUCUGUUGGCAGUAUCAUAUCUGCAUGAACUGAUUUCUGCACAAGAAUUUCCAUGUCUAUUGUCUCACCAUAGUAUUAAUGCCAUAAAUCCAAAUUUCUGUUCAGCAAAGUGUAAUACCUGCGCAUACCUUUUUCUGUAAAUCACUGAAAGGACGGUGCUUUGGAGAUAGCAGCUAAUCAACAUUUCUUGCUUCUGUUAUCAAAGUACUGGAUAAAUUUGUAUUCCAGCUUUAUGUUGACUUUUUAUGUCGAGUUAGAUUAAGGAAUGCAUUUGAUGAGGCUGGUAUUUGUGGUAUAUACAGUAAUUAGAUCUGACAUUCAUUUGUACAAGUAACUAAAUGUCAAGGGUUUUUGUCUUUUUGUUAUGAAUAAGUCCACAAGACGGCAGUUGUUCAUGGUAUCAAUUUUUAUGGUGUAGUUGCAUCUGGAAUGCUCUCAAAGAUUUAGUGCCACAGAUGCGCUCAGAGAAUGAUUCUCAGAGAUUGGGUAAGAUAAACAAGUUUAUAAAAUUUCUACUUUUUCACAGACAUAUCUUCAUCAACACUUUAGGUAUGAGUUGGUUUAUCUGCAUGUCAUGAAGUGAGAGAAUGAGCUUACUAAUUGCUUUAUUCGGACAGUUUUAACAGCAUUCAUCGGANNNNNNNNNNNNNNNNNNNNNNNNNNNNNNNNNNNNNNNNNNNNNNNNNNNNNNNNNNNNNNNNNNNNNNNNNNNNNNNNNNNNNNNNNNNNNNNNNNNNNNNNNNNNNNNNNNNNNNNNNNNNNNNNNNNNNNNNNNNNNNNNNNNNNNNNNNNNNNNNNNNNNNNNNNNNNNNNNNNNNNNNNNNNNNNNNNNNNNNNNNNNNNNNNNNNNNNNNNNNNNNNNNNNNNNNNNNNNNNNNNNNNNNNNNNNNNNNNNNNNNNNNNNNNNNNNNNNNNNNNNNNNNNNNNNNNNNNNNNNNNNNNNNNNNNNNNNNNNNNNNNNNNNNNNNNNNNNNNNNNNNNNNNNNNNNNNNNNNNNNNNNNNNNNNNNNNNNNNNNNNNNNNNNNNNNNNNNNNNNNNNNNNNNNNNNNNNNNNNNNNNNNNNNNNNNNNNNNNNNNNNNNNNNNNNNNNNNNNNNNNNNNNNNNNNNNNNNNNNNNNNNNNNNNNNNNNNNNNNNNNNNNNNNNNNNNNNNNNNNNNNNNNNNNNNNNNNNNNNNNNNNNNNNNNNNNNNNNNNNNNNNNNNNNNNNNNNNNNNNNNNNNNNNNNNNNNNNNNNNNNNNNNNNNNNNNNNUCUCCUCGUCCACAAUUUCAACUGUGGCUUUAUCACCUAAAGCUAAAUCAUAACCAUUCUAAAGCACAUGAAAAAAUUUUCAUGGACAUGGAAUGGAAGGGGAAAAUGAAAAUUCUUAGGAUUGAUCAUAUGAGUUUUAUAGACAACUUCUGUUUGGUAAAAGACAGUGAAUUCAAAUAUGCAUAAAGAACUAAGCUCAAUAAGGUGUUUGAUAAGUUGUUUUUAGGAAAGAGCCACAGCAUAGGUUUUCCAACUCCUUUUGAUGGAAUGGAUUGGUUUUGUAUCCCUCCUGCUUCAUCUUUUGGAUGUCUCCAACUUUGGCAAUUCUGCUGUUGGUGGUUUUGAACAGAUGGAAGCAGUGGAGCUUGUAAACAUUCAUUCUCCCCAGCGUGCAAGGUAUGGAUGCACUUCCCUCGUGAUGCUGUUGAGAAAGGCUUUCUGUGUAGUGUUGACAGGUUAUGCAUUUUUGAUGUUUUGGGGAAUAAUGGUCCGACCUACCUCUACCACCCCAAGCAGGCAGUCUGAGCUCUCAGUGAGUGUCAUGCCACAAUGACUCGGUUGUGCACCAAAGUGUCAAUGCUUAAUUUAGAACAUAAUCCUUGUAGCUUGCCAGUGGAACAUUUUAUUUUAUUUUACUUCAUUUUUUUAAAUUGUGCAUUAUUAAACAAAUAAAACGACAGGUCUAUUUAUCCUUGUAGUUUCCUCGGCAGUAAAGACCUGUCCAAGUGGGAUGUUGGGUAUUUUGUCUCUCUUUGUCGUUACUUUUCCAAUUUUCCGUUUUUAUACACAUUCCUAUUUCUGAUGGUUGUUUUCUGGAGAGAAUGCAGGGCUAAUGCUAAUUCUAUGGGAGAGAAUGAUGUGAGAAACUUACGGCUUCAAAUUCAAACCAAACUGUCAGAUUCUCUAUUUACUGGACAGAAACUAGAAGGAGAGGGGGCUGCUCGCAUUUCCAUUGCCUUGAUCAAUGCAAAUACAGGGGAUGUUGUUAGAUCAGGCCUGGAAUCCUCCAUUAAGUUGGACGUCAUCGUGCUCGAAGGUGACUUCAACAAAGACGAUGAGGAUAACUGGACCCAAGAAGAGUUUGAGAACCACGUGGUUAAACAACGUGAAGGAAAGGGGCCACUUUUGGCUGGAGAUCUCGUAGUGAAGCUCAAGGAAGGUGUUGGGGAGAUGGGAGAACUGACAUUUACUGACAAUUCCAGUUGGAAUAGGAGUAAAAGAUUCAGGAUAGGGCUUAAGGUGGCAACGGGUUUUUGUGGGAACACACGAAUCCGAGAAGCAAAAACGGAUGCCUUCCAAGUCAAGGAACAUAGAGGGGAAGGUAGGUCCUUCAUAGUCUUUCUACAGUAUAUAAACCUAAUCCUUUGUGACUGACCAUAAAAUGAUUUUGGACAUUCACAGUCUUCAAUUUUUAAUUGAGAGCUUUGUUUCAUAUGAUUCUUUACAACUCGAAUGAAAAUUCUGAUAAAUAAGAAACAAUUGGCUUGUUCGUUUUUAGCAAAUGCUGACACUUUGGAUCAGUUUCAGGAGAGAACUUGCAUGCCUGUUAGAAGUUUGCUUCCACAAAUUAAUCUAAUAUUGACUGGGACCUUACUGUAUGUGUCUCUUCAUUUUACAGCAUACAGAAAACAUUAUCCACUGCAUCUGAUGAUGAGAUCUGGAGACUAAAGCAGAUUGCGAAAGAUGGGAUAUUUCAUCAAAAACUGAGCGAAGCUGGAAUUCAUAAGGUGGAGGACUUUCUAUUGCAACUGUUUACAGACUCCCAGAAACUGAGAGAGGUAAGCACUUAGUUAAUAAUUCUUAAUUAGGGUUUGAUUGACUACCAAGAAUGUAAGUCCAGUGUGUUCACUCAUCAUAGAUUCUUGGAAAGAGCAUAGCAGAGAAGAAGUGGGAUAGCCUGAUACGCCAUGCAAAGACUUGCGAAACAAAGUGGAAAAUUUACUUGGACUAUCCUAAUGGCGUGACGAAGCAUGGUGCUGUAUUCAACACUGAUGGUCAACCGAUCGGCCUAGUUAAAGACAGAAUAUUUUGCUACUCAUCGACUUUCUGCCCAAGAGAAGGUAACUAACCAAGGUGUUCCCACUCAGUUUUGUCAAGCCAGUUCACUCGCUUCACACCAUCAUGGGGAAUUCGAAUUAUUUGUCCCAUAUUUUCUAUGUAAUUAGUAUUUUGAUGUUUACUUGUAGCUGUGUGGCUUAGUAGGUGUUAGAAUUGAUUAGAGAUGUGGAAACUUGAAACAAGGAGUUAGUUGGACAUCUAGAGGCUUUGCUUUGCUUUUCUUUUCUUUUCUUUUCUUUUUUCGAUCAUAAAAGUAAAAUGAAGUUCCUGUGGAGAGAAUAAAAAGAAAAUAUAGAUGCUACGUUUAGAUCGUAAUAGAGACCUUCUAUUAAUAGAGUGAUUUUGGGCUUGCGCUCUUUGUGAAGCAAAGUUGAGGUUAGUGACCUUGUAAAUUUAAAGUCGCCUUCUGUAUUGAGUAAGUUGAAGACCACUUUCAGCAGUUAAUUCGGCUUCAUCCACAAGAAUCCGAGGCACUCAUCAACAAAUUGUAGUUUGAACGAUUCACACAUUCCCGUCGCAAGCAUUACUUUUCAAGUUUAUAACUAUUGAGAUAUUAAUUACUUGCACAAUUGCACAAUACACAUUGAUGCGUGCUUUAUUUCUUCACUGGUCCUUUCUCAAUCAACUUUGCAUCUUUACAUUGAGGACCCUUGUUUUUAUUGUACCCUACAUUACAUCUUUUGAGCACCUGACCUUUACGUGGUAGAGAAAUGGCAGAUAUAGGCAUAAAGUGAAUUGUGGUUCUUUCAAUAUUGUUCUUCUUUCUCUGUGCUGCACUCACGUACUUAAUCUGAAUACAAGUUCAUCCACUGGAAUGCAACUUUACUUGCCGGAAAAAAGUAGUUGCUUGAAGCCAGAAUGUUUACCUGUCAAUAAUGGAGAUGAAUACUUCCAUUAGUAUAGCUUGAGCAAUAUACCAAGUGUGUUUUUCCAGGAACAUGGAGAUGCAAUCGCGAAAAAGGCCUUGACUAACUUGAAUGAUGUGAGAGAGUUCAAUGGUGAGACGUUUUCUGAUUCAAUGAGGCUCAACCCUGUUCAACGUUAUUUGGCUCCACCAAUCUCUCCUGCUCCAGUUGGUCUGGGAGCUCCUCCGGCAAAUGUGAGCUCCACUGCUGAAGGUACAUGCUCUUGAACACGAUACUGUCUCUCCCUUUAAGCACAUACAAAGAUGUGGCCUGUGAAAUUACAAUGAAAAUUGGAAUUUCCACUUGAUUGUUGAGCUUUAAUAAAUAAAAGCAUUGUGUACCUGAUCCUUAUGAUUUUGGGUUCCACAUACGUUUGUUUGUCCAGCAGUGAUUGUUGCAAAUGAGCCUCAUUCAAUGCAAUCUAUCCAUUUGGCCAAUAUAUGUAUACAUGUAUGUAUGCAUGUAUGUAUUCGCCCAAGCUAUUGAAAAGCAACUAAAAAAUUAGUUGGUAACGGGUGCCUUUUUUGAGUGGGGGAUUGGGGGAGAGGGAGGGGGAGGGUGAGAGUAGAUACUAAUGAACACCUUCACUUAGGUGAUACUACAUGGAUAUUGACAAGAUAAUGCUAUCACUAGGUAGAUAUGAAUAAAUGUAAUUGUUUAUAUGUGCAUUUUUAUCGAGUGGCGAUUGCAGUCGUUUUAGAAAGGGCCUUGUCAAUUGAAGCAUGUAAAGAUUACAAAGAUCGGGGGCAAAAAAAAAUUAAAGAGAUGUGCAGGGUCAGGAGAAAAAAAAACACUAGCAGCACUUUCCAUGAUAUCAGAAUAGUUCGUAGAUCUGUGCUUACAUCGGCCUAUGUUUAUGAACCAUAUUGAUGUUUUAGUUCUUUCUCCAGGACUUAACGUUGCAAUGCCUUUGGUAUUGCCAGUUCAGUCACAAAAUACCAAUUCUGGAACCUCCAUGAAGAUUUUAGUUGAUGAAAAUUUUCGUCUUGCUGCACAUCAGCUCAUGUCUGCAGACCGCUCGAAUGUUCAAAUUCCUCCAGGAUAUCAUGAUAGUACUACUGCCGGAUUGCCAACACAGUCCCAUGGUCUCAAUUUACAGAAUUCCAUGCAUAGCCAAAUGAUUGGUUCUCCGAGUGGAAUGGACUAUACAGGAUAUGAUGAUGUUCUUCCUGAAGGCAAUCAUGUGAGAGAAAACAACACACCAUGUAAUGACCCGUUCUCUAGGACACUCGCUCCUCCCGAAGGCAAUGACGUGAUGGAAGAUAUCCAAUCAAGUCAUUCAGAUGAUAGUUGGAAGCAAUGGUUGGCUGAUAACCCAUCAUUUGAUAAUGGUUAUGUUGGAGGUACCGGCAGAGGUGUUAUUGGCUGGCUCAAGAUAAAAGCAGUGUUGCAGUGGGGGUACUUCAUCAGGAAGAGAGGUGUCAGACUUGUGGAGUUGGACCAACCACCGAUCCAAGUCCAGGCUUGUUCGUAGUUCUUAUGUCGCUUUAGGGAAAGAUGAUUCUCCGUUUACUUCUGAUAGAACUGAUGGUAAUUUUUUCUUAAAUGGUGGUAAUAUUUCAUUGAUUCUAUAUAUUCAUCUGUAUAUAGAACAUCUAUGUCGAACGCCUUCUUAAGCGACUAAUUGUUUCAUCAUAGUGUCUCUCUACCUCAAUUCUUUCCACAUCUUUCUUCAGAAAAGUUCUCUGAUAUAUCAUAUGUAAGGAACGCAAGGUUAUAUCAUUCAAAGGGUGUACUUGGAUUCUGCGCUUAUUAUGCAUUAGAUUUGCAACCAAAUCCAAGGAGUCCCAUGUAAUAAGUCCUGCCUACUACAGCUAUCCAGUGGCAAUGCAGCUCUUUUCCGGAACGCAUACACCGUCAAGCUUUGAUGUUAAGUUCCCUCGUACCCAUUUUCCCGGCCUUCCCUUCUUAUUUUCUCGCUCCUCAAAUUUUUUUACCAUAACGAGCUUUUGGGCAAAGCAGCUCAGGGUUAGUUUAAUUUAAUGUUGGUUCUGCACUGGAAUUGUAACCUUAUAAUAUAGGAUUAAGUUUUGAGAUCUUUCAUCUUUAGUGUGUCAUUCCACAAUUCCUCCACUUCCUGAACUAUUUAAACAACUGAACAUUCCUGCAUGUUUAUACAUCAUUAAAUUUAUUGGCUAAGUGAUAUUCUUGGUUAAGAAAACGCAAGUCCAUUGAAAAUAUUGUAGACAUAAUCUCAUAAUCCUAAACCUACCAUUUAUUUGCAGAUUCCAAAGCUCUAGGACUGGAAAAUGAUCAAUGUCCUUUAAAACCACCUUGAAACUAUAUAUCUAGCAGCUAGUCAUGUUGAUUAUAUUGAUCCCAGAGGGCAGUCCUUCCACGCAAGAAGGUUUUUUGUGCAUCGGAUUGGAUGCAUCACUUAAUGGUGACGUGUAGAAGCAAGUUAAUUGUAGGUGAGAGAUUUCAACACUCCAUUGCAAAGUUCGAUGGUCGAUUACACUGAGUGAACCACUCAACCCAAAGUAUAAAUAAUCUACACCAAGCAAUUUGUUCUCUUAUACAUGAAAGUUAUUGUUUAUAACAGAUGAAGCAUAAGCUUGGUACUGUCGAAUGGGUCUCAAAUCUUGCAGUAAUACCACGGAGACGAUUGCCACCACAUUGAAGCCAUGGCUCUAAUUAAUAGACAAAUAGUUACCUUUUACUCCAAUUUUCUCUUCAACAAAUGCCCACCUAGCAGAAAAGGCACAUGGGAGGUAUAAAGCCGAAAAGCUUCAGUCACAAAAGCCAAAAUGCAUUGCUUCUCACACCGAUGUCUGCAGCUUCGGAGAGCAGAGGCCCACCCACAGGAGCAACACGGGCAUAACUACCACAAAAUCUUGAACAGACAGUCAUUCUGAAUCAGAGAUUUCAUCUUCAUCCUCGUCCAGUAUGUAGACCAGGACCCGUUUUCUUGCAGCUAAAACACAAGCCACACCUCUACUUGCUGUCGCCAUAAAAACAUUAACUUGAUUUCAGUCCAACGUUUCUUGAAUAUAUGGCCAUGACUAACGUGAUGUUUAGAUACCCUUGCUGGGUAAAAGCAAAAGUACAACACAUGCAUUAUGCUAAAACACAGGCGGGGAAGCAAACCUUGCUGCCCAGGGAGGCUAUGGUAUGCAUGUAAACUAUGAAUGCUCUACAGUAUCUUGCUACACUAGAUAUCAUGAUAGUAUCUAUCAUCAUGAACAUGUACAUGUUCUCAGUCAGUAACUAGACCGCAGUGAACCUACCAUAAGAAGAUUAUUCUCUGUACUUGUGUGGCCUCUAAAGAUUCACCUUUUUUGCACUUUGACCUCUCAAUUGAUUUAAAUUUAGGGGAAAACCUGAUACAUUAGUAUAUUACUUCUUCAACUGAAAAAAUAUUCUUCUUUGGAGCAUAAGUUUGCACUUCUUCAAACUAUGGGAACAAACAUGAAGUGGUCCAUUAAAAAGACAUAUUGUACUUAAGCCAGUCAUAACCAGUCAUAUUUAAACUUAUGAGUAGGCUGUUAAGUGAAAAUGUAGUAAGGAGCAUGGACAGGAUUUAUUCAGUCCACUACCUAGUCAACAGAGAUGGAAUUGUUGCAAACACUCGCAAGUUUAUCAAGCAUUGAUGCACAAGGGAAAUAGUAUGGGCAACAAUAAGUUUCCAAACAUCCAAAAAUGCAGAUGGACAUGGUAAGAAGCUCAAGGAAAAAAAAUUCAGGACUAUAAAAUUGAUGGCAUGACAAUGAUUUAAUCCUUAGCUCAGUUGUAUGAUGGUGUCAAAAAUUCUUACCACUAACUGAGAAGGGAGGAACAACAGUAUGGGGAAUGCUGCGAAUCUUCUCAUUCUCCACAUCUAGGUGUAAUAUAGAGUCCUACAUGCAUAGUUUCACUGUGUUAAUGUUUCAGGAGUGAGAAUAAGAUAACCAAGCAAAAAAUGUUCUCACAAAAUAGAAGCAAAAAUGGCACUUCUUACCUAUUAGGGACAUUCUGACCAAAAAAAUAAAAAAUCAAUUAGGGACACCACAUGCCUACUUUUUAACCAACAUACAUGUAGAAGGCUUUAACUGCCAAGAUAAGUUGGAACUUUUGCAGUUAUAGUAAGGCAGAAAGUAAAACACCCUUCAGAGUUCCCAAGCGUGAAAUAGCAUGUCCAUGCAAAUAGGAGGAAAAACUAAGCUGCUGCUUCUCAUGCUGAUGAGGAAAGCAUAUAAAUAAAAGAUAGGAAGAAUAAAAUUCCUAGUGUUUUUGAAAUCGGACAAGUGGUUCAACCGGUCAAACUGGUAGAACUGUGUUCUACCAGUUUGAUGGGUUUAACAUAUUGCAUGUGAUGUCAUCUGAUAGAAUACUCCACAUAUAUUAGAUUACACGUGUUCAGAUUAAUAGAUGCCUGGCUGAGUUGGCAGAGCCUCAUUGAGCACAAAUGACAGCAUUCAAGUUCUCAAGAACAUCAUUUAAUUUUCUAAUAGAUUAAACCAAUAAGGUCAAUGGAUAAUAAUGCACCACCAAAUUGAAGCAAGAAGACACUGGAGUGAAUGGUCGGUACGCUUGGUAGUUACAAGAGGUUGGAGUUCCAAACCCCAACCCAACUCCAACACUCUUCCUUUAAACAUUUUGAAUGCCCAGAACUGGUCCAAACUAGUUGACAGGAUUGUGGGUCAACAGUUGACAGUUACGCCUGAUAACAAUAGGGUCAAUACCACCAGUUCUUGACCACUACUGUUUCUGCUGUGAAACCAGACUGGACAGGUCUGGUUCCUGAUCCAACCAGAGCCGGUUCUUAAAACACUGAAAAGAACAGGAGUAAACUGAAAAGCAAUUUUCUUUUUGCCAUCAAUGUUUUAAAUAGUGAACUGACGCGUAUCAGAACAAACAGCGUCCUAUACGUAUCACGAGUACGAAAUCAAUAUGCAAGCUUAGGAUCCAAGAGUUACCUUUAAUUGGUACAACUCCCAGUUAUUUGCCCGAGUGGUUCCUGAAAUGUGCACAAAUGGAAGGUCACUGGCCUGCAAGAUCAUCAUCCAGGAAUCUCCCAAAUUUUCACCAGUAUCAUUCAUCUUAUUUAGCAACAUAACAAUUUGAUGGUCCUGUUUCAAAAUAAAAUAUAUUAGCCACAUCCACAAAUUCUUAAAGCAAUAUAUGCCAGGCUUUUACCUCAUAUAGAGCCAAAUCCACACAAUGGUAACCAGAAGGGAUGCACAACAAGAUUGCUUCCAAAGGUCUUCCCUGCUUCACAUUGCUUGAAUCAUUCAUAGAUCCCCUCACUACAGCUAUACAGUUUGUGACAUCUAAAAAAGACUCGUCAGGUAAUUGGAAGGAAAUAUAGUCUGUAAACCCAACUUCAUGAGUCAGAUUAGAUGAAGCAAAUUCAGAGGCAUCCUGCAAAGCCAUAUGAAGAAACGAUUAGCAUGAAAAAGCAGUUGUACUCUGCACAUGCAGAUCUCCGGAUAAAAUUGUAGAUUCAGAUUAAGGGUAAAUACCUCAUGGGAGGACAGUGAAAUUGGAAUGUAUCGGGUGGAUGCUGAAACUGAUGUAAGACGGAAUAGAGGCAAUAAUUUCUUACAACAUAUCUUUUUUGAAAUGGUAGAAAAAGGCAUCUGGGCAGCUUCCUUGAAACUGUAAAAAUUUAAAUUUAUUCCUAAUCAGUAAACAUGAGAUACGGCAUUAUCACACACAAUAAUCAUAAACUAAUCAGAAAGCCCAAUCGAAUAAGAUCACCCAGCUUAAGUUUCCAUGUAACAUUGUCAAGUAAUCAACCUGAGAUUGAAUACGAAACACUAGAUUAUUAGGUAGGAGGGUAAGUAAAAACCAUNNNNNNNNNNNNNNNNNNNNNNNNNNNNNNNNNNNNNNNNNNNNNNNNNNNNNNNNNNNNNNNNNNNNNNNNNNNNNNNNNNNNNNNNNNNNNNNNNNNNNNNNNNNNNNNNNNNNNNNNNNNNNNNNNNNNNNNNNNNNNNNNNNNNNNNNNNNNNNNNNNNNNNNNNNNNNNNNNNNNNNNNNNNNNNNNNNNNNNNNNNNNNNNNNNNNNNNNNNNNNNNNNNNNNNNNNNNNNNNNNNNNNNNNNNNNNNNNNNNNNNNNNNNNCAAUGUUUAUGUAAACUUCUUGGAGCCGGACCAUCAUACUCAAACCUCUGUUAUGCAUACAAAGAGAUCGAGAAUUUCAUAUUCGGUACACUUGUCAGCAAUGAGGACCAGACUUGGAGGAGGGAAAAAAUCAAUCACUUCAAAUGACAGAUGACAGCAACGAUUUACCCAGCGUUCAUAUAUUCCCCACUGAGGUAGCAUGCGGAAAAACACUAGUGAAUGGAAAAUCUAGAUAUAGCAUAAAUACAAAGAAUCGACAAUGAAAGAGCAACAAGACACAUUCAAGUAAGAACUUCCAUGUAUGAACAAGAUUCUAUUAAAUUUCAUUCAAUUCUUUUGCUGAUACCCGUGUUCCAUCUGUUGGAACUCCUUUGCAAGUGUCCUACGCAAAUAUUUGCUGUCCCCAAAUCCUCCAAAUCGCACUAAUUCUUUGACUCUCUUCAUAGUUUCUCUGAAACAAUAAUGUGUAAAACAUCUUAUUGACCUGACAUCAAACAUCAAGGCAGACAAGCGCAUGAAACUACAUUUGAUUUUCAAAAGACUUUCCAGUCCAAUGAGAAACGACAAUCAACCCGUCAAUUUCAAUCCUCGUUACCCUGUCAUUAGCAACAUAUGCUGGACCAAGAAUGACCACAGUCAAAGCCCAGCAAAGCACCCUAACUUGAGUCAACCUCAUCUCUUGUGCUCUUAGAAGUAUUUAGGAGGACGGUAGCAAGAUGACUUAAAAUGAAGAACUAACCCUCAAACCAGGAGUCAUUUACAAUUUCGAUAUUCUGAAUUUAGCAACUAAUUUGGUCGCAUUGCAAAAAGGGAUGAGUGAGCCACUAGAGUGCAUGAAAAGAAUACUAGGCUUGACAGGAUACCGCUCUGACAUUUAAAGCGUGACCAAGGUCCAUUACGCCAUGAUAUUUUAAUCCUCUGGCACACAAAUGGAUAGCACAACCUAGUGAAGGGCCACCAAAAUUUGCUGCUAGAGUACAUGAAGGCAAUACUAAGCUGUCGACACUUCACAGUAUCCAAGCCAUUGCCUCACCAAAUUUCAGAUACAACGAAUGAAGAGAUGGCCCACACUUGGAAUUAGAAGGUUAUGUCAAAUUAUGAAUCCAUUCAUCAUGUCUGAAUGAUACAUAUGAUUCCAUAACUAGGGCCAGGUAAUAACAUUUUCUUAUUAGAUGAAUGAAAUUCAUUAAGAACACCAAGUAGGAGCCGAACUUCAGAUGAUGCACAAGAGAAGAAAUUUAUUAAUUCAAUGGGUAGCCAUUCUAUCAAAAAUAAUGACAUGUCACAUCUCAGCCCAAGUAAAGUUAAUGUCGACUGAAAUGAGAGAAAAUAAUUAACUUUCAGGGCGUAUACAAGCCAUUUCUACUGGAAGCUCUGUAUAUGGCAAUGCCAAACAGUCCACUUGGUGACUCCAUCAGGUAUGAACACAUAUUAACUAAAGAUUCAGGGGUUCUGUGUGCCAUAUUGUAAAUGACUUAGAAUUAGGAACUGGACAAGUUGGAGGAAAUCACUUACAAAUCAAUGUCAAUUUCUUCAUCAGCCUCGGAUAGAUCCAAAAGCUGCAUAACAGGAUCUUGAUCAUACAGAAACUUCAAGAACACGACAACAAGUUCACUGUAGAAAUUCAUAAGAGUAAAUAGGGAUUCACCAUAAGGACUGAACCUGAUGGACAAAAGUUAGACAAACCUAUUGUAUGUUAAAAGUUGAUCACUUGGCUCUGACAUAAGUUGCUUUAUACAUUUCAGAAGCCAGCUGAAGAAAUUUGCAAACUGAAAGAGACACAAAACCAAAACCAAAACCAAAACCAAAAGCUUCAGCAACAUGCACAUUAUCAACCAAUAAAAAAUGCUUACACCGCUGGCUCAAGAAUUUAGGAUCCUACCAAUAUUCUGAGCUUGUCUAGAUUUCAGUGGUCACACUGGCAAUAUUUUCAUUUUAAAACAAGAAAGAAUGGAUGUCUCCAGCAUAGCAUGUGCGAAAUUGAAAAGGUAUCGACAAACCCUAAGUUGUCAAGGUACCGUAAGCAAAGAUAAAAAAGUCAUGCAAUUUCUCUUUGGUCCUUCAAAUACACAAUGAUAUAUAUCAACAAAUAACAAUGUGAUAUUGUCAGUAUUUCAUCAUGAUCUUAAAAGGUGCGGGAUGAAACUUUGUUAAACAGGUUCAAGUCAUGUGCAAAUGCCCAGCUAACAAUAUCUUCUUCAAAAUCUCAACGAAAACGCUUGUAUUUCAAAUAUUAAAUGUUAUUCGGCUUAGAAUAAUAUGUCAUUCUGAGCACACAAGAUCUUGUGUCUUAUAUCCACAAGUAGUUCAACUCCAUGUUUAAAAUUUAGGAAUUUAGCAUGACUAAAGAUAUGCACGAUGAGAGACGGGCAAGAUUUUGGAAAAGAGUAGCAAACAGAAGGUAUCAAGAAACGUAGAGAAAUCAUAACAAAGAUUGUAACAGGCUACCUGCUGCACAACAGAUGAGAGCACCCUUGUGAAUCGCUCAACCUGUACAAGCAGCAUUCCAGCCUUUUCUACUGCAUUGUCCACCAGUGUCUCAUCCAAACCAAUACCCAGGUAACAAGAGCGCCAUCUUGAAAGACCCCUGAGCUCACCCAUUCUAAAGCCAAUAAUUUCUACAGCAGGCUGAUUCUCUCUCUCUCUCUCUCUCUCUCUCUCUCUCUCUCUCUGCUGCGCUUUUUCAGUAACCAGACAUUCUCUUGCUUCUCGUUGAGCUCCAGAAAGGAGAAGGGAAAAGCCAUGUGGAAGCCAAAGAGAGCUUUGCCUCCCUCUUCUUCUUCAGGUCAACCAAGUCAACCCAAGAGGCCAUGCUUGCCUCCAAUCGAGUAAGCUCGCUCUUCCCUCUUAACGUUUCAAUGCUUGAUUCGUUGUUUGAUGAUCUUGCGUUAGUUUUAGCUGUACUUGAGGGAGAUUCAAUGAAGGGGUCUUGAGUUGAAGAUUCUUGACAUGAGAGACAUGGUGAAAGCCCGCUAUCGAUAAGCUUUUGCCUCAUGACCGUUCAAAAUCACUUUCGUUCAGUUCUUUAUUUAUGGGUUUGUGCUGUUGUUUUAAUGCGAAGUGAAGAAUUUAGAGAAAAGAAUUGUGAUAAUUCUCAAUAUUUUGUACCAGGAUUACAAAGCUAUUUAUAAGACUUCUACAAGUACUAACUAGGAAAAAACAAAUCUGUAAAAUAUAGCUAUAAUCCCACAAAUCAAGGGAUACUAAUAAAUCAUUUCCUAACUAAUUAUUUACAGCUAUUUCCUAAUAAUUAGGACCCAAAAAAUCAGGAUUGAAUAUUCCUAAUAAUCAGAUCCUAAAAAUCAAGAUAAUUCAACACUCCCCCUCAAGCUGAGGAAUAGAUGUCUUCCAUUCCCAGCUUGGAGGUUAUUUCAUGAAAGAUCCCACCAUUAAGUCCUUUGGUUAGCACAUCAGCUAGUUGAUCUCUGGAAGGUAUGUAGGACAUGCAGAUCAACCCCUCUUCUAUCUUUUCUUUGAUGAAAUGUCUGUCAAUUUCAAUAUGCUUCGUCCUAUCAUGCUGUACAGGAUUAUGAGCAAUAUUAAUUGCUGAUUUAUUGUCACAAUACAGCUUCAUAGGACCCUCCCACUUGAUUUUCAAGUCUUCUAGGAUGAUUUUAAGCCAUAAUAGCUCACAUAUUCCUUGGGCCAUUGCUCGAAAUUCUGAUUCAGCACUUGAUCUUGCAACUACAUUCUGUUUUUUACUCCGCCAAGUCACUAAAUUUCCACCAAGAAAUGUACAAUAACCAGAUGUUGACCUUCUAUCCACCAUGGAUCCUGCAUAGUCAGCAUCAGUAUAAGCUUGCAGCAUCAGUUUUUGAUUUCUUCUGAAUAUGACUCCUUUUCCGGGACUUCCUUUUAAAUAAUGUAGCACUCGAUUGACGGCUUGUAAGUGUGAUUCUCUUGGAUCAUGCAUAAAUUGACUAAUCACACUUACUGAAUAGGCAAUAUCAGGUCUAGUAUGAGCCAAAUAGAUAAGUUUCCCAACCAAUCUUUGAUACAUUUCUCGAUCUACAACAGGUUCUUCCUUUGCAUCUCCAAGCCUUUUAUUAGGCUCAAUAGGCGUGGCUACUGGUUUACAACCAAGUUUUCCAGUUUCCUUCAAGAGAUCAAUCACAUACUUCUGUUGUGAGACAAAAAUUCCCUGUCUAGAGUAAGAAACUUCAAUGCCAAGAAAGUAUUUGAGUCUUCCUAGCUCUUUUAUUUCAAACUCUUUAAUCAAACACUGCUUUAGCUGCUGUUUCUCCUCAUCAUCGUCACCUGUGACAAUAAUAUCAUCGACAUACACUAGAAGUGCUGUUACUCUCCCUCUUGCCGAAUGCUUAAUGAAGAGGGUAUGAUCACCUUGGCUUUGUUUGUAGCCUGAAGCUUUCAUGACUCUGGAAAAUCUCCCAAACCAGGCUCUAGGUGAUUGCUUGAGCCCAUAUAGUGCUUUCCGUAAUCUACAUGCUUUGUUUGUUGUUUUUUCUCCUUCAAAUCCCGGUGGAAUACUCAUGUAGAUCUCUUCUUCUAGGUCUCCAUGUAAGAAUGCAUUCUUCACAUCAUACUGCUGAAGUUGCCAAUUAAAAUGAGCUGCCAAAGAGAGUAGAAUUCUCACAGUGUUCAUCUUUGCCACCGGAGCGAAUGUCUCUUGAUAAUCUACUCCAUAAGUCUGAGUAUAACCCUUUGCCACCAAUCGUGCCUUAUAUCUCUCAAGAGAACCAUCGGCUUUGUAUUUCAAGGUAAAAACCCAUUUGCAGCCCACAAGAUUCUUUCCUUUAGGUUUUUCAACAAUCUCCCAAGUCUGGUUUUUUUCUAGUGCAUCCAUUUCUUCUCUCAUUGCAUUCCUCCAUUCUUCUUUAGACAAUGCCUCAGAUAAAGUAUUUGGAAUAGAAAAGGUGUUUAGACUCACAAUGAAAUUUUUAUGAGAUGGUGAUAGGCGGUCAAGUGACACAUAGUGAGAUAGUGGAUAUAAGGGUCGCUUUGUGCAUUCUCUAGUACAUUUUCUAACAGCAAUGGGAAGAUGCGAGUCAUUUUCAGGCAUAUCAAUUGACUGAACUUACCGGAAAUUCAUUUGCAAAACUCGGAUGGGAAUCUUGAACUUGUGUUUGGUCUGGAACAGCUGUAUUUCUUGAGUAUACCUGAGGAAAUCUCAUAGAGUCAUAAAUACGAGGAGAUAUGGGAGUGGACUCUUGUUCCAGAAUAUGCUCAAUCGUAACUGAUUCAUCAGAAACUGAUUCAUGAGGAGCCUGUUGAUCAGAAUUGGAGGCUGAUUGGUUAUGAGUUGAUUGAUUAGGGAUUGGUUGAUCAGAAGUGGGAGCUCGGAUUGGAAGAUUAUUAGGAGGUAAGUCAAGAUUAAGGACCUCAAAUUCUUUAUAUUCAGCUAAUGACUUCUCCCCCUGAAGAUAAGAUUGUGGAAAGUAAGGUUUGUUUUCUACAAAUGUAACAUCAACUGAAAUAUAGGUUUUUCGAGAAGGAGGAUGAUAACAUUUAUACCCCUUUUGUGUAGCGGAGUAACCAAGAAAGACACACUUGAUUGCUUUAGGAUCUAGUUUUCCCCUUUGCUGAUUAUGAACAUGUACAAAAGAGGUGCAACCGAAGAUUCUAGGUAUGAGAUUAUUUGUUGUCCUAAAAUGUGGAUAAAACCUAGAAAGAACUGCCAUAGGAGUUUUGAAAUCUAAUACUCUUGAUGGCAAUCUAUUAAUCAUGUAUGUAGAUGUAAGGACAGCUUCCCCCCAAUAAGACUUAGGGACAUUUCCAUGAAACAAUAAUGCUAGAGUAGUGUUGAGCAAAUGACCAUUUUUCCUUUCAGCCACCCCAUUUUGCUGUGGUGUGUUUACACAAGAUGACUCAUGGAUUAUCCCUUCCUUUUGAAAAUAAGUUGACAAAAUCUGAUUAAAGUAGUCUCUAGCAUUAUCUGAUCUAAAGUUCUUAAUUUUAACUCCAAACUGAUUUUGAACCAUAGAAUUAAAAUUAGGAACAAUACUACUUACAUCAGAUUUGUGUUUAAGUAAGAAUAUCCAUGUGACCCUAGUGCAAUCAUCGAUUAGAGAAACAAACCAUCGAGCCCCUGAGAUAUUUGGAAUUGUGGAAGGUCCCCAAAUGUCACUGUGAAUCAAAUCAAAAGGAUGAGAACUUCUUUUGUUGUUUAUAGGAAAAGAUACACGGGUGUGCUUAGCAAAUUCACAAGUAUCACAUUGGAAUUGACUCAUAUCUAAUCAUUUAAACAAAGAAGGAAACAUGAUAUUUAAGACACGAAAAGAUGGAUGACCAAAACGAAAAUGGUAAAGCCAAAUGACAUCCUUAUUUGAAGCACUAAGAAAUGACAAGGGUGAAUUGUUCAUGACUCUUUUUGAAAUCCUUGGCGUCUCAAGAUAGUACAACCCAUUCUUUUCCUUAGCAAGUCCAAUCUUCCUCUCCGAAUCCUGCUCCUGAAAAACACAGUAGGUAGGGUAAAAAAUUGCAUAACAUUUGAGGUCAUUGGUGAGCCUUUGUAUGGAAACUAGGUUGGCUGAUAAUUUUGGCACAUGGAGGACAUCUUUUAGAGUGAGAAUAGGCGUAACAUAGAUAUCACCAACUCCUGCAACAGUGGCCAAAGAACCAUCUGCCACCCCUAUUUUUCUAUUGCUUGGACAAGGGUGUAGGUACUAAAAAAAUGAGAAGUGUGAGUCAUGUGAUCAGUGGCACCUGAGUCUAGUAUCCAAGCUUCACUUGAAAGUUUUUCUGAGGCAUUUAAACUAAAAGAGAAUGGAGACUUACCUGAGAGUGCUAAGGAACAUGCACCAGAGGGUUUAUCAAGAGACCCCAAAACCCUUUAAUUCUUUCUAUUUCCUCACUGCUGAAGGAUUCUUUCACCUGUCCUUCACCGUGACUGAUUUGCUGGUUGGUCUGUUCAAUUAGAUGAGCUUGGGGCCUUGGCUGUCCUCCUUUGUUUCCCCACUCUCGGCUUGAGGUUGCUGGUUUGCCAUUCAGUUUCCAGCAACGUUCCUUUGUAUGCCUUGGCUUCUUACAGUAGGUACACCACAAACUAUCUCGAUUAUCCCUCCAUGUAGACCUCGAAGCAUCCGCCUUUCCUCUUUCUUGUGUUGACGCAUUGCGAGUUACUAAUGCUGAGCCUUCCAUAGCUUGAGGCUCUAGCAUUAUUCCCCUUCGACUUUCUUCUGCCCGGAUUAGAGAGAUUGUCUCUUCCAAAGAAGGAAUUUCUUCUUUUCCAAGUAUUUGAAUUCUGACUUGGUCAAAUUCAGAAUUAAGACCUGCCAAGAAAUCAUAUACUCGAUCCUUUUCAAUGAAGGUUUUUAGAGUUGCAGCAUCAUCUGCACACUUCAUCUCAAAUACUCGAUAAUGAUCGAGUUCUUGCCAUAGAUUUUGAAGGGAAUUGACAUAUUCUGUCACCGUUUUGCUCCCUUGUUUUGUUGCACUUGUCUUUACCUUGAUUUCAUAUACUUGUGCUGCAUCUCGAGCCUUCGAAUAAGUCCUGCGAAUAGAAUCCCAAAUCUCCUUUGCAGUUUUGAGAAACAUACAUGUAUCACUUAUGGCCGGAUCCAUUGAAUCCCAAAGCCAUGACAUAAUCAUUGAAUCUGCCUCAUCCCAUGCGUUGAACGUGGGAUCUUCUGGUGUUGGACCUGUUCCGAGAAGAUGGCUGAGUCUUCCUUUACCCUUCAAAUAGGUCUUGAUGAAUUGUGACCAUUUGAGAUAAUUCUUUUCAUUCAGCCUAUAAGUUGCUCUCACAUUUUGUAGAUCUCCGAUCAUAUGGUUGGUGUUGGCCUCCUCAUUUUGACCCGAAGUAUCUCCAAUCAAUUUUCUCUCAGACAUGGAUAAUUCCAGGCACAAAGAAAGUACUUGGAAAGGAAGAGUGAAAUAAAACAGAAGCAAUAAAGGCUGCUGCAAGUGAAUGAGGUUUUAGGGUAAAAGAAGAAAAAAAAAUUGGGACAAGUUUAGAAGCAAAGAGGGAAAAAUAUAGCUAAAGGGAUCACAACAAUGACAGUUGCGAUCAGAUUGUUAAGGACAAAGACAAAUCCAGCAAUGAAGGCUGUGACUGGAAGAUUAUUGCAUCAAUGAAAGAUGCACUGCAACAUUAUCCCAGAAAAAUGAGCCUAAUGCUCUGAUACCAUGAAGAAUUUAGAGAAAAGAAUUGUGAUAAUUCUCAAUAUUUUGUACCAGGAUUACAAAGCUAUUUAUAAGACUUCUACAAGUACUAACUAGGAAAAAACAAAUCUGUAAAAUACAGCUAUAAUCCCACAAAUCAAGGGAUACUAAUAAAUCAUUUCCUAACUAAUUAUUUACAGCUAUUUCCUAAUAAUUAGGACCCAAAAAAUCAGGAUUGAAUAUUCCUAAUAAUCAGAUCCUAAAAAUCAAGAUAAUUCAACACGAAGUACUAAUGACCUCGGAUGUCAUCGUCUCAAAUCUGUUUUGUGAAUUUAUGUUGGCCAAUUGCAGUACUUCCUCCUUAUUUGAGCUGAAUUCUGUUAAAAUCAUUUAUCUAGCAAGUGAGCUGUUAUCGUUACCAGGUUAAUUUGCUAUCCUGUCGUCUAAAUAUCCUAUCUCGGUUGUACUUUUGUGCUGAUGUUCAUGCAGUCAAGCAUGGAACGGGUCCGAAAUGAAUCCUGUGCCGAGUUGCCGUUUGACUUGCUGUUUGACAAAGGAGGAUCUGCGGAGUAUGGUAAGAUGAGUGAAUUAGCCAAGUUGGACGUGCAAAGUACAGCCCUUAUUAUAUUUCAAUUCCUGUUUCUUUGAUUAGAAGUGGUUAGAUGCAUUUCUGACAUUCCGGCCAGUUUCUGGACAGUAAUCCGCGUGAGAAAUUGCCAAGAGAUGUAUAGAGAAUUAUUGCUUGAGUGGUAAAAAUGACCUGCUGAAUGUUCUAGGAUUUUCCUGGGAAGCAAUUGCACUAAACACAUGCUUUAGGCUUUUCAUGUUGUAUCGGGCAGUAUGGUUCACAAAAAGAUACAAAUUUUCGAUGAAGUGCCCUGGACAUAACUGUCGCCUUGAAUCCUGGAAAAUGUGGUCAAUGACCCUUUGAACGUAGGAGGAGGAAAAUGAAGAUACCUGUGAUGUGAAACUUGAAUGUGAUGAUUACGUGACAGAUGGCUCUUGCUUAUGUAAUUAUUUGCUUUUGCUUUCUUUGCUGGACAGUUCAGAGAAGAGCUGGAGAGUGCUAAAUCUGACUGGGCCGAAUAUUUUCGAAGGUGAUUAUAUUUCAUUUGGUUUGUUGGCAGUAUCAUAUCUGCAUGAACUGAUUUCUGCAGGAGAAUUUCCAUGUCUAUUGUCUCAUCAAAGUAUUAAUGCCAUAAAUCCAAAUUUCUGUUCGGCAAAGUGUAAUACCUGUGCAUACCUUUUUCUGUAAAUCACUGACAGGACGGUGCAUUUGGAGAUAGCAGCUAAUCAACAUUAUUUGCUUCUGUUAUCAAAGUACUGGAUAAAUUUGUAUUCCAGUUUUAUGUUGCCUUUUUAUGUCGAGUUAGAUUAAAGAAUGCAUUUGAUGAGUCUGGCAUUUAUGGUUUAUACAGUAAUUAGAUCUGACAUUCAUUUGUACAAGUAACUUAAAUGUCAAGGGUUAUCUGUCUUUUUGUUACGAAUAAGUCCACAAGACGGCAGUUGUUCAUGGUAUCAAUUUUUAUGGUGUAGUUGCAUCUGGAAUGCUCUCAAAGAUAUAGUGCCACAGAUGCGCUCAGAGAAUGAUUUUCAGAGAUUGGUAAGAUAAACAAGUUUAUAAGAUUUCUACUUUUUCACAGACAUAUCUUCAUCAACACUUAAGGUAUGAGUUGUUUCUCUGCAUGUCAUGAAGUGAUAGAAUGAACUUACUAAUCGCUUCAUUCCGACAGUUUUAACAGCAUUCAUCGAGCACAAACUUCACAUGAUCUCCUUUGUCUAUAAGUAAAUAUUCAUUUUGUUGUGCAACCUGUGGAAAGAAAAACAUGGGAAGGCCUAAUUUCCAUACAAGUCUGUUACAGCAUAAUGUCCCACAUGGGCAGACAAAAUUGAGGUGCCAAACCUUCUUCUCAAUGUGAACUCUUGGGGAAGAUCAACCUGUUAUCCAUAGAGUAACUUAUAUCCGUUGAGUGAGGACCUUCCACUCAGUACUGUCAGCUUACUAGGGCCAACUUGCAUCCCUGCUUGACGGGAAGAACAGGAGAUCCUUUUGAACAACUUGUUAUAAUAGGAAAGCCUUAUAUCUUGACACAGGAGAUCCUUCUGUGCAACCUAUUACAACUCACUAGCCAGGUUCUAAACCCAUGUGUUGUCAUAUUAGGCAUAAACCAUACAAGCCUAAGCCAAGUCACUUUGUUCCCCCAUGUCCUCACUAGCUUCGAACUCUCCUUUAUAGAGAAAGAGCCCCUAGAUGAUCCAGUAAAUACCACACUGUCUAUAGAGCCAGAGUUUGGAGCAAUCAACCCACACAAAGCCAUCUAAGUUUCAAGCAGAUCAUCAGACCUUGCUGGAGGCCAUCUCCAUUCAUUCUCCUCAAUAACAGUUUCAACUGUGGCUUUAUCACCUAAAGCUAAAUCAUAACCAUUCUAAAGCACAUGAAAAUUUUUUCAUGGACAUGGAAUGGAAGGGGAAAAUGAAAAUGCUUAGGAUUGAUCAUAUGAGUUUUAUAGACAACUGCUGUUCGGUAAAAGAUAGUGAAUUCAAAUAUGCAUGAAGAACUUAGCUCAAUAAGGUGUUUGAUAAGUUGUUUUUAGGAAAGAGCCACAGCAUAGGUUUUCCAACUCCUUUUGAUGGAAUGGAUUGGUUUUGUAUCCCUCCUGCUUCAUUUUUUGGAUGUCUCCAAUUUGGCAAUUCUGCUGUUGGUGGUUUUGAACAGAUGGAAGCAGUGGAUUUUGGAAACAUUCAUUCUCCCCAGCGUGCAAGGUAUGGAUGCACUUCCCUCGUGAUGCUAUUGAGAAAGGCUUUCUGUGUAGUGUUGACAGGUUAUGCAUUGGGAAUAAUGGUCCGACCUACCACUACCACCCCAGGCAGGCAGUCUGAGCUCUCAGUGAGUGUCAUGCCACAAUGACUCGGUCAUGCACCAAAGUGUCAAUGCUCAAUUUAGAACAUAAUCCUUGUAGCUUGCCAGUGGAACAUUUUAUUUUAUUUUACUUCAUUUUUUAAAAAAAAAGAGAAUUAUUAAACAAAUAAAACGACGGGUCUAUUUAUCCUUGUAGUUUCCUCGGCAGUAAGACCUGUCCAAGUGAGAUGUUGGGUAUUUUGUCUCUCUGUCGUUACUUUUCCAAUUUUCCGUUUUUAUACACAUUCCUAUUUCUGAUGGUUGGUUUAUGGAGAGAAUGCAGGCUAAUGCUAAUUCUGCGGGAGAGAAUGACGUGAGAGAUUUACGGCUUCAAAUUCAAACCAAACUGUCAGAUUCUCUAUUUACUGGGCAGAAACUAGAAGGAGUGGGGGGUGCUCACAUUUCCGUUGCCUUGAUCAAUGCAAAUACAGGGGAUGUUGUUAGAUCAGGCCUGGAAUCCUCAAUUAAGUUGGACGUCGUCGUGCUCGAAGGUGACUUCAACAAAGACGAUGAGGAUAACUGGACCCAAGAAGAGUUUGAGAGCCACGCGGUUAAACAACGUGAAGGAAAGAGGCCGCUUUUGGCUGGAGAUCUCAUAGUGAAGCUCAAGGAAGGUGUUGGGGAGAUAGGAGAACUGAUGUUUACUGACAAUUCCAGUUGGAGUAGGAGUAAAAGAUUCAGGAUAGGGCUUAAGGUGGCAAUGGGUUUUUGUGGGAAUACACGAAUCCGAGAAGCCAAAACAGAUGCCUUCCAAGUCAAGGAACAUAGAGGGGAAGGUAGGUCCUUCAUAGUCUUUCUACAGUAUAUAAACCUAAUCCUUUGUGACUGACCAUAAACAUGAUUUUGGACGUUCACAGUCUUCAAUUUUUAAUUGAGAGCUUUAUUUCGUAUGAACCUUUACAACUCGAAUGAAAAUUUUGAUAAAUAAGAAACAAUUGGCUUGUUUAUUUUUAGCAAAUGCUGACACUUUGGAUCAGUUUCAGGAGAGAACUUGCAUGCCUGUUAGAAGUUUGAUUCCACAAAUUAAUCUAAUAUUGAUUGGGACCUUACUGUACGUGUUCUCUUCAUUUUACAGCAUACAGGAAACAUUAUCCACCUGCAUCUGAUGAUGAGGUCUGGAGACUAAAGCAGAUUGCGAAAGAUGGGAUAUCUCAUCAAAAACUGAGCGAAGCUGGAAUACAUAAGGUGGAGGACUUUCUAUUGCAACUGUUUACAGACUCCCAGAAACUGAGAGAGGUAAGCACUUAGUUAAUGAUUCUUGAUUAGGGUUUGAUUGACUACCAAGAAUAUAAGUCUUGUGUGUUGACUCAUAUUAGAUUCUCGGAAAGAGCAUAGCAGAGAAGAAGUGGGAUAGCCUUAAACGCCAUGCAAAGACUUGCAAAACAAAGUGGAAACUUUACUUGCACUAUCCUGAUGGCAUGACAAAGCAUGGUGCUGUAUUCAACGCAGAUGGUCGACCGAUCGGCCUAGUCAAAGACAGGGAAUAUUUUGCUACUCAUCGACUAUCUGCUCAAGAGAAGGUAAGUAACCAAGGAGUUCCUACUCAGUUUUGUCAAGCCAGUUCACUCGCCACACCCCAUCAUGGGGAUUCGAAUUAUUUGUCCCAUAUUUUCUAUGUAGUCAGUAUUUUGAUGUUUACUUGUAGCUGUAUGGCUUAGUAGGUGUUAGAAUUGAUUAGAGAUAUGGAAACUUGAAACAAGGAGUUAAUGGGACAUCUAGAGGCUUUUCUUUUCUUCUUCUUCUUCUUCUUUUUUUUUUCCCCAAUCAUAAAAUAAAAUGAAGUUCCUGUGGAGAGAAUAAAAAGAAAAUAUAGAUGCUACGUUUAGAUCAAAAUAGAGACCUUCUAUUAAUAGAGUGGUUUUGGGCUUGCGCUCUUUGUGAAGCAAAGUUGAGGUUAGUGACCUUGUAAAUUUAAGAGGCCUUCUGUAUUAAGUAAGUUGAAGACCACUUUCAGCAGUUAAUUCGGCUUCAUCCUAAUUACUUGCACAAUACAUAUUGAUGCGUGCUUUAUUUCUUCACUGGUCCUUUCUCAAUCAACUUUGCAUCUUUACAUUGAGGACCCUUGCUUUUAUUGUGCUCUACUUACAUCUUUUGAGCACCUGACCUUUAUGUGGUAGAGAAAUGGCAGAUAUAGGCAUAAAAUGAAUUACGGUUCUUUCAAUAUUGUUCUUCUUUCUUUGUGCUGCACUCACGUACUUAAUCAGAAUACAAGUUUAUCCAUUGAAAUGCAACUUUACUUGCCGAGAAAAGAAGUCGUUGCUUGAAGCCAGAAUGUUUACCUGUCAAUAAUGGAGUUAAAUACUUCCAUUAGUACAGCUUGAGCCAUAUACCAGAUGUGUUUUUCCCAGGAACACGGAGAUGCAAUCAUGAAAAAGGCCGUGGCUAACUGGAAUGAUGUGAGAGAGUUCAAUGGUGAGACGUUUUCUGAAGCUCCUCAGGCAAAUGCGAGCUCCACUGCUGAAGGUACGUGCUCUAGAACACAAUACUGUCUCUCCCUAAGCUUGUAUAUGUGGCCUGUUAAAUUACAAUGAAAAUUGGAAUUUCCAAUUGAUGUUGAGCUUUUAUAUAUAAAAGCAUUGUGUAACUGAUCCUUACGAUUUUGGGUUCCACUUAAUAUAAAGACUCAUUUGUCCAGCUGUGAUUGUUGCAAAAUGAGCCUCAUUCAAUGCAUAUAUAUGUACGUAUGCAUGUAUGUGUUCCGUCCAAGCAAUUGAAAAGCAACUAAAAAAUUAGGUGGUAACAUGUGCCUUUUUUGAGUGGGGGGAUUGGGGACGGGGAGGGCGGAUACUCGUGAACCCUUCACUUAGGUGAUGCUAAGUGAAUGUUGACAAGAUAAUGCUACCACUAGGUAGAUAUGACUAGAUGUAAUGAGCACACGGCAACAUGUUUAUAUUUGCAUUUUUGUCAUUUUAGAAAGGGCCUUGUCAAUUGAAGCACGUUAAGAUUACAAAGAUCAGGGGCAAGAAAAAUUAAAGAGAUUAGCACUUUCUGUGAUACCAGAAUAGUAAUCGCUCAAGAUGAAUCAUUGCAAGAAUUUUUACAGGCUCGUAGACCUGUGCUUACGUCAGCCUAAGUUUACGAACCGCGUUAUUGUUUUAGUUCUUUCUCCAGGACUCAAUGGUGCAACGGCUUUGGCAUUGCCGUUUCAAUCACCAAAUUUUCCUCGUGCUGCACAUCAGUCCAUGUCUGCAGACCGCUCAGAUGUUCAGAUUCCUCCAGGAUAUCAUGAAAGUACUACUGCCGGAUUGCCAGCACAUUCCCACGGUAUCAAUUUACAGAAUGCCAUGCGUCGCGAAAUGAUUGGUUCUUCGAGCCCAAUGGACAAUGCAGGAUAUGAUAAUAUUCUUCUUGAAGGCGAUCGUGUGAUGGAAGAGUCCAGUCAAUUGAUUUUGAUGCUUUCGAGAAAUGGUUUGCUGAAAGCACACCAUGUAAUGACCCGUUAUCCGAUAAUGGUUUUGUUAGGGGAACCGGCAGAGGUGUUAUUGGCUGGCUCAAGAUAAAGGCGGUGCUGCAGUGGGGGUACUUCAUCAGGAAGAGAGGUGUCAGACUCGUGGAGUUAGACCAACCAACUGUCGAAGUCCGGGCUUGUUCAUAGUUCUUUCUUCGCUUUAGGGAAGAUGAUUAUAUUCCCGAUAGAAAUGAUGGUAAUUCUUUCUUAAAUGGUGAUAUUAUUUCAUUGGUGAUAUUCUUCAUCUGUAUAUAGAACAGCUUUGUCGAAAGCCGUCUUAAGCGACUACUUUUUUUCGUUGAAAAGUGUCUCUCUACCUCAGUUCUUUCGACGUCUUUCUUCAGGAAAGUUCUCUGAUGCAUCACAUGUAAGGAUGCAAGGCCAUACCAUUCAAAGAGUGUACUUGAAUUAUACGCUUAUUAUGCAUUAGAAUUGUGACCAAAUCCAUGGAGACCCAUGUGACAAGUCUUGCCUACUGCUGCUAUCCAGUGGCAAUGCAGCCUUUUCCCACAACGCAUGCAUUAACUCUUAUAGGGUGCGUUUGAUUUAACAUUCUCAAAGGGCUUUUAGUCUGGAAAGCCAUUGGAAAAAUCCUCAAUCAUUUAACAAUUAUUUUAAAGUAACUUUCAAAUAAAAGCUAGUAUUAGGAAAGCUAAAAGCUCAAUACUAGGGACUAGCAUUAAGCUUUUAACAUUUGGCCAAAUGCUGAAACUCAUUUUUUUUUCCUCUAAAACUACCCUUACUCAUUCUUCAAAUUUCCGAUUUUUCAAAUAAGUAUUUUACCAAACGACAUUUCUCUCAAAAUUACUUUUCAAAGCAUAAUUUAUCAAGACAUUUGCAUUUACUCAAAAUCCUUUAGGCUAAAUUACUUUACAUUUUCUCAAUAGGCUUAAACCACUAAACCAAAUGCACCAUAAGUUCUCUCGUACCCGUUUUCCUGGUUCUCUUCUUGUUUUCUUGGUCUUUGAAAUGGUUUACUUGAAUUUCUCUAUAACGAAUUUUGAUGCAAAGCAGCUCGGGGUCUGUUCGAUUUAAUAUUGGGUCUGCACUAGAAUUUUGUCUUAUGAUAGAGGAUUGAGUAUCUAGAUCUUUAAUAUUUACUGGGUCAUUCCACAGUUCCUUUACGUCAUGAACUACUUAAAAAAUUGAACAUUCCUAUAAGUUUAUACAUCAUUAAAUUCAAUGGCUACGCGAUACUCUUGGUUAAGAAAACACAAGUCCAUUGAAGAUAUUGUAGACAUAGUCUCAUAAUCCUAAACCUACCGUUCAUUUGCAAAUUCCAAAUCUCCGACACAGCAAUAUAGUCAAAUGCUCUUUCAAGCUACCUUGCAACUGUAUAUUUAGUGGCUGGUCAUGUUGAUUAUAUUGAUCCCGGAGGGUAGCCCUUCCACACAAACACAUUUUGUGCUUUGAAUUGGAUGCAUCACUGAACGUUGACAUAGAGAAGCAAGUCAAAUUUAGGUGAGAUUUUAACAUUCAAACGCAAAAUUCGUUGGUCCAUUACACCAAGUGAACCAUUCAACCCAAAGUAUAAAUAAUCUAAACCAAGCAUUUGUUUCUCUUAUAUAUGAGGGUUAUAAACAUAUACAGAUGAAGCACAAGCUUGGCACUAUCGAAUGGGUCUCAAAGCUUGCAGCAAUACUAUGAAGGCAAUUGCCACCAGAUAGAAGCCAUGGCUCUAAAUAGAUAAAUAGUUACCUUUUGCUCCAAUUUUCUCUUCAACAAAUGCCCACCAAGCGGGAAAGGCACGUGGCAAGUAUAAAUUAACACUUUCCAAGAAGGGCGGAACCGAAAAACUUCAGUCACAAAAGCAUUGCUUCUCACACCGAUGUCUGCAGCUUCGGAGAGUAGAGGUCCACCCACAGGAGCAACACAAGCAUAACCACCACAAAAUCUUGAAC
rnacentral:lncRNA from 1 species